rnacentral:lncRNA from 1 species
UUUUUUUUUUGUGAUUUGUUGGUUUGAUGAUGUUUUGUUGAUUUUGAUCCGUGGAUUUGCUUGAUUUCAAGUGGAUCUAGCAUCUCCCCAAGUUUCCCCACCUUCCAUCCACGAAAUCCAUCAAAUUUUGCCCCGAAAAUCAUGCAUUUCCGCCAAAAAUUUCGUCCCCGAGAGGAAAUCCCGAGCAGUUUGACCUGCCCGGAUCAUCCGGACCUUCUCCCGGAUCAUCCGGACACCUCCCGGAUCAGCUGGACCCUCUCCCGGACGUCCGGAUAACCCACGCACCCAGAAAACAGAACCGGAGCUGACGAACCCGGAUCAGCCGGACGUACACCCGGAUCAUCCGGACCUAGCCCGGAUCAUCCGGACCUCCUCCCGGAUGUCCGGUUAACCCUGACACUGCUUCGGCUGAAAUCUUGUUUCGGUCAUAACUAAUUCAUCCCGAGUCCGAUUUUGACGUUCUUUAGCUCGUUUUGAAGCUCUUGACAUCCCCCAUCCCACAAAAAUACCACCAACAUCAUUUGAAUCCAUCAUAUUUUCUGAAAUUUGGCAAGUUUGCCUAGGCCCUCCACCAUAUCAUCCGCAUUACCACCACCGACUUCCGCAACCUAACCCAUUUUGUUUCCCAUUGCAUAUGUGGUUGCUUGAGUAGUGAUUCACGUCUCCUAAGGUGUUUAGGCUACUUAGGGACGAUUACUUCUUCAUCAACCACCACCUCCACUUCCGCAUAACCUUGCCCAUCAUACACUUCCACCAACCCAACCUAACCCAAUUUUGUUUGAGCUUGUUUGAGUUGUGGCUUGUGUCUCCUAAGGUGUUUUGGCUACUUAGGGACGACAACUUCAACUCCGACUCGUGUAUAGCCCAUCAUUCCACUUCCGCAUUGCCUAGUGCAACACCACCACCGCUUUCCGCUACCACCAUUUGACAUUUGUCAUUUGAGAUUUUGAGUUCGUGGUUUUUCCAUUUCCUAAGGUGUUUCGGCUACUUAGGGAUGAGUCUCCAUCAUCUUGGUAUCUACAUCAAGAACACCGCCUCUCAUCAUCUCCAAGGACGGUAACCUCGACGACACCAUUGUAUAUUCCCUUGCAAUUGCAUUGUUAACCCCUAGCCCAUUUUGCGCUACUUGCCUAUCGAGACUAGCCAUUUGAGUAUUGCCGGCAACGUGACUUGUGCACAUUAGUGGUCUACACCAUCCAUUGCAUACAUACCAUAUCAUCUUGGUAUCAUAUCAUCCAUUGUGUCUCAAGUUUGUUCCCACAUAUACACAAUUGCCAUCUUGGUUUGUGCAUUCUGCAAAAGUGGCCAUAGAAAAAAAACAAAAAGAAAUAAAGCUUUUAAGCAAAAGAGAGAGAGCAAAGAAGCUUGUAAGCAAGUGCCAUAGCAUCAUACCACAUUGCAUUUAAGAUUGUCAUAUCUGAUCAUCUUGGAUCAUCUUGAGAGAAACACCGGGAACCAUACAUAUAUAGCAUACUUGGGAUAGAAAGUUUAUCCAUUUUGCAUCUUAUAGGUUGUGCACAAGUGUCGUAUCCGCCUAUUGAGAAAUCGUGCUAGCGUCUCUCUUGAGUUGUGCAACACGAGCGUUUCCGUGGAUUCCACAUUUUGUGCUCAUUCCUUGGUUGCACGACCCCAUUUAUCUAUCCGUGUGUGUGUUUCCGUGAGCCACAUAUUGCUAUUGGUCUACUUGGUUCGCUUGUGAAUUUGUGAAUCUCUUUCAACAUUAUUGACUCUUGCUAACAUUUUGCAUCAAAUUUUUGUGCCACUAUCCUCACCGAGCUCCACUAUAAGCUUUACUUGUGUAGGUGUGAGAACCGACAAGAAUUGGUACCAAUAGUGCUAUUUCAUUGUCCGCAUUUGAGUGAACUUGAUUCAUUGUCAACAUCGGUCAAGGUACAUUGGUAUAAGUUCUUCUCUUUCUCCCACUCAUAUUUGCUCGAGUCUUGUGAUGGAUAGGCAAGGCAUUUCCUCUCCGGUCUACGACAACAAUGACGGCGUGAACAACGACAUCACCAAAAGGUCCAUCUUCGGACUACAACGACAAAUGCAAGGCGCACAAUCAAGAUUGCAAGAGCGCAUUGAGAACAUCUCCAUCGACAUUUUCCACUCCGAAGCAAGGAAAAGGGACUACAUCAACAACAAGCUUGCCGCACAAAAGAAGGAGCAAGAUGCGAGGAUGGAAGAGAUUCGGGCCUUGAUCAAGUCUUCUUCCACUUCAUCAUCCUCAAGACGACGACGGUCAAGCCACAAGUCUUCGGAGCGCAAACAAGAUGCAAGCGCAAGUCGUCCAAGUUAACAUCUACAUGGCGACCACCAUCACAUUCGUGAUCCACAUCGUCAUGAAGGGCAAGUCACCUCCAAGCAACAUGUGCACGACGACGACGAACGACAUCUACUACGAGCUCAAGCACGAGAACGACAUCAUCAUCAUGAAGAUGCUCCACAAGCGCAAAUGCACAAGUCCCAACAAGCCCUACUACACGCCAAGUCCAAGCUUCAAGAGCACAAAAGAAGACCGCGAGAUGACCACCACCAAGACGGUGCUACGGCUACAUCAACCACUUCGGCAUCUUCGCCAAGUGUUCUCAAGGCAUCUUCGCCUUUGGACGUACGGCAUCUUCGCCUACUUCCCACGAGUACGCCUACAUCGACUUCAUCAAGUCCAAGGCGACCACCUACGAGCGAGGGUGACACUUCCAUCUUCGGAAGCCCCUCAAGGAAGAUGGACGAGCUUGGGAAACUCCCUUCGGUCAUGGAGACGAGCUACGAGGUGCCACAUCAUAUGGACCUCCAACACCAAGACGGCGACAAGAAGGUCGAGCAAGGGCCAUCCCCUUCGACCACGGCGAUAGGAGUUGAGCAUGGAGACAUUUGCACCUACAUCUCUCCGACACCCACAUAUGUCGAGAUGCCCCAAGUGCCAUGUGAGGAGAGCCACCACCCCAUGAGAGAGAUGAGUGACUCCACCAUAUGUGACAUUGAGAGCAUUUCCUUUGAGAGGAUGAGUGUGACCACCACUAGCCCCACACAUGAGAGCAUGCCACACAUCCUAUGUGAGGUUGAGCGCCAUUUGAGUGACUCCACCAACCAUAUGAGUGAGAGCAUCCUUGAGAGAGUGAGUGAGCCACAACACUUAGCGAGUGAGAUAAUUGACACGGCAUGUGAGGCCACUUUGAUUACUAAUGACUUAACCUCUACUCCUAGUGUGUUUUCUUCUUUGGUGCUAGGUCUCCUACAUGACGACAUGCCUAUCCUCGACGAGCCCAUCCCUCCAAUGGAAAAACCGAUGGCCAUGGUGGACGAUGAUGCACCCCCCACAUGGUUCCAUCAAGAUGAAGAUGACAACGAGACGAUCUUCAACACCUCACCUACAGCACAUGAGUGACACUCCAAAGGUAACAUAGGUGAUGGUGCUUCUCUUGUCCCACUAGUGGACUCUCUUGAUGAUGGUUGCUCCCAUGAUGAUGACCCACCUAUUACCAUGCUUCAUGCUAGUGAGACUUCUUCAUGCCUUGACUUACCUAUGUAUGAUGAAUAUGAUGAUGAGCAUGUUGAGUUGCCUAGUUGUGAUGCUAUGCUUCAUAGGAUAUCAUGUGAAAAUUCUAUUGGUCACUUCAUGUUUGACAAUCCAUUGAACUUGUCAUAUGCUAUGAGUGAGAUCUCCCAUAUUGCAUCCCUACAAUCUCAACAUAGUAACUAUGCAUGCCCCAUUAAAAUCAAUCCCAUUUGCACUUAUGGCAUAGAUGACGAGAUGAUGGUCAUUGGCUUUUGCUUCUCUUGUGAUGAUAUUGCCAUGCUUCCUUUACAUGAUUUACACAAUUCAUCUAAUAUGUCAUGCCAUGAUCACAUUGUUCCAAAUAUGCAUUGUUUUGGAUGUAGUCAAUAUUCUCCACGUGAUGUUUCUACUCUUGCUCAUGAGGAGACCCCCAUAGUUUCCUCAUACAUAUUAGGAGAUCUUGAUGCAUUUCAUACUUUGCAUGAUUCCCAUGAUAGUGUACACCAUAUGCACCCCAUGAAUAACAAUGCUCUAGAAAUACCUCAUGAUGCAUUACAUCCUUUGAGUCUCCAUUAUGACACACAUCAUAACAAACCUCUCAUGAUGGAUGACAUGUUUCUCUAUCACGCAUCUCAUUUAUUUGAGCAUUGGCUAUUUUGUGCUAACAAACACAUGCACGUGCGCAUCAUGAUGGAUGAUGUGUACAUAUACCAUGCACACACAAUUUUUCCUUUGUGUUUGUUUUGUGUAGGUACUCAUGUAUACUCGUCAACCUCUCAAUCCCAAGAGUUGACGAAACGAGCUCUUGAGAGCAAUGAUGCUUUGGGAUCUCGUGGACUAUCCUUACCACCGUCCCCUUCGCGCAAGGACUACGCGCAUCUCUUCUACUUGGCUCUCACACGGCUAUGGGCCAUUUACCACUUGUCACCUUAUGCUCAUUUUACCGUGUUCACAUUGCAUGCUAUGCUUGCUCCUAUGCCUUUGCCAUGCAAUUGUGACCCUUGCUUGCAUCUACCCAUGAUUCACCAUUAUGCUACUUCUAUGUGUAUUUGCAUGCUUGGUGGAGAUCCUUGUUGCUUUUGCCAUGUUUAUCAUGUGCCCCAUGCUAUUGAUGCUUGUUGUGUUGGGAGAGUCAUGAUGCCCCAUUGCUAUUUACAUAUGGUCUCUCGCCAAUACAUUGAUGACAUUUUACUCAUAUCUUGCUUUCAUGCUUGUGCUAUGACAUGUGAAUUAUUCAUGCCCACUAUUUGCACACAUUACAUGCUUGCCAUGAUUACUUCUAGUAUGUUGCAUCUUCGCACUACUAGCUUGCUUGACUUGAUCGCUAUGAUUGCUUCCUAUGUUGCAUCACCCAUGUUCCACUAUUACUUGCUUUCUUGGGUUGAUGACAUAUAUGCUCAUGCCUCUCACAUGAUAUAUCUUGAUCAUUGUCUCUUGUGUCUAUUAGUUGCCUCUUUCAUAUCCACUUGUAUUGAGUGCAACAAUACUAUGCUUAUUGAUCUUGGAGACUUUGACACAUUACUUGUGAUGCAUACUUCUUUCCUUGAGCCUCUUGUAUUUGGUUGUUCUUGCAUCAUAUGCCUCCACACUAUCAAAUGCUCCCUUGUACCUUCUUAUGAUGAGCAUGAUGCAUACACUUGUUGGGUAUCUUACCACUUGGAUGAUAGGUUUUGCAUUUCCGCUAACCUCAUUUGUUUUCCGAGUGUUUGUCAUGUUAUUUCAUUUUGAAGGAUUCACAAGGCAUUACCGUCAUGAGACAUAUUGGUUAUGUGAAGGCAUACAUGAUGUACGACUCCAAUAUCUUUGGGAACUAUCUUGAGGUGAACUCCUUCUCUUUGAGCCAUCCUCAAAUACGCAUAUUGGAUGGGUCACUCUUUCAUUGUUGUUUCCUUCUUGUUGUCUACAUGAUACAUCUCGUGAACGGAGGAGCGACAUUGGAGAUUGGCUACAUGGACCUUCACAUUGAGGAACGCUUGCACUUAUUGGAUGCACCUUCGGCAUUCCACUCAUGCCUCGACAUCGAGCUUUGGUACACCAACACCUUCAUAUUUGUUGAUUGUGCUCAUACAUGUCAUGCUCGAUGGACAUACCAUACUUACCACAAGUUUAUACCCUAUGCAUGGAUUGACUCACAUUAUGAUUGCCUUGUUGCAUCUUGUAUUACCAUGUCAUCCAUGAUAUAUGAGCUUGUUCACUUCCUUAGCAAAUUUGUUGUGAUCUUCCUUGAUGGCAUAUUCAUACAUCAUGAUCAUAUUAUCCACCAUCAAUUGCAUGAUAGCUUACACAUAUUGAGAAUCCAUUGCCAUAUUCAUGCUAUUGAUGAACCGUCCCUCUAUGACAUCAUUUUGCACAAUGAUAGAAAUUGUCGCUUCGUGCACCAUGCUAAUUAUCCCAUGAAUGCCUUGCAUAUCAUUCUAUAUCAUGUUGAUAAGCAUCAUGCGCUUUGUCACGCACUAUCCCUUCGCACGGACUCACGCUUAAUUGAUGGACACUUUGUGUGCGCUAACCAUUUUAUUUCCAAGUGUACUUUGUGUUUGCUCAUUUUGCAUGUACCACACACCGGAGACACCUUGGAGUACUUGGAUUGCUCAAGUCCUUCACCUACGUCCCACUACAAGUCCGUCCACGACACCCAUUUCCAUGGUGAUGAGGAUCACGAUCCGAGGUCGGAUCUUUCCCAGGGGGGGGAUAUGAUGCGGAGCAUCCCAUGUUCAUCCCCAUGUGCACUCCGACUACUCUCCAAGCCCCAAGAGGACAUAUGACGAGACCUCGAACAUACGCCAUUGGACACAAGGUGAAUUCACUCCUCUUCAAAUCGUCACUUUCCACAUGUGAGACAUGGCUACUACCUCAUGCAUGGACCUUGCAUACACUCAGGUACAACCAAGAUGACCAUGGAGAAUCCAAGGAUCAAGGCCAAGCAUGGAAGAGGAGAAGGAAGAAGAAGAAUGGAGCAAGACAGGACCUGCCCGGAUCAUCCGGACACCCAGCCGGACGAUCCGGACCGAGCCCGGACGAUCCGGACGACCACCCGGACAAUCCGGCUAACGUGCCCGAAGACACCCGAAGCUGCUCGACGAAGCCGGAUCAUCCGGACGGUCGCCCGGAUCAUCCGGACCCCCGACACCCGGAUCAUCCGGGCCACCAUCCGGAUCAUCCGGACCCCGCCUGCGUGCGUGACUUGGGCCGAAGCCCGUGUACCCCUUCGCCCCUCACUUACCCCUUCGUGGCUUAGCACUAUAAAUAGACCUCCUCCUCCCCAGUUUGAGGGUUAGCAUUGGAUUAGCUCAUAUUUGUGUGAGAGCCUUUGCUCAUCCACUUGGAUACUUCUCCUCGGAGAUCACGACCUCUUCGGAGAAGAUCCCCCAAGCGGAUUCAAGAUCCCUUCUAGGGAAGAACAUCAAGGCCUCCUCUCGGAGAAGAACGGUUCCUUUGUAUCCUUACGUUUGUUGACUUUGGAUCUUGUGGAUCUCUUAUGUGUGUGGUGAUCUAGUACUUGUGUGAUCGAUUCCUUGUUGGUUGAGUGAUUCUCUCUCGUUUUCCCCGUGAUUUCCCUUUGUGCUUCCGCGUGUUCUUCGCGAUUCCCCGUAGGAUCCACUCCAAACGUGAAAGAUCGACGCUAUAGGGUUCCACCCUACAUCACCUGUGCACAUCACUGGAGCUGUUCAACUUGGCGACCAAGUGCGCCAGGGCUUAGGAAGGGCGCCUCUCCCUCCUCGAGCUUCCAGCUGCCGACCCAGAAGAGAAGAAGCCCAAGGUCAAGGACGUGAAGCGCAAGGGGGCUGCUGUGCUCGCAGCAGAGCCAGACACCAAGCGAGGUAGGGAUCAACCUGAGUCAUCCAAGGGCAGCCGGUACUGCGUGUACCACAACCUCCACACCCACAACACCAAUGAAUGUCAAGAGCUCAGGGCCGUGUGAGAUGGGCAUAUCGGCCGACGUCGACCGCAACGACCGGGGCUAUGGCCGAGGAGGAGGAAGAGGUGGAGGACGAUGGGAAGACCAUGGCCCUCACCAAGGGUGGCGUAACCGACCUCGCGAGGACUGCUGGCAGGACCAGCCUCGUGAGGGAGGUUGGAGGGAUUAGCCUCGCAAGGACUACCCUCAAGGCAACGCAGGCCUCCCUCCUCUACCACCACCGCCAAGGAGGAAUGAAGACCAUCACCAAGACGAGGGGGCUGGGGGCUUCUAGGAGCCGCCCGCAAUCGCUUGCAUCCUGGGCGGCACUCAGGCCCAGCCUCUCAGCGCAUCUUCAAGCAGUUUGCUCGCAGGUGAAUGCAGUCCUCCCCAAGCUUGAGGCCACGUGCCCUGUCAGGUGGUCAGCAUGCGUUAUCACGUUCAGCUCAGCGGAUCAGCUCAAGUGCGCAGCAACGGCCGGAGUCCUCCGGAUGCUUUGUUCCCCAAUCAUCAGUAAUGUGCAAGUCACCAGGACCCUCAUCAAUGGCGGAGUAGGACUCAAUGUCCUGUCCGUUGAUACGUUCAACAAUCUCCAAGUGCCAUACGAUCAGCAUCAGCCGACCAAGCCUUUCUCAGUAGUCACUGAUGGUUCCACUGUUCCAAUAGGGCAAGUCCGCCUUCCUGUCACCUUUGGGCAGCGCAACAACUACCGCACCAAGCUCAUUGACUUUGACGUCACCCAUAUUCGCCUGCCAUACAAUGCCAUCCUUGGGUACCUGGCUCUGGCCAAGUUCAUGGCAGUAACUCACCAUGGCUACAAUGUCCUCAAGAUGCCAGGAAGCGGUGGAAUCAUCACAGUGCCCUGUGAGGAAAGGGAUGCAGUGUGUUCUCUUGAGCGUGGCUUCCAAGCCGCGGCAAUCGAAGACCCAGAUCACAGGAGCGGGAGGCUCCCAGAGGCGGUCCCUAAGAAGAAGAAGGCUUCACCUGGCUCGAACACUCACGAGGCAGGCACCUACAGAGGCGCUGCGUCAGGAUCCGCGCCCGUUCAAGGGGCACCACCCUCUGUCGCAUAGGAAGGCGCGCCCGACGCCCUCCUCGGGCAGGGCUCGGAGGCUCAGUCUUGGAGAGCCACUGACUUUGCCAAGGUCACGAGGGAGGUGCUCGGGCACCACUUGGAGGCGUGCUUCAAGGCACGUUUCCCUCAGGAAGGCAUGAUGCAAGGAGGGCCAAACCCUCAGGAGUUCAUCGCGAGGAACAUUCAGGAGCUGAGGGAGUCAAGAGUCAUGCGCGGCAGCCACCACCUACCCGCCGUAGCCCCACAUCCCGGCGAGGAUGGUGGGCUACGUGUCUGCAUCGACGUACCAGGGCUCAACCGAGCCGCGUCUCAGGAGUGCCUCUGGCCUUCACACGUGGGGCGUUGUGAGGGUCCACCUCACAGCUACGUUCGCAUGCCCUUCGGCCUGCCGAACACUGUUGCUGCCCACCAGCGCCUGAUGAAGAGAAUCCUGGAAGCUCAGGUGGCCAGGCACCGCACGUUCCUGGAGGAGAUGGAGAUGGACCUUGAGGAGCCUCUCGGACCCCUAGAGCCUCCCGAGGCUCAGGGCUCCGAAGGCUCGUGAGGGGUGGCUUCUUCACCACCCGUCGUCAGCUACUCCGACACUCGCUCUGCAACAGUAUCAGGUGAUGUCUUUCCAAGUUCUAUUUUCAGCUGGGAGCGCCCGCAGGGCCGCAUCAUUCCCAGGUCGCGUGGGUCCGUCCCUGCGGCAUGUAUCCGUUUUGCUUAUGCUCUUUACCUACCUUGUUGGGGGCGCCCCUCGGGCUGCAUUAUCCCCAAGCUGCUCGGGCCAGACCCAGUGGCAUUUACUUUUUCCGCAUCUAUCUAAAUGGAUUUGCUCCUUCAUGCUUAACCUGCUUGACUUAAUCGCCUGCUCGAUUGACACAUAUCUUUGGAGCCGCUCGCUCUGGCAUGGCACUUGCGCAUGGGUCCAUCCCUGCAAACACUGAAAAAUCUGAGUGAUUGAGCUCUGGUCGCGGCAGCCCCACAAGGCGCCACCUCACCAGGCCCUCAGUGCCCCUCUCACUCCCUCGGAGCGACCAAUGGUUGGCUGGCAACCGUAACGAUAGACCUUGUUUCCCCUCGUGAUUGAUAUGCAGGACCCGCUCCAGGAGUGACGCUGGUGGCAUCGCGAGCCUUCUCUCCUUCUUUCUGGCACGAUCCGCUCGCGCGUUAAAAGGGGGGUACCUGAGCAUCGCGACUCAUGGGCUCUUACUGGCUCUCCAGCCCUCACCCCCUGGCCUUGACCCACGGCAUCGCGACCUGUCAUACCAGCGGCGGCUGAGCUCGCUCGAGGGCCGGGACCUGAGGACGUAGAGCAUUAAGGAAAGUGCGAGGGAGAGGGAAGAAGCUCACGAGGGCCUAACCCAGCCACUCCUCAGCUGCCGCCACGCAGGCUCGGCACUUCGCCGAAGGCCACUCCAAACCUACGAGAUAAGUCACGCGAAAACUAAUUUGACUCGGCGCUAAACCCUCACCAAGUGCAGCUCUGUCACGGCAACGUUGCCUACCUCUCUUGCCCAGUGGAGGCUGCUUGAGCACUAAAGGAGACCUCCUGAGCAUCGCAACUCAGGAGAUCUUACUGGACCUCGGGCCGCUCACCUCCUGGCCUUGACCACGGCACUCCCGACCUGGCAUACCAGCGACGGCUGAAGCCUGCCUGGGGACUGGGACCUGUCAGCGUAGAUCACUAGGCCCUCGUGAGGGAAGAAAGGGGGAGCCGAGCCUGGACAGGACAAGUGUCGGUGUCAAAACCGGCGGAUCUCGGGUAGGGGGUCCCGAACUGUGCGUCUAGGCGGAUGGUAACAGGAGACAGGGGACAAGAUGUUUUUACCCAGGUUCGGGCCCUCUCGAUGGAGGUAAAACCCUACUCCUGCUUGAUUGAUAUUGAUGAUAUGGGUAGUACAAGAGUGGAUCUACCACGAGAUCAAGGAGGCUAAACCCUAGAAGCUAGCCUAUGGUAUGAUUGUUGUAAUGGUUGUUCGUCCUACGGACUAAAACCCUCCGGUUUAUAUAGACACCGGAGAGGGCUAGGGUUACACAGAAUCGGUUACAACGGUAGGAGAUCUACAUAUCCGUAUUGCCAAGCUUGCCUUCCAUGCCAAGGAAAGUCCCAUCCGGACACGGGACGAAGUCUUCAAUCUUGUAUCUUCAUAGUCUUGGAGUCUUGCCGAUGAUGAUAGUCCGGCUAUCCGGACACCCCCUAGUCCAGGACUCCCUCAGUAGCCCCUGAACUAGGCUUCAAUGACGAUGAGUCUGGCGCGCAUAUUGUUCGGCAUUGCAAGGCGGGUUCCUCCUCUGAAUAAUUCAUAAAAGAUUCGUGAACACCAGGAUAGUGUCCGGCUCUGCAAAAUAAAUUCCACAUACCACCGUAGAGAGAAUAAUAUGUACACAAGUUCAAUCUGCUGACGUAUUUCGUGGCAUGACAUCACGCCACUACCAAGCCUUUACUUGAAUCGUUUUCAUUAUACCACAUCAGCGCGUUUAGCGAAGCGGUUUCCUUGGCACGUCUUGUCGAAGCAGAGAUCGUGUUCCCCUUAUUCCGGGAUUCCCAUCAAUACGGACGUGGGUAACCCAACCGCGCCAUUGAUUGUGGCGCCUGGGAGAUAAGCGAGUUUUACCAGGCCGGUGGGGAUGCAUAGUCUUUGUCCGCCCAUAUAUAAGGGGAUAAGGAUCCACCUUUUUUACCUACGCCUUCUUCCUCCUUUGCUUAUCCAUCUCCGCGCACUCGAGCUCCAGCGCCCAAGUCCGCACAUCUCGUCUCAACCUUCUCCAGCCAUGUCCGGAGCGGGAGGCAAGUGGAUGGCUUCCUCCGUUACGGAGGGGCAUAUCGAGAAGCUGCGCGGCGCCGGAUACCUAUCCAGCGACAUCGCGCACCGGCUGCCCGACGAGGGGCAGCUCAUCCCCACCCCCAGGCCUCAUAAGAGGGUCGUAUUCCUUCCCCACUUCCUUCGCGGACUGGGCUUCCCACUUCAUCCCUUCGUCCGGGGGCUCAUGUACUACUACGACCUAGACUUCCACGAUCUGGCGCCAAACUUCAUCCUCAACAUCUCGGCGUUUAUCGUCGUGUGCGAGGCCUUCCUCUGCAUCCGGCCCCACUUCGGCUUGUGGCUAAAGACCUUCAAUGUCAAGCCGAAGGUGGUGAAGGGCGUUCAAGCGGAGUGCGGAGGCGCCAUGGUGGGCAAGAUGCCCAACGUCACUUGGCUCAAGGGCGCCUUUGUGGAAUCCGUCAAGGGGUGGCAAUCGGGGUGGUUCUACAUCACCGAGCCGCGUGACCCUAAAUGGGCAGCGGCCCCCGAGUUCAGAUCUGGUACCCCUAUGCAGCUCACCUCCUGGAAAGAGAAGGGCUUGCUAUGGGGUAGUUCGGAGGAGCUGACCGGACUCCAGUCCUGCCUCCAGACCCUGGUGAACAAGAAGCUCAAGCUUGUCAAUGUAAUCCAGGUCAUGCUCGUCCGCCGGAUUCUCCCCUGCCAGCAACGGGCCUUCAAUUUGUGGGAGUUCGAUCCGGCGCAGCACCGGACCCUGAGCGGGCUCUUCGACACGACGUACGAAGCUUCCUGGAGGGUGCUGUUCAAGGGGGGAGAAGCCCCCGCAUCCACAACUGAAGAUCACGGAUUCAGCACGAAGCGCCCGGCCGGGGAGGUGAGCUUUGCUAUCCUUUAUGGGACACUUAUUUCUUUCAUAGUUUGACUCUAUGUGGGAUCUAAAACUCCCAAUGCCUUUAACAGGACUGGCAGAGGACGUCCGGACAUGUUGACUGUCCGGCUCCCCUUCCUGAAGACCCAGCGGACACCCGUUUGACGGGGCUGCUGGUUCCGGCCCUUUACGUGGUGCCGGAGAAGAAGGCCAAGAAGAAGGCCACGGGAACCCGAAGGAGUUCCUGGCGCCGGGUGGUAUCGGACUCAUCGUGUGAUGGUUCCGAGGCGGACUCCUCCCCCGAAGACGAGGAGGAGAAAGAGGACUCUCCCCCAGAGGGGGGAGAGAGGAAGAGGAAGGCCUCCCCAACGGGGGAGGCCGAAGGGUCCAAGAAGGGAAGGAUCCUUCCUCCGGACUGCUCCGCCAACGCCGACGACGGCGACGAGGGGUGGCCCUCAAGGGCCAAGCCCCCGGCAAGAUCGUAAGUAUCCGGAUUCCUAAAUGAUUUAUAAUUUCUCUUUUAUGCCACAUAGUGUCCCUCUAAUGCCGCAUACAACCUGUAGUCUGGCCGAGGACGAUUUUCCCGCUUCUUCGAGCGGGUCCUUGGCUCCGUCGGAUGUGGAUUCCAUUCCGACCGCCUCCACCCCUCACGAUGCUAAGGACGCCGAGGUGGGAUCCCAGGAGGGGACCCGCCAGGAGGGGGAGGCUCCGGAGGUGCCGCAAGGCAACCUCCCGGACUUCACACCGGACUCCACAUCGGAACCCGCAGUGGUUCCGGAGUCCGGCAGGCGGCCCCUUCGUAAGAAGGGCAAGACUGUGACACCGGCAGCCUCCGUCCAACCGGAGGCGUCGGACAACUUGUUGGAGACGCUCAACGGCACUUCCAUCGAGGAAGAACACCGCACUAUCAUGAGUGCGGUGAUUCAGAAGGUUCAGCUCGCCAAGAGCGGGCUGACCGAAGCCUGUAGCAGCCUUCUAACAGGCUUUGAGGUAAGAAAUUUUAAAAUAUGUAAUGUAAUACCGCAUAGACAGUAGCCCCUGAUGCUCGGUUCGGUGUUCGGAAAGAAAAACCGGACCGAGGAUCUAAAAAAGAUAUACGUAGGAGUUCUAAAAAUUAUGUCAAUAUGGGUUUGCUGGCUGCGCUGCUGACCUCUGCCGCACUGACUGCGGAGGUCGAUGCUUUGAAGCUGAACCUCGAGCGGUCUGAGAACGAGCUCGGCCUUGCCAAGAAGCAGCUCGAGGACAAAGAAGGUGAGUAACACCGUAUUAAAUUUGUACCUUACAGAAAAGGAUUUUGGUUGCAAUAGAAAUAACGAGGAUAACAUGGGCACUGCAGGGGCCACGAACGAGGUGGCGACCCUGAAGGAGGCCGUGUCCGCGGCCGAACGUAAUGCGGCCACGGAACGAGCGGAGCGAGAGAAGCAGGAGGCGCGGGUGGCGGAGGUGCGGCAAGAGCUCCAGGCUCUCAUGGAAAAGCAUGAGAGUUUGGAGCGCGACUCGAAGACUCGAGAGUCCGAGCUUGCCUCGGCUCUUGAGAGUGCCAAAGCCGCUAAGGCCAAGGCCCAUAAGGCCCUCCAGGAGAUUGACGCGAUGAAGAAAAUAGCAGCGGGUAAGGCAUUUUUCAUGCAAAGCAAGCAUGUGAAUGUGAAUUACCUGUUACUUACCCGAAUUCGGAGCUCUCCAGGAGCGUUUGCAGAUCUGCCUCGCAGCGUGUCCGAUGCCGCCGCAUUCUACCGGGCCGAGGAGGGGAGCUCAACGAAGAAGGUCUUUUGGUCUCAGUAUGCUGAGGCCGGACAUCCGGUGCCCCUUAGCGACCAGCUGAAGCAGCUGGUCGAGCUCCACAAGGUAGCCGAGCAGGCCAUGAAGGGCCUCAUAGUCCGGCUGUGGCCUGAAGAGGCCAUGCCUGGGAGCUACUUCGGCAUGGUGCGGCAGCUGGUGGAUGCGUGUCCCUGGGUGGAAGUCAUCAAGCGCUCCGCCUGCAUUGAAGGUGCCCGUCGGGCCAUUGCCCGCGCAAAGGUGCACUAGGGCAGGCUGGAUGCUGAGAAGCUUCUGACGGACGCGCCGCCGGCGGGCAAGGAGUAUUGCACGCCCGAAAUGAAUUAUAAGAGUGUCCUGAAGGGUGCCCGCAAGAUUGCGGAUGAGUGCCCGAAGGAUGUAAUAUUUGAGUAGACUCGCAAUGUGUUAUCCUGUGCGCUGAAAAUUUUGUUCAUAUGCGCUAAGCAACGCUUAUUAAUUUAAAAUAUUACCUUCUAUGUGGCCAUUUAUCAAAUCUGAGAGAUGGCAAGUCGUCGGCUUCAGCCCCCAUGCCACGAGUGCUGGGGUGUUCGGGAUAAACUUGAGCGCUCUUGUUCCCGUUUUUGGGUCCAUCUAGGGAGGCGCUCAACACGACGAACAAGGCAACCGGACUUAUAAUGCUUGAACACUCUCACUUAGCCAUAGAAUUCUAUAAUUUUAAAUUUCGGCGAAGCCCCUAGUGUUCGGAAGACCGAGUUCGGGGCGCUAUCCACGCCUGGGCCGGACACAGCCGGUUCCUCGCUCUAAGCGGCAUAAGUCUUUAGGGACUCGAAAAGACCUCUCGAACAGCGACCAGCUCUCGCCUUAUCAUGACGGUCAGUUUUAGCUUUCUCCACUGAGGCGCUCGCCCAGCUCAACCGGAGCGCAAUCGCAGUGGUUCUCCCAGUGCUACCUUAGCCGAUAGAACGGAACGUAAGGUACCAAAACAUGGGAGCCGGGCAAACCCAACUAUUGACCCAAGACAUGAUUCGGAGCCGAUGCAUAUAGUGCUAUAAGUUCGGGGUGCCGCACUUGUGAAAUUGUUCGGACUUAUCACACCGUAAAGCGGGGAACAUAAGCCCCUGGUGUAUUCGGCCGUACCAAAGUGUACGGAUACAAGAUGUCAUAAAUGAACAUAUAUGUAAAGAAAAGGAAUGCAAUUAUAAGCAAAAAGUGAUGCAUUGUUUAUUCCAGGAAGUCUGCCACGAGUGCAGAACGAUACAAAUAGUGCGGUAAACAAGGGAUUGGACUAUUAAACAUGUCCCCCUCCAGGGGUAGGCUACGGAAUGGUGUAUUAAACAUAUUUAAUGCUCAUAGGAGACCACCUGAGUGUUCGUCGUAGCCAUUGUCCUUCCCUGGCUGUUGCAUCGUGAGUUCGGCAGGUCCACUGCCCGACAGGGCCUCUGGUGAACGGAGUCCUAUGGAAAAAAAGAAAAACAAAAAGAGCGACACACUUGGGAGCCCCUGGUGUGGUUAAGCCACACUCUGGGCUUGUCAUGGUCGUGCCCCACCCCCUAUGCCCAUGGUAUCUCCAGAGCGUAAUGAUGUAUGCGAAGGGCUAGUCUUGCAAUCAUGCAGGGGCUGGGGUUGGGGCCGCAUUGCUACGCAUGCUCGGAACGUGCCAGGUGGUCUUGAUGUAUGUUACUCCGGGCGCGUUUGGCCCUGUCCGGUCGUUUAACAGCCGGACUCGAAAAUUGCCUUAAGAGGCUGCUCUGUACUUCCGCCGCGAGAACCGCUGUGUGUUCCUCCAUUCGGAGGGAGCGUUCAGUGUUUUCGUUGACCGUGAUGACUCCGUGAGGGCCUGGCAUCUUGAGCUUAAGGUAUGCAUAAUGCGGCACCGCGUUGAACUUUGCAAACACGGUUUGUUCGAGCAGAGCGUGAUAGCCACUGCGGAACGGAACUAUGUCGAAGAUUAACUCCUCGCUUUGGAAAUUAUCCGGGGAUCCGAAGACCACUUCUAGUGUGACUGAGCCUGUACAAUUGGCCUCAACACCUGGUAUGACACCUUUGAAGGUCGUCUUUGUAAAUUUAAUCCUUGAGGGGUCUAUGCCCAUCUUGCGCACUGUAUCCUGAUAAAGCAGGUUCAGGCUGCUGCCGCUGUCCAUCAGGACUCUAGUGAGGUGAAAUCCAUCGAUGAUUGGGUCUAAAACCAAUGCGGCGAAUCCGCCAUGGCGGAUACUGGUGGGGUGGUCCCUUCGAUCGAAAGUGAUCGGGCAAGAGGACCAUGGAUUGAACUUCGGGGCGACUGGAUCCAUCGCAUAUACGUCCCUAAGUGCACGCUUCCGCUCCCUCUUGGGUAUGUGGGUUGCGUAUAUCAUGUUUACCGUCCGCACUUGUGGGGGAAAACCCUUCUGUCCUCUACUGUUCGGCGACUGGGUCUCUUCCUCGUCAUCGCUAUGCAGCCCCUUGUCAUUGUUUUCGGCAAUUAACUUGCCUGCCUGCUUGAACACCCAACAAUCCCUGUUGGUGUGAUUAGCUGGCUUUGCGGGGGUGCCAUGUAUCUGGCAAGAGCGGUCGAGUAUUCGGUCCAAAUUGGACGGACCCGGAGUAGUUCGUUUAAAUGGCUUUUUCCGUUGACCGGGUUUGGAGCCUCUGAAUCCAGCGUUGACUGCCGUAUCUUCCGUGUUAUCGCCGUUAACGCGGCGUUUGUUUUUGUUACGACGCGACCUACCAUUGCGGUCCUUGUUGUCCGGACUGCCAGAAUUUUUGCUGAGGUUGUUACUGCAGGCUAGCCAGCUAUCCUCCCCCGCACAGAAGCGGGUCAUGAGUGAUGUGAGGGCUGCCAUGGAUUUCGGCUUUUCCUGUCCUAGGUGCUGGGCCAGCCACUCAUCGUGGAUGUUAUGUUUGAAGGCUGCGAGGGCCUGUGCAUCCGGACAGUCGACGAUUUGAUUUUUCUUUGUUAAGAACCGUGUCCAGAACUGUCUGGCCGAUUCGUCUGGCUGCUGAAUUAUGUGGCUUAGGUCAUCAGCAUCUGGUGGUCGCACAUAUGUGCCUUGGAAGUUGUUGAGAAAUGCGGCUUCCAGGUCCUCCCAACACCCAAUUGACUCUGCUGGCAAGCUGUUAAGCCAAUGCCGAGCUGGUCCUUUAAGCUUGAGUGGGAGAUACUUGAUGGCGUGGAGAUCGUCACCGCGGACCAUAUGGAUAUGAAGGAGAUAAUCUUCGAUCCAAACCGUGGGGUCUGUUAAUCGUAGGAUUCAAUGUUCACGGGUUUAAACCCUUCAAGGAUUUGAUGAUCCAUUACUUCAUCUGUGAAGCAUAGUGGGUGUGCGGCGCCUCUAUACUGGGCAAUAUCACGACGUAGCUCGAGAGAGCUUUGUCUGCUGUGUUCGGCCCAGCCGGAGUUGCUGUAUCCGGCACGACGGUAGUCGUCGUGGAUUGUGGGGUGCCCACGUGAUCCGUAGAUAGAUCUUGAUUGUUUUUCCUUGUCCUCCAAUAUGUCUCGCAAGUCCGGCGCAUUCCCCUGUGGCUUCGCGCUUUUCGAGCAGUGCCGGGGUACGGUUCUGGUGGAGGGCCUAGAUGCCUCUCUGUCGCGGCCACGAGGUGGUCGGUCUGCCGUAUUGUGCGCUGGUGAUGAAGGUUUAUAUGCCUCCUCCUCUAAUCGGGGGAGCAACUUGCGUUUUGGGUAGCUUUUGGAGGGGCGUUCGAGUUCAUGCUCUUCGGCCGCGAGGACCUCGGUCCAUCUGUCGGCCAGCAGGUCUUGAUCAGAUCGGAGCUGUUGCUGCUUUUUCUUCAGGCUGUUCGCCGUGGCCAUUAGCCUGCAUUUAAAACGCUCUUGUUCGACGGGAUCCUCGGGCACGACGAAUUCAUCGUCGUUGAGGCUUGCCUCGUCUCCGGAGGGAGGCAUGUAAUUGUCAUCCUCGACCUCUUCGUCUGCCGCACUCUUGUGAGGGCUGGCUUCUGCGUCCUCCUGCGCUGAAUCUUGCUGGAGGGGGUUGUCUUCGGCACUCUCUGGGGUGUUGUUAUCUCCGGUGCCGGAAUCUCCAUUCUUACUGUGGCAAGAUUUAGAGCGGCGCCGCUGACGUCGGCGCUUGGGCUGUUUCUUAGAGGAAUCUGCCUCUGCUGCUUCUUCGCUGUUCCCAUCCUUUAGGAUGUCCACCAUGUAUAUGUCGAAUGACGAGGUGGUCUUCCAGUGCCCCAUAGGCGCUGGUUCUUGGUCGUCUCCGGCAUCAUCGUCCAUACCGUUGAUGUCUUCAGAGUCGUAGUCUAGCAUGUCGGUUAGAUCGUCAACAGUGGCUACAAAGUGGGUGGUGGGUGGGCUUUGAAUUUCUUUGUCGUUCGCAUCCCAACCAUCUUGACCACAGUCCGGCCAGGGCUCUCUUGAUAACGAGAGAUACUUUAGCAAAUUACGGAUGUCGCCAAAGGGUGAGUGCUGAAAGAUGUCCGCAGCGGUGAACUCCAUGAUCGGCGCCCAAUCGGAUUCGAUUGGCAGGGGCACAGGAGGUUCGGAGUCCGGCAAGGAGUCCAGCACCUCGGAGUCACGAGCUUUGCAAGGGACAAGGUCAGUAUUCGGCUCCAUCGCCGUAGAAGUUGCAGCACCCGAGGCGGUGUCCAGCCACCCGUCCUCGAUCUGCGCGGUCGGCUCCGAACUAUGGGUCAGAGCGGACUCAUGUGCGGCCUCCAGGGUACCGUCCGGUGGCAGAGCUAAAUCGUGCCCAUCGUGACAGUGCGGCGCGCUCGGCUGUGGCUCGAAUCCCUCGAAGAUCAAGUCUCCGCGGAUGUCGGCCGUGAAGUUUAGGCUUCCAAACCUGACCUGAUGGCCAGGGGCGUAGCUUUUGAUCUGCUCCAGAUGGCCAAGCGAAUUAGCCCGCAGUGCAAAGCCGCCGAACACGAAGAUCUGUCCGGGGAGAAAAGUCUCACCCUGGACUGUGUUGUUGUUAAUUGAAGAAGCCAUCACGCCUAUCGGUGACGACACAGAGGAACUCUCAAUGAAAGCACCAAUGUCGGUGUCAAAACCGGCGGAUCUCGGGUAGGGGGUCCCGAACUAUGCGUCUAGGUGGAUGGUAACAGGACACAGGGGACACGAUGUUUUUACCCAGGGUCGGGCCCUCUCGAUGGAGGUAAAACCCUACUCCUGCUUGAUUGAUAUUGAUGAUAUGGGUAGUACAAGAGUGGAUCUACCACGAGAUCAAGGAGGCUAAACCCUAGAAGCUAGCCUAUGGUAUGAUUGUUGUAAUGGUUGUUUGUCCUACAGACUAAAACCCUCCGAUUUAUAUAGGCACCGGAGAGGGCUAGGGUUACACAGAGUCGGUUACAACGGUAGGAGAUCUACAUAUCCGUAUCGCCAAGCUUGCCUUCCACGCCAAGGAAAGUCCCAUCCGGACACAGGACGAAGUCUUCAAUCUUGUAUCUUCACAGUCUUGGAGUCCGGCCGAUGAUGAUAGUCCAGCUAUCCGGACACCCCCUAGUCCAGGACUCCCUCAACAAGCAUCUCACAUCGAUUCAUACUAGGGAUAUAAUAUUUACAAAAGACAUGGCCAGCGCCUUACAUACCCCCGCGGGGUGGUACCUCGAUUCCUCGCAGGGAACAAAAGGUGCUAAUCCUAGGGAGUGCUAACUACGCGCACCUCCGCAAGAGACGCCAUCAUCAACAGUGGGUCGUCAGGCACUGGCGCCAACCCCAUCCAGAUCAGUGGCAUCGGCGGCCUGAUGCAACUGCCCUGCUCCGGGAGCGACGCGAGCUUGGGGGCUCGUAGCUGUCGUCGCUCGUCUCCGGAGUCGUGAGAAGCUCGGUGGAGUCGCUGGACCCUCCAGCACCUCCGCUGCCGCCCGAGGAGCUGCUGGGGAAGCAGCUGGCGAGCCUGGUUGUCGCCAUGACAAUGCUCCGGCCGCCCUUCUCGGGGCAGCAUUCCAGCCGGCAUCCUUCUGUGUCGAAGACCUUGAAGAACAUCAGGGAGGCGCCGUCGUAUUUGAGGUGGAUUACAAGGGCGCCCCCUGUCUGGCAGACCCGGGCGAUCUCGCCCCAGCCACGGGUCAUGUAGACCUUGCCCGAAGCGACAACCUCGACCUCCGCUCCGGUCGCAGGGGUACUGCAGUCAGCGUGCUGCAGCCAGAGCUCGAGAGGCCCCUUCAGCAGGAUCUCAAAGGCGAAGGAGGGAGGAAGGCGAAUCCAAGAUCGAGGAGGCAUGGCGGCAUGGCGCACAAGCUCGCGAGAGGAGCCCUCUGCGUGGACUCCAGGAGGAACGACGCGCACCGCCGUGACCCACCGGCGUCAAUGGCGGCAUCGCCAGUGUCGCUCGGUGCCUUCUUCUCCAGGGCCCUCGAUGCGGGCAUACAAGGGCAGCGGGAAUCCAGGCGGCGGCCGCUCGUACCAGGGCCUCGACAUCUCCUGCCAGGCGCCCUCAUCUCGACGGCAUAGGACUAGCCGCUUCUUCGGCGGAAGCGGGUCGGGACCCUCUCGGGGGGCCUUCCCCUUCUCUUCUGCAGAAAACCGGCGAAUUGGUGCUAUUGGCAUGAGGUGGAGCAAGGGCGAGGAUGAAGGAGAAAGGAGUAGCAGGGGGAGAUGAACUGGAAUGGCUUGCGCCAUAUCGUACUUAUAGCCGGAGGAGGCCAACCGCCAGCCUCCACGAUCGCAGGUAAUCAUGACUGCUACGUCUUUAGCUUGCGUUGGUUUUCGUCGAAGAGGAGAGGGUGAUGCAACAAGUGUAGAAUAAGUAUUUCCCUCAGUUUUGAGAACCAAGGUAUCAAUCCAGUAGGAGGCUCCUCAAAAGUCCCACACACCUACACAAACAAACUGAGAACUCGCAACCAACACAAUAAAGGGGUUGUCGAUCCCUUCACGGCCACUUGCGAAAGUGAGAUCUAAUAAAGAUAGUAAGAUAAGAUAAAUAUAUUUUUGGUAUUUUAUAAUAUAGAUGCAAAAAGUAAAGAUGCAAAUAAAGGUAGAUUGAAAGCAAAUAUGAUAAGAGAUAGACCCGGGGGGCAUAUGUUUUACAAGAGGCUUCUCUCAAGAUAGCAUAAGUAUUACGGUGGGUGAACAAAUUACUGUCGAGCAAUUGAUAGAAAAGCGCAUAGUUAUGAGAUUAUCUAGGCAUGAUCAUGUAUAUAGGCAUCACGUCCAUAACAAGUAGACCGACUCCUGCCUGCAUCUACUACUAUUACUCCACACAUCGACCGCUAUCCCGCAUGCAUCUAGAGUAUUAAGUUCAUAAGAACAGAGUAACGCAUUAAGCAAGAUGACAUGAUGUAGAGGGAUAAACUCAUGCAAUAUGAUAUAAACCCCAUCUUGUAUCCUCGAUGGCAACAAUACAAUACGUGCCUUGCGACCCUUUCUGUCACUGGGUAAGGACACCGCAAGAUUUAACCCAAAGCUAAGCACUUCUCCCAUGGCAAGAAAGAUCAAUCUAGUAGGCCAAACCAAACUGAUAAUUCGAAGAGACUUGCAAAGAUAACUCAAUCAUACAUAAAAGAAUUCAGAGAAGAUUCAAAUAUUAUUCAUAGAUAAACUUGAUCAUAAACCCACAAUUAAUCAGAUCUCGACAAACACACCGCAAAAAGAGUUUACAUCGAAUAGAUCUCCACAAGAGAGGGGGAGAACAUUGUAUUGAGAUCCAAAAAGAGAGAAGAAGUCAUCUAGCUAAUAACUAUGGACCCGUAGGUCUGUGGUAAACUACUCACAACACAUCGGAGGGGCAAGGAUGUUGAUGUAGAAGCCCUCCAUGGUCGAUUCCCCCUCCGGCAGAGUGCCGACGAAGGCUCCAAGAUGAGAUCUCGCAGAUACAGAAGGUUACGACGGUGGAAAUUGUGUUCGUGGUGCCCCUGGAUGUUUUCGGGGUAUGUAGGUAUAUAUAGGAGGAAGAAGUACAUCGGUGGCCGCCCGAGGGGCCCAUGAGACAGGGGGCGUGCCCUACAGGGGGGCUCCUAUCUCGUGGGGGCCUCGGCUGCUUCUUGACUUGCACUCCAAGUCCCCUGGAUCACGUUCGUUCCCAAAAUCACGCUCCCAAAGGUUUCAUUCCGUUUGGACUCCGUUUGAUAUUCCUUUUCUUCGAAAUACUGAAAUAGGCAAAAAAACAACAAUAUGGGCUGGGCCUCCGGUUAGUAGGUUAGUCCCAAAAAUGAUAUAAAUGUGUAAAAUAAAGCCCAUAAACAUCCAAAAGGGGUAAUAUAAUAGCAUGGAACAACCAAAAAUUAUAGAUACAUUGGAGACGUAUCAAGCAUCCCCAAGCUUAAUUCCUGCUCGUCCUCGAGUAGGUAAAUGAUAAAAAGAGAAUUUUUAAUGUGGAAUGCUACCUAGCAUAAUUCAUAAUGUAAUUUUCUUUAUUGUGGCAUGAAUGUUCAGAUCCAAAUGAUUCAAAAUAAAAGUUCAUAUUGAUAAAAGAAAUAGUAACACUUCAAGCAUACUAAUCAAAGUAAUCAUGUCUUCUCAAAAUAGCAUGGCAAAAGAAAGUUCAUCCCUACAAAAUCAUAUAGUUAGGCUAUGCUUCAUUUUCGUCACACAAAGAUGUUCCCAACUUCUAUACCCCCGAUGACAAGCCAAGCAAUUGUUUCAUACUUAAAUAAUCUCAAACUUUUUCAACCUUCACGCAAUACAUGAGCGUGAGCCAUGGAUAUAGCACUAUGGGUGGAAUAGAAUAUGAUGAUGGGGAUUGUGUGGAGAAUACAAAAAAGAGAAAGUCUCACAUUGACGAGGAUAAUCAACGGGCUAUGGAGAUGCCCAUCAAUUGAUGUCAACAUGAGGAGUAGGGAUUGCCAUGCAACGGAUGCACUAGAGCUAUAAAUGAAUGCUCAACAAAAGAAAACUAGUGGGUGUGCAUCCAACUUUCUUGCUCACGAAGACCUAGGGCAUUUGAGGAAGCCCAUCGUAGGAAUAUACAAGCCAAGUUCUAUAAUGAAAAAUUCCCACUAGUAUGAAAAAGACAACUUAUGAGACUCACUAUAUGAAAAAUAUGGUGCUACUUUGAAGCACAAUAUAUGAGACUCACUACAUGAAGAACAAGGUGCUACUUUGAAGCACAAGUGUGGAAAAAGAGAUAGUAACAUUGCCCUUUUUAUUUAUUUUUCUUUAUUUUUCCUUUUUUUCUUUUUUUGGGCCUUUUUUUCUUUUGGCCUUUCUUCUUUUUUUCUUUCUUUUUUUUUAUUUUUUUCUUCUUUGGGCAAUGCUCUAAUAAUGAUGAUCAUCACACUUCUAUUGAUUACAACAUAAGAAUUACAACUCGAAACUAGAACAAGAUAUGACUCUAUAUGAAUGCCUCCGGCGGUGUACCGGGAUGGUGCAAUGAAUCAAGAGUGACAUGUAUGAAAAAUAAUGCACGGUGGCUUUGCCACAAAUACGAUGUCGACUACAUGAUCAUGCAAUGGCAAUAUGACAAAAGUAAAGUAUGUCAUGAUGAUGAUGAACGGAACGGUGGAAAGUUGCAUGGCAAUAUAUCUCGGAAUGGCUAUGAAAAUGCCAUAAUAGGUAGGUAUAGUGGCUGUUUUGAGGAAGAUAUAAGGAGGUUUAUGUGUGAUAGAGCGUAUCGUAUCACGGGGUUUGGAUGCACCGGCGAAGUUUGCACCAACUCUCAAAGUGAGAAAGGGCAAUGCACGGUACCGAAGAGGCUAGCAAAGGCGGAAAGGUAAAAGUGCGUAUAAUCCAUGGACUCAACAUUAGUCAAAAGAACUCAUAUACUUAUUGCAAAAAUUUAGAAGUCAUCAAAAAUCAAGUACUACGCGCAUGCUCCUAGGGGGAUAGAUUGGUAGGAAAAGACCAUCGCUCGUCCCCGACCGCCACUCAUAAGGAUGCACAAGCCAGGUACACUUCAUGUUUCAAAUUUGUUACACCACUUUAACCAUACGUGCAUGCUACGGGACUUGCUAACUUCAACACAAGCAUUCUUUAAAUUCAUAAUCACCCAACUAGCAUGACUUUAAUAUCACUACCUCCAUAUCUCAAAGCAAUUAUCAAGUAUCAAAUUGAUCAUAGCAUCCAAUUCACUUCCUAUGAUAGUUUUUAUUAUAUCCAACUUGGAUGCCUACCAUUCUAGGACCAAUUUUAUAAAGCAAAUACCAUGCUGUUCUAAAAUACUCUCAAAAUAAUAUAAGUGAAGCAUGAGAGACUAAUAAUUUCUUCAAAAUUAAGACACCACCGUGCUCUAAAAGAUAUAAGUGAAGCACUAGAGCAAAAACUAUCAAGCUCAAAAGAUAUAAGUGAAGCACAUAGAGUAUUCUAGCAAAUUCUAAUCAAAUAGGCUUCUCCCAAAAGGUGUGUACAGCAAGGAGAUUGUGGUAAACUAGAAAGCAAAGGCUAAUAUAAUACACGACGCUCCAAGCAAAACACAUAUCAUGUGGCGAAUAAAAAUAUAGAUCCAAGUAAAGUUACCAAUGAACGAAGACGAAAGAGGGGAUGCCUUCCCGGGGAAUCCCCAAGCUUAGGCUUUUGGCUAUUCUUGAAUAUCUUGGGGUGCCUUGGGCAUCCCCAAUCUUAGGCUCUUGCCACCCUUUAUUCCAUAGUCCAUAAAAGCUUUACCCAAAACUUGAAAACUUCACAACACAAAACUCAACAGGAAAUCUUAUAAGCUCCGUUAGUGAAAGAAAACAGAACCACCACAGAAGGUACUGCCAUGAACUCAUUCUUUAUUUACUUUGGUGUUAAACCUACUGUAUUCCAACUUCUUUAUGGUUUAUAAACUAAUUUACUAGCCAUAGAUGCAUUGAAAUAAGCAAACAACACACGGAAAACAGAAUCUGUCAAAAACAGAACAGUCUGUAGAAAUCUGUAACUAACGCAAACUUCUGGAACUUUAAAAAUCCUACCAAAAUAGGAAGUCCUGGAAAAUUUGUUUAUUGAACAUCAGCAAAAAGAAUUAACGCAAAAUCACGUUCCUGUGAUUUAACAAAAUUAUAUUUGUGCGUGCAAAGUUUCUGUUUUUCAGCAGAAUCAAAUCAACUAUCAUCGUAGGUUAUCCUAUAGGUUCUACUUGGCACAAACACUAAAUAAAAGAUAAAAACACAUCUAAACAGAAGGUAGAUGCAAGAUUUAUUACUAAACAGGAGCAAAAACAAAAAACAUAAAGAAAAUUGGGUUGCCUCCCAACUAGCGCUAUCGUUUAACGCCCCUAGCUAGGCAUAAAAGUAAGGAUAGAUCUAACGAGUGCCAUCUUUGGCACUAAAUUCAUAAGUAGCACGCAUGAUAGAUUCAUAAGGUAAUUUGACUUUCUUUCUUGGAAAGUGCUCCAUGCCUUUCUUUAAGGGAAAUUGGAAUCUAAUAUUCCCUUCCUUCAUAUCAAUAAUCGCACCAAUCGUUCUAAGGAAAGAUCUACCAAGAAUAAUAGGGCAAGAAAGAUUGCAAUCUAUAUCAAGAACGAUAAAAUCUACGGGCACCAAAUUUCUAUUUGCAACAAUGAGAACGUCAUUGAUCCUUCCCAUUGGCUUUUUAAUGGUGGAAUCCGCAAGAUGCAAAUUUAAAGAGCAAUCAUCAAGAUCAUGGAAACCUAGAAUAUCACAUAAAGUUUUCGAAAUCGUGGAAACACUAGCACCCAAAUCACACAAAGCAAAACACUCAUAAUCUUUAAUUCUAAUCUUUAUAGUAGGUUCCCACUCAUCAUUAAGUUUUCUAGGUAUAGAAACUUCCAAAUUAAGUUUUUCAUCAUAAGAUUGCAUCAAGGCAUCAACGAUAUGUUUGGUAAAAGCUUUAUUUUGACUAUAAGCAUGAGGAGAAUUAACAACGGAUUGCAACAAGGAAAUACAACCUUUUAAAGAGCAAUUAUCAUAAUCAAAUUCCUUGAAAUCCAAGAUAGAAGGUUCAAUAUUAUUAGAAGUCGAGGAUUCUCCAAUCUCACUUUUACCAAAUUUCGCAUUAAGAUCUAAAGAUUCUGAAUUCUUGGGACGCCUUCUAGGCAAAGUUGAUUCAUCAUCAGUCCCAUAAUCAUCAAAAUUCAUAUUGCAAAACAUAGAUCUAAUAGGAGACGCAUCAAUAACUUUAAGAUCCUCAUCAUUAUUUUCCUCUAAAUUUUCUGGUUUAGCGGCCAUCUUAUUGACUAAGGUGGCUUGCUUAUCAGAAAUUUUGGCUAUAGCAUUUUCAAGACGGGUAAUUUGAGCAUUAACACCAAAAAUUCUUUAUUCAUAUAAUCAAGCUCUUUGUUCAUAAAUCCCAAGAAACUUUUUUGUUCCUUAAGUUCUUUUCUAAAGAAAUUAUUACGCUCAAACUACAACUUCAUAAAGCUUAUAAUAUUUGAUUCAAUCUCAUCCAUCCUUUUGAGAAGGUGGUCAGGACCCUUAGGUGAAGCCAUAUGGUCAAACAAGCACACAAGCACACAAAAGAAGGCAAGCGAAAAGAGAGAGAGGAGAUUGGGAAAGAGAGGGCAAAUAAAACGGCAAGGGUGAAGUGGGGAAGAGGAAAACGAGAGGCAAAUGGCAAACAAUGUAAAUGCGAGGGAGAUGGGUUUGUGAUGGGUACUUGGUAUGUCUUGACUUGAGCGAAGACCUCCCCGGCAACGGCGCCAGAAAUCUUUCUUGCUAUGUCUUGAGCUUGCGUUGGUUUUCCUCGAAGAGGAGAGGGUGAUGCAGCAAGUGUAGCGUAAGUAGUUCCCUCAGUUUUUGAGAACCAAGGUAUCAAUCCAGUAGGAGGCUCCUCAAAAGUCCCACGCACCUACACAAACAAACUGAGAACUCACAACCAACGCAAUAAAGGGGUUGUCAAUCCCUUCACGGCCACUUGCGAAAGUGAGAUCUAAUAAAGAUAGUAAGAUAAGAUAAAUAUAUUUUUGGUAUUUUAUAAUAUAGAUGCAAAAAGUAAGAUGCAAAUAAAGGUAGAUUGAAAGCAAAUAUGAUAAGAGAUAGACCCGGGGGCCAUAGGUUUCACUAGAGGCUUCUCUCAAGAUAGCAUAAGUAUUACGGUGGGUGAACAAAUUACUGUCGAGCAAUUGAUAGAAAAGUGCAUAGUUAUGAGAUUAUCUAGGCAUGAUCAUGUAUAUAGGCAUCACGUCCAUAACAAGUAGACCGACUCCUACGUGCAUCUACUACUAUUACUCCAUACAUCGACCGCUAUCCAGCAUGCAUCUAGAGUAUUAAGUUCAUAAGAACAGAGUAACGCAUUAAGCAAGAUGACAUGAUGUAGAGGGAUAAACUCAUGCAAUAUGAUAUAAACCCCAUCUUGUUAUCCUCGAUGGCAACAAUACAAUACGUGCCUUGCAACCCUUUCUGUCACUGGGUAAGGACACCGCAAGAUUGAACCCAAAGCUAAGCACUUCUCCCAUGGCAAGAAAGAUCAAUCUAGUAGGCCAAACCAAACUGAUAAUUCGAAGAGACUUGCAAAGAUAACUCAAUCAUACAUAAAAGAAUUCAGAGAAGAUUCAAAUAUUAUUCAUAGAUAAACUUGAUCAUAAACCCACAAUUCAUCGGAUCUCGACAAACACAUCACAAGAGAGGGGGAGAACAUUGUAUUGAGAUCCAAAAGGAGAGAAGAAGUCAUCUAGCUAAUAACUAUGGACCCGUAGGUCUGUGGUAAACUACUCACAACUCAUCGGAGGGGCAAGGAUGUUGAUGUAGAAGCCCUCCAUGGUCGAUUCCCCCUUCGGCAGAGUGUCGGCGAAGGCUCCAAGAUGAGAUCUCGCGGAUAUAGAAGGUUAUGGCUGUGGAAAUUGUGUUUCGUGGUGCCCCUGGAUGUUUUCGGGGUACGUAGGUAUAUAUAGGAGGAAGAAGUAUGUCGGUGGCCGCCCGAGGGGCCCACGAGACAGGGGGCGUGCCCUACAGGGGGGGGGGGGCUCCUAUCUCGUGGGGGCCUCGGCUGCUUCUUGACUUGCACUCCAAGUCCCCUGGAUCACGUUUGUUCCAAAAAUCACGCUCCCGAAGGUUUCAUUCCGUUUGGACUCCGUUUGAUAUUCCUUUUCUUCGAAAUACUAAAAUAGGCAAAAAAACAGCAAUAUGGGUUGCGCCUCCGGUUAGUAGGUUAGUCCCAAAAAUGAUAUAAAUGUGUAAAAUAAAACGCAUAAACAUCCAAAAGGGGUAAUAUAAUAGCAUGCAACAAUCAAAAAUUGAGAUACGUUGGAGACGUAUCAAUGACCCAUUUUUGCAUGCAGGGACUUGUCAAGUCAUGCCAUUGCCGAGGCGUCAUGGGGAAGCGGAGACGCCCAAGUCCAAUCAAUUGCCACGCGGCGCCCGAGGCCGCAGGCUGUUUGGGCCCGCGACGCUUCGCACUUGCCCCUUUGCUUCUCUGCUAAGUCAAGUUCGGGCGCGCCUUGGGCCCGGGGGCUACUGUCGGCGUUCUGAGAACGAGGGUCCCCAGACUUGCCUGCGUGCGGCCUGCGGCGUGGCUCAAGUGGGGGCCCAAUGCUGCCCAGCUUCAUCAGCUCAAGCUCAAGACCCUCGCGAGGGGCCAAGCCUCGCAGGGCGGACGACAGGAAGCUUCCUCAGGAGCAGCCUCCUCAGGCAGGCUCGCGAGGAGGCAGAGACAUCAAGGUAGGGUACCUCCCGAGGAGCCCGUGACGCAAGCCAUGACGAUCGAGACCAGGCGGGCGCUGACCUGUGCAGUGUCCUUGUUUCCCUUUCGGUGCAAAGGGGCAAGCACAGACCAAGGCAUCAGGCAAAGGUUACCGUUUCGGUGCAACAAGACCAAGACCAGCAGAACGGCAGGAUGGAGGUCAUCGUGGAGCCCAAGGCAGCGUCAUCGUCAGAGCCUUUGGCAGCCGAAGACCAACUUUAGUCAGGAUAAGUGUACUAGAUGUUCUCCUUCAAAAUGGCCAAUUGUUGGCGCCCUUCCCGCUCAUUAUUUGGGAAGAGGCCCAUGGCCUCCCUCUAUAAAUAGGGCUAGCCACCACAGAGUAGGGGAUGGGAUCUAGAGAACAGAUCGAUCAGAGAGAGAGAGAGAGAGAAAUAAGCGACUGAACUCACCCUAGCAGUUCAUCACACCAGCUCAAGAACAGCCCCUCGCGAGGCUGUUCUCCCUUUGUAUUGUUCAUCAUCAGUCCCAGAGGCAAUCCACCACACCACACACUGGAGUAGGGUAUUACACCACAAUGGUGGCCUGAACCAGUAUAAAUCUCGUGUCCCUUGUGUGUUCAUCUUUCUUGCUUAGAUCCUUGUGAGACUUCAACACGUGAGCUGGUAGGGGAAAGAUCUUCGUGUGCACCCCAGUGUUCGAACCUGAAGGGUCUGCCAGAACCCAAAAUCCGACACAUACUAGAGAUUGUUAUCAAUUGCCUCAAGAUGCAUUCGCAUCUUAUUCUUCUAGUAGGGGUAGCCUGUUCCAUCGAAGGUGGGAUACCCAGCAGAGACCUUGAUCAUACCUGCGGUCGACAUAACUAAAACUCCAGGCGGUUAAACCAAAAUCACAUAGAACAAGGGAGUACCUUGCUCUGAUACCAAUUGAAAGUGUGUUAUAUUGACUAGAGGGGGGGAGUGAAUAGGCGAUUUUUAUGAAUUCUUCACUGAGGAAUUUGCUGGUGAGGAAAUUCCUAAAUGAAGAACUACUAGCAGCGGAAUAAGUACUCAAAUGUAAACAUAACAGAGCACAAGCAUGGUUAUCAUAAAGGAAUGAAGACAAGCACAGAGUACAGAAAGCAUAAACACAGGAUAACACAGAAAGAAGAUGGACAUACUGAAGAAAUUGUACUGAGGAAAUUGAGAAAGUCUUCAGUCAAAGUCUUCAAACAGAUAUGAACAAGCACACAACAACAGAAAUGAGGAAAUGAAAGGGUUGACGAAAUAGAACCAGUAGGCUCAGUGAAGAUAAUGGUUUGGUAGACCAGUUCCAACUGUUGUCUCAGUUGUACGUCUGGUUGGAGCGGCUGAGUAUUUAAACUCGAGGACACAUAGUCCCGGACACACAGUCCUCACCGUAUUCUCCUUGAGCUAAGGUCACACAGACCUCGCCCAAUCACUCAUGGUAAGUCUUCUGGUGACUUCCAAACCUUCACAAACUAGGUCACUCGGCGAUUCACAAUUCCUCUUGGAUGCUCUAGACCAUGACGCCUAACCGUGUGGAAGAAGCACAGUCUUCAAAGGUAACAAUCAUCGAAUCCAUGCAGGAUCAAUCUCUUCAGUGAUGCUCAAUCACUUUGGGUUUGUAGGUGUUGGGUUUGGGUUUCCUCACUUGAUGAUUUUUGCUCAAAGUCCUCGGAGGAUGGGAUGCUCUCAAAUGACAAGUGUCAGUUUCUCUCAGAGCAGCCAACCAGCUAGUGGUUGAAGGGGGCGGCUAUUUAUAGCCUAGGGAGCAGCCCGACAUGAUAAGACAUAAAUGCCCUUCAAUGAUAUGACCGUUAGGUGGGAGGAUAUUUUGGGACAGCUGGCGCAUAGCACAGCAACAGUCGGAAAUUUGACUUUCAAAUUCCUCAGGGCUAUCAUGUUCCUCACUGUGUAGGCAAUCCGCACUGGUGAAUUCCUAACUCCUCAGUCAGAACAAAUUCCUCAGAGACCAGAAGAACUUUGUCUCUGUCACUGAAGAUUAUGACUGAACUGUAUGAGAUUUCCAAUGGCUUCACUCGAAGGGAUUGGUAGGUGUAGGAUUUUGAGUUGAGCAUGACAUGGAAAUUUUUCCUUAGUAUUUCCUCGACCCCCUUUAACAGUACGGUGUUUCCUAUGACUCAAGAAAGAGAAAAUGAAACUAUAAAAACAAAAGUCUUCACGCUUCAUGUUCCUCGAAUGAUUACCAAGUCUUCAAGGUCACACCAAUUUCUUCACUUUCAAAGUCUUCAGAAAUACAAAGUCUUCAACCAAAGAACUUCUUUUUUAGGGGUCGACUUUCUCUGUUAAUGUCAAACUCCACAUAGAAUUAUAGACCUGUGUACACUCACAAACGCAUCAGUCCCUUAAGCUACAAGUCUUCAAUACACCAAAAUCACUAAGGGGCACUAGAUGCACUUACAACUAUCUUAGGAGAUCAUCGAGAACUUUUAAAGCCUCAUGAGAAGUUACGCUUUGAAAAGCUCAAUCUUGAGCAAGAGCAUGAGUUCUUAAAAGCAAUCAAUGAUGAUCUUCGCAAGAAAAGUUCUUCUUACAUUGCCAAGCGUUUACUCUUAUCUACUUACAUGCCUCAAGUCAAGUCUAGUAACAAGAACAAGAAAUAUUCUUCCUCUAGUAGUAACAAUAAUCAUGCUAAAUCCAAUGUUGUUGCUUCUAGUAGUUCUCUUGAUUCCACUAAUGAUUCUCUUAGCCAAGUUACACUUGAGCAAGAAAAUAGCUUAUUGAAGGGAAUUAUAGAGAAAGGUGUUUACAAGCGCCUUGCCGGGAGUAAGCAAUUCGAGGAAAUUGUACGCAAGCAAGGAAGGCACCGGAAGAACCAAGGUGUUGGUUUUGAACGAAAGUUCAAUGCCAAUGGAGUUGAGUGGGAAGAAGAUCAAUACCCCAAGACGAAGUUUGUUCCUCAACAAGAGAAGUAUGAUCCUACUUCGUUCAAAGGGACACAAGCUCAAGAUGAUCUUCCACCACAAGACCACAAGCAAAAAGGCAAGGAUAAGCUUCAAGAGGAGAUUGAUGCAUUUGAAGAAGCUCCCAAGGCCUUGGUCAAGUGGGUUCCCAAGACUACAUCAAGUUCUACUUCAUCAAGUAUGACUACAACUCCAAGGAUUCCCAUCAAGAUGAUGUGGAUCCCGAAGAAGAAGAACUAGAGAGUUCUCGAGGGUGACUCCGCCAACAUAUUUCACUCUUGUCAUUUUGGUAAGGACAAGUGAAAUCAACUUCCACAUCUUGCACUAGUUCAAGGAGUCACAAACCCUCUUGUUGGUAAGACAAGGGACAAGGUAACCUAAUGCUUUCAUGGACAUCAUCUUGUGUGUGCAUCACUCUAUGUCUAUGGAUAUCCUUGUUUGUUCCUUGUGGGACUAACCCGUGUAGGUAUUGAAAGUGCAACUCACUCCAAUGGAUUGCUCCAAAUGAUCUACAUCAACAUUGAGCAUCUACAUCUUCAACACCUACAUGAAGUCAUCAUCGACAAAACCCAAGGUUAGUUCAUCCCUCUUAGGGGGGAUCUCACAUCUAGGGGGAGCUUUACUCAAAGAAUUGAGCCAAAGCAACUCUAAUGGUGUGAACACAACAAUGCUUUAUGUAAAAGUGGUAACCCCACUUGUGCUUAAACGAUGAGUAUGACCUAUGAUAAAAUGUUCUCAUUUGACUCCUAAGUCAAUAUACUCUUAUAUAGAUGACCUAGUCAUCGCCAAUUGCUUGAUAGAUGCUAGAAGUGUUUGUGCAUGCUUUGCUACAUAUUUCAUUUGCCAUUUUUGUUUUGUGAGCAUGUUGGUUGCGUAGUUUACUCAUUCGAGGACAUCCACUUGUAGUUUUGAUUGUUUGGUUUCUUUUCUUUUUGCCAAGUGGAUGGACAAGAAUUCCUAAGAACCUUCUCUAGCUAUCUAUGCUUUUCUUGUCUCAAACUAUAUUCAUGCUACACCAUGAAGUUUGAUCAAGUCAAACUCGAACCACUCUGUGUGAGGAGCACUCGGAGUUCCCGAUUCAUCAUAGACUUAAACUUCCAAAACCUCUUUGUGCGUUUCGGUCUGACCGAUGCAUCCAUUUCAGUCAUACUGAGAUCACUAAGUUGAUCUAGGUUUUCAAUCUCGGUGCACCCGAUCUGAACUUUUCGGUCACACCGAGUUGCAGUAACUGCUUGCAGUUAUGCAUCUCGGUGCCACUAAGUUGUUCAACUCGAUCACACCGACAGGGUCAGGCUAUAUAUACCCCGGGCGAAAAUUUGGAAACUUUUCCGAACCUCUUCGCCCGCGCACUGCCUGCUUGCCUCCUCGGGUCCGGAUCGUCCUCCUCGUCGCUAGCGACCUCCAGCCGCCGUCAACAGGAUUCUGCCCCACCGUUGUUACUGUAGCAAAUCCAUCGCCAAACUAGGGUAUGGAUUUGAAACUUUGUGCUAUUCCUAACUCCAAUUCCUAGCACAUUGCAUUGCCAUGAAUCUUGCCACAUUUGAGAUCUUCCUAUCCAGCGAAAUCACUCCGUAGAUUAGUUUUGGAUUGAAAAUUUAGGGUUAGGUUUCCACUGAACUCAUCUCGGACUGACCGAGUUGUAGAAAUCGGUCUCAUCGAUUUGGCUCAGGCCAGUGCACAUGUGAUUCUCGGUCUGACAGAGAAUUGCAAAUCAGUGUGACCGAGUUCGUUUCUUUGUGAAACCCUAGCAGUCUCAGUGCCACCGAACUGUGACUCGGUCUGACCGAGUUCACUAGUUUAGGUUCCAAAAGCUGCUUGGGUAUCACCGAGUUUACAAAUCGGUAGCUCCGAAAUGCUUUCUGUGGAAAACUAAAACUAAGUUUUUGACUCAUUUUUUUGCAAAAACCUUUGUGCUUUGUGAUGCUCAUCUAAUCUACCUCAUCUAUAUCUAUUCACAGGGUCUGAUGUCAGAGUUUGCAUCAUGCCAGAUCAGAGUGACAGUCAGAACAAGUCUAAGGAGCAAGUUCAGAUGAGUGAGGGCACUAGUCCCUCUAGCAGCUAUGAUGAUGGCAGCAGGAGCACACCCAGCAAUUUGCCCAAGGCAGCCACCAGGGCCAGAAAUAAGAAGACCUCAGAUUCUGAAGAUGAGGACUAUGUGGCUGUUGAGGAUGAGGCCACCUCAAAGUAGAAAGUUCUGAAGAAGGAAUAUGGCACAACUGCAUCCACUAAGCCAGGAAUGCAAAAGAAGGCACCUGCAAGGAGAAUUCCAACUUCCAAACCUAGGAAGGCUACCACUGGUGAAACCAUGAAGUUCACCAUUGAGUCUGAAGAUGAAGCUGCUGGCCAAGACAAGAAUAAGAAGAGAGUCAGAACCACUACUGCCAAGGUACUUGUCAAGCCCUCUAUGAGGAGAGACUCUGAAGAAGAAGAGGAAGAGGUUGCUGCACCAGCACCCAAAGCUCAGAAUCUGAUGGGAGAUGCUAUAAGGUUAGGGGCUGCCCCAUCUAAGCCCAAAGAUGCCCCCAAAGAUGCUGCUCCAAAACCCAAGUCUGCACCUAAGAGGAACACUAGGAGUAUUCCAGCUGCAGAGAAGAACAAGGCCCCAGUGCCUGAAGCUGCUGAAGAAGAAGAUGAGGAUUCACUUGUCUUGAGGAAGUUGAAGCCCAAGAUCCCUGAUCAUAAUGAUGAUCACCGAGUUGCAGAGGACAUAAAGCUCAGGAAGGAUGCAAGUCCGAGACAGUGGAGACUGACUGACCCCUAUGCUGUCAGGAGAAGAACUGCUGUGGACUACAGGUUCCACACUAAGGAACAUCAGGAUUUCUAUGAGACAGUGCUGCUUGACAAGAAGCCCAUAGUGUGUGACAUGAGAUGGGUUGACUGGGAUUACAUCAAGAAAAAUGAAGAGCACUAUCCAGGAGUUUAUGACAGUUUCAAGUCUUGUGGAGUAGAAGACUUUGUUGGCCAGAAGCUCACAAAGUGGAAUGAUGAGCUUAUUAUGCAGUUUUACUCCACAGCUCACUUCUACCCAGAUGGGAAGAUAGUAUGGAUGUCUGAGGGUACAAGGUACCAAUCAACAGUUGAGGAAUGGUCUGAGUUGAUAAAUGCUCCAAAGGAGAAUGAGGAUGACUUGGAUGUCUAUGCCAAGAAGAAGAAAGACCACAACUCCAUGGCUCACAUGUACAGAGAGAUCCCAGACGCUGCACUAGAGACACAUAAGUUUGGAUCUGUACAUUAUCUGUUGUCAGGAUUGCCUACGAUCAACUGGAUCUUAAGGCACACUUUGCUGCCCAAGUCAGGUGAUCACAAGAUGAUCAGAGGCCAUGCAAUCAAUUUGCUCCAUAUAUUUGAUGUGCCUCAAAAGUUCAAAGUCAUGAGCCUGAUUGUCGAAACAAUCAAAAGGACUGCUGCUGAUCAGAAGAGGAGUUGUGGGUAUGCCCCAUAGAUUUCAGGAGCUUAUAAACUCCAAGAUGGGCACCGACACAUAUCUCUUGGACAAGGAGCACCUGCCCAUCUACCCUGAUUUCGAGGACAACACUGUUGUGAUGGAUGAAAAUGAAUCAUCAUCUGUGCAAGCACAAGAGAAGAAGGAGAAGGCAAGGGCUGAGAAGGCUGCUAAGAUGCCAACUGCUGAAUAGGCAUCUCAGAUUUUCCUGAAGAGCAAGCAAGAUCAGCUUGGCUACUUGAUUGCCUCCACUAUGAGGAUUGAGAAGGGCUUGGCCACCCUGACUCAAAACCAAGAGAGUUUGGAGAGAAUCAUAGAGCAGAAGUUUUAUGCUCUUGAUGUUAAAGUGACAGAGAUCCAAACUGCAGUUGAGCAACUCCAGGAGGAUGUGGAGGAGAAGAAGGGCAAGUCAACUAUUGAUGCUUUUGCUAGAGUGCCCAGAGGACAGAGAUCUACUGCAGUGCCUGUUACAGACACCAGAGCUACAUCAUCUGCACCAGCUAUAGCUUCAGUGCAUCCAGCUCCAGCACCCACUCCACCAGCUCCAUCUACAUCAACAAAAGUCUUCGUCCAAGGAGCCAUCUCUACACCAUCACAUGAAGACCAAGCCUGAGAGUCGUUUAGAACUAUGCAUUUUUUAUGAACUUUUUGGUAACUUGUUGCCAAAGGGGGAGAAAAAUGUAUAGAUCGUAGGCUUCGAGAGAGAGUGUUGCUUUUGUUCUCUCUUCUCUUUUGGUGGUUGAACUUCGUUAUUUGUGUGCUUGAUACUUUAUGCUUUUGUUAGAUACUUGGAUGAUCAUGUGGUUGAUCAUAUGCUAUGCUACAUUAAUGCUUGUUGGAUGAUAUUAUCUCUUAUAUCCUCAUAUGAUCAUUCACUUUGCUUGGUGAUGAGUGCACGUGUUUAGAUAUUAUCAUUUUGAGCGCUCGACCAAGAUGUAUGUGACAUGGAAGAGUAACCCAUGAUCCCAACUCAUUGUGCAUUUGCAGUCCAAAGCAAAUUUUAAAUAAUGAACAAAUUUAGGGGGAGCUCUUACUUUUCACAUACUUCUCAAAGCCACAAUGUUUUUCAAUCUUAUUAUCACUUGUCGAAGCUUUGAUCUAUAUGUUGUCAUCAAUUACCAAAAAGGGGGAGGUUGAAAAUGCAACAAUCCCUGGGUGGUUUUGGUAAUUCCUAACAAAAUAUAGCUCAUUGAGCUAAUGCUAUUUCAAGAUAAAUAUUUCAGGAAAGCUGAAUGAUUGGCAUGGCAUGGAUGAGAAAAGUGGAUCCCUCAAAAUGCUAAGAACAAAAGGAUUGGCUCAAGCUCAGCACAAGACUCCACAUUUUCUAUUUUAGUGAUCCAAGAUCACAUUGAGUCUAUAGGAAAAGCCAAUACUAUCAAGGAGGGAUGAGGUGUUGCUUAAUGGCUUUCUUGCUCAAAGUGCUUAGUGAUAUGCUCCAAAGCCCUCAGCUACUUUCUCAUAUCCACAUAUGACCUAAACCAAAAGUCAAACUCGGCCCCACCGAUUCUUUCUAUCCGGCGCCGCCGACUUCAGAUGUCAUAGCCACUGCCACAAACCCUAGGCAAAUCGGUCUCACCGAUAGGGAUCUCGGUCUCACCAAGAUGGGAUUGUAAUCUCUCUGUUUCCCUUCUUAACAUUUCGGUCAAACCGAGAUGAGCGAUCUGUCCCACCGAGAUUUCAAUGCAAACUCUCUGUUUCCCUUUCGUAACAUUUCGGUCUAACCGAGAUGAGCGAAUCGGUCCCACCGAGUGUGCCUGACCAACCCUCUGUGUGUCCAUUACCAAAAUCUGUCCCACCGAGUUUGUGUAAUCGGUCUCACCGAGAUUACGUUAUGCCCUAACCCUAACCAUAUCGGUCCUACCGAGUUGCAUGUCGGUCCCACCGAAAAUCCUACGGUCACAUGAUUUGCUAAAUCGGUCUGACCGAGUUUCACGAUUCGGUCCCACCGAGAUUGGUAAGUUGUGUGUAACAAUUAGAUUUUGUGUGGAGGCUAUAUAUACCCCUCCACCCACUCUUCAUUCGUGGAGAGAGCCAUCAGAACAUGCCUACACUUCCAACCUACAUUUUCUGAGAGAGAACCACCUACACUUCUGUUGAGGCCAAGAUAUUCCAUUCCUACCAUAGAAAUCUUGAUCUCUAGCCUUCCCCAAGUUGCUUUCCACUCAAAUCUUCUUUCCACCAAAUCCAAAUCCUGUGAGAGAGAGUUGAGUGUUGGGGAGUCUAUCAUUUGAAGCACAAGAUCAAGGAGUUCAUCAUCAACACACCAUUUGUUACUUCUUAGAGAGUGGUGUCUCCUAGAUUGGCUAGGUGUCACUUGGGAGCCUCCGACAAGAUUGUGGAGUUGAACCAAGGAGUUUGUAAGGGCAAGGAGAUCGCCUACUUCGUGAAGAUCUACCCUAGUGAGGCAAGUCCUUCGUGGGCGACGUCCAUGGUGGGAUAGACAAGGUUGCUUCUUUGUGGACCCUUCGUGGGUGGAGCCCUCCGUGGACUUGCGCAGCCGUUACCCUUUGUGGGUUGAAGUCUCCAUCAACGUGGAUGUACGAUAGCACCACCUAUCAGGACCACAACAAAAACAUCUGUGUCUCCUAUUGCGUUUGCACUCUCCAAACCCCUCCCUUUACAUUCUUGCAAGUUACAUGCUUUACUUUCCGCUGCUCAUAUAUUCUUUGCAUGCUUGCUUGAAUUGUGUUAAGAUUGAUUGACUUGUGCAAAGUUGCUAAAAUCUGCCAAGAACUAAAAUUGGGAAAAGGCUAGAUUUUUAUUUGGUCAAGUAGUCUAAUCACCCCCCUCUAGACAUACUUUCGAUCCUACACAUGGGUUUUCCAAGUCCACAUCGGCGGGAAAGUCCCAGCUCCCCAGAGUCCAAGUCCAUUCUAUGAGGCCGGUGUCGCCGCCCACGUGACCCGGAGGGGUAGUAACACUGACCAUGCACUCGUACAUCGGCCUCGUGUCAGUGUCAGCGUCAGCGGCGUCGCCCCUGACGCACACUAUAGAGACGGGGCGGCAGCCUGCGCGGGCCUCGCCGGUGCCCACGAUCGAGAGGAAGACGCUGCCGUCCUCCUCCGGGACUAGCAGGCGGCAGUGAUCUUCCAGCGACUCCGGCAUCGUGAAUGGGUAGCAUGUCUCGUACUUGAUGUUCUCUGCCAAGGGCUAGUAGUGACCGCUGCACGCAUUCGUGAGGUGAUGCACCAUGUCCGCCGGCGAGCCCCAAAAUGGCAUCGGGCACUCAUAGUAGUAAACGAAGGGCUCCUUGGAGGCAUCGACCAGGCCGUCCAUGAAAUGGGAGUGGCUAUAGGUGUCGGCGUUCUGGAAACGGGGGUCCCCAGACUUGCUUGCCUGCGGCCUGCGGCGUGGCUCAAGCGGAGGCCCAGUGCAGCCCAGCUUCAUCAGCUCAAGCUCAAGACCCUCGCGAAGGGCCAAGCCUCGCGGGGCGGACGAUAGGAAGCUUCCUCAAGAGCAGCCUCAUCAGGCGGGCUCGCGAGGAGGCGGAGAGAUCAAGGCAGGGUACCUUGCGAGGUACCCGUGACACAAGCCAUGACGAUCGAGACCAGGCGGGCGCCGGCCUGCACAGUGUCCUUGUUUCCCCUUUGGUGCAAAGGGGGCAAGCACAGGCCAAGGCAUCAGGUAAAAGGUUACCAUUUUGGUGCAACAAGACCAAGACCAGCGGAGCGGCAAGAUGGAGGUCACCUUGGAGCCCAGAACGGCGUCACCGUCAGAGUCUAUGGCAGUCGAAGACCAACUUUAGUCGGGAUAAGUGUACUAGAUGUUCCCCUUCAAAAUGGCCAAUUGUUGGCGCCCUUCCCGCUCAUUAUUUGGGAAGAGGCCCAUGGCGUCCCUCUAUAAAUAGAGCUAGCCACCAUAGAGUAGGGAUCAAGGUUUUGGGUAGACUAGAGAGAGAGAGGCGACUGAACUCACCCAAGCAGUUCAACGCACCAGCUCAAGAACACCUCUCGCGAGGCUGUUCUUCCUUUGUAUUGUUCAUCAGCCCCUGAGGCAAUCCUCCACACCACACACUGGAGUAGGGUAUUACACCACAAUGGUGGCCUGAACCAGUAUAAACCUCGUGUCCCUUGUGUGUUCUUCUUUCUAGCCUAGAUUCCUUGCGAGGCUUCGAGACGUGAGUUGGUAGGGGAAAGAUCUUCGUGCGCACCCCAGAGUUCGAACCUCAAGGGUCUACCCGAACCCGAAAUCCGACAUUUGGCGCGCCAGGUAGGGGUGCGCCGGAAUUCUUCUUCCGCCGCCUCGCGUUCCGUCGCCUCACCGUUCUGAUGUCAAGAGACCCGACUGCCAACGCCGACCGCUGGGCGGCGUGGCCCGCCCAUGCCGUGCCGCCGGCCCAGGGCGACCUCAACCUUGCGCGUCAGGCAGCUCGCGCUCCACAGGGUGCUGCGGGGCGCGGGUGAUGCGGCCAAGCGCCACCUGCCCUCACACCACGGCAGGUGCGGUCAGCAGCAAGAGCCUCAAGCCACGCCGCGGCCACAGCGCCGCACACCCGACGGGAGCAGGCGAACUCAAGGGCCGCUCUCACGGUGGCCCGAGAGCUGCUACGGUGCAGGCUGCUGGAGGGCGGCCGUGACGUGUUGCUAGAGCCAGUGGCCGAGCUCCUGGACGCCGCCGCCUCGGGAGCACCUCCUUUCUGCGUCCAGCUACCAUCCCAGAUCUAGGGCGGGCCAUAUGGCGGCCCCAUACGUGCCCAUGCAACUCCGAGCGGACUCCAGGGCCUCGACAACGCCAACCCGGCCGUCGGCGCCGGGCGACAAGUCGCGCCGGCCCCAUCUCCCGCCGGCGAGGGAGUGCAUGCUGCGGCCUUCGGCCUCGGCGGGCCACCACGCUACCACCCCCAAGACAGCGCUCCAAGCCGGACUGCGUGGCGCGCUGGGCACUACGGCGAGGCCCUCGGGGCGGUGGCCCUAGAAGCUUAUGUGCCCCACAUGGUGGAUCAAGAGUGCGCACUGGAAGAAGACCAUGGCUCAUUCCUCGGGCCAGGCUGGGGGGAGGAGACGCCAGAAGCUGAGCUCUUUCAAGAACCCCAAGAGAGCCUCGACAACCACGCUGGUGGCAGCAACUAUCGGGUAGCGCUAAUUCCUCAGGAGGAAGCUUAUGCUAACCAUGGGUCGCAGGAGGUACAGGUCACCGCAGCAGAUGGCUGCCCCAACGCUGCAGCCUCCUAGCCCUCAGGAGGAGGGCAUCGGGGGCUGCAAGAGAGGGGCCGAGAGCCGGGCUCACCCUCGCGGCGCUUGGAGCAAGGCGUUCUCAGGAGGUAGGCCCUCUGCCGGGGAGGUGCCUCAGGGCUUGCCCCCGGCAGAGGACCCUUGGUCAUCGGGGGAACCGCUGGCGACCGCUCUACCCCAUUGGCGUCGUCCUUGGUUUUCGGUCGCCGUCGAUGGCGGUAGAGUGUGGUGCAAGGCGGGGCCCUCGUCUGGCGAUAUGAAGCAAGGCCGGGACCUAUGAAGAAGGCCUAGUGCCUGUGAAGCUCGCCGCCUGUGACACUCUCACGUAAUAAUGAGUGGGGCUGUACAUGCCCCGGAGUCUCCGGAGAGCCACUCUCGGGCCUCGGGGGCUCCCGCCCAUGCCCAGUGGCAGCACUUAGCUCCGCGCUGGUGAGAAGACGUCGAAGACUAGACUAGGUGCCGGACGCGGCUUUUUGCCUUUUGCCUUUUCCUCUGUUGUCAAGGUUCUUCGAUUCGAAUUUAAGUUGGAUUUGAGCUUGAGACUUGCAUGUGUUUGUGGAAGGGGUGUUUAGUGUCGUUCGAGCAAUCUCUCGUGUUCUGGUUUCGGCUUUGCGUCCAAAGUUAGUGGCAGCUGCCCCCCUCGUGAGCCUCUCGCGAGCCGGGCUGGGCCAAGUACGUCUAAAAUCCCGACCGCUAUCGCCGCACCCUCUCAGGAGGUUCUCGUCGCAGGAUCAAUGGGUUCACCCAGAAGACACUUGAGGCGCUCCGGCUCCCACAGGCUCGCUCGGGGCCCGUCAGGGUCAAAAGGUAAACAAGUCAGCUGACCUAUCGCCAGGCUAGUAGCCCAGCAUAAGCUCACACGCGGCGUUAUGUUCGCAAGGAUACUGAUCACAAACCUUUGCAUGAGGGGCUCCCCCUCCCAAAAUGCUCUUACAAUCUUCAGGGCCGAGCCCGAACCUUUCUCAUACACGGUAAACAGCAAUGACAUAUGAUUAGUCGGACAUAUCACUCACCGCGUCUUCUAGGGUGCCUCCGGAGGCGUCGCUGGCGUCACUAACAUCGUCACCGCCACCGCCAUCACCUCCAUCAAUGCCAGGCUUGUCCACAACGCCACCUUCAUCGGCGGACACAAUCACGCCGUCCUCAUCAGAUGCGAAGGCCCUGACGAGGGCGUCCAUGUUGUCCUCCACCCAUUGCGCCAGAUCGCCCCGAAUGGCUACGGGCACUGGUGCGAUGGCGGUGUCGAAAUCGAAGUGGGGAUCUCUGUUCUGUAGAUAGCUGAAGACACGGGAGAAGGCACGCCCAAGCAAGGCUCGGCUCCUCUCCUCGACAAGCCAACGGGCCCUGUCAGAGUGGGUCUCCAGCUGUGUCACCACAUCCAUGAAGAACCGGAGGUUGCCAGCGUAGUUGAUCACGCGAGGCUCAGCAACAGCCGCCUCCCAAAUGUUGCCCAGGGACGCAUUGGCCCUUUCCCUGAGCGUUCGGAGCAUGGGGGCAUGCUCAUGCUCCAGAGUCUGCCGCUGACGGAUCUCGUCCUCAUUCCGCCGCGCGAUGGUCUCGGCGCCAUCAACCCUCUGUUGGAGAAGAAGCAGCUUGGCACGGGAAGAGGCCAGCUCCGCCUGCGCUGCACCAAGGGCGGCUACGGAGGAGUCCGCACUCUGCGUCACUUCAGCCAGCUUGGCUCCGAGGGUCACGGUCCUACCCUCAGCUUCGGCCCUGAUCAGGUCCAACCUCACUUCGUAUUCGCGCUCAAGAUCCGAGUGAGCUUCCACCACGCGGCGGUCGACCUCUUCUUGGACUCGGGCUUCCCACGCGGUGACAUCAUCCUCUGCCUGAGUCACCAGGCGCUCCCUCGUCUCCAACCGCUCAAGGUCAAGAUUGCGCUCGGCGGCCUCCAGCGUCAGCGCCUCCUCGCGCUUCAGGACUCCACCUAGUCGACAGAAGCCCCCUUCAGCGACACAAGGGCCGCCUGGCACAGUUCCACUUGCCGCUCCAGAGAGUUGCUCCAGGCUUGGAGCUCCCACGCACGCUCCUCCGCAUCCUUGCGCCGUCGGUCUGCUUCCCGGGCCUCCUCGACGGCUUGGGAGCAGGCCUCCCGCGAGGCCACCAGCAACGCUUCAGCCUUCGCGUUAUCAAGGUCACGCUGGUGACGUGCAAGGGCGACAGCUACCUUCAGCUUGCGCCUCUCCUCAGCAAGGCGCAGGCCUUCGGCCUCAAGGCGCGCAUCCUCGCCAGCAAGCUCCUCGCCGAGCUGGCUCACCGCAUCCACCGCCCCCUGGAGGAACUCUUGAUGAAGGGCGCGACGCUCCCGAGUGCGCCUGAGCACGUCUUCCCGUCACCCUCUGCCACUGGUGUAUGCGGAGGGCCCUGAGGCGGCAUGCCCCCUCCCGGCACGCGGCUGGGGGCUGGCGCCCCAGCAAUCGCAGGACGGACCUCGCCAGGAAUCGGGCCUGGCGCUGGUCUGUCCCCAAAGGAGGAACUCAAGACCGACUUCAGCAAGUCACCAUCCACGAUCAGGGAAGGAGCGCAGGGUAAGUUAGCCGUGCCCCAGGAGAGCUCGUGAAGGGAGGACAGUGAUACAUCUCCAAUGUAUCUAUAAUUUAUGAAGCAUUCAUGCUAUAUUACUAUGUGUUUUGAACGAUUAUGGGCUUUAUUAUACACUUUUAUAUUACUUUUGGGACUAACUUAUUAACCGGAGGCCCAGCCCAUAUUGCUGUUUUAUUGCCUGUUUCAGUAUUUCGAAGAAAAGGAAUAUCAAACGGAGUCCAAACGGAAUGAAACCUUUGGCAUCGCGAUUUUUUGGAAGAAUAUCAUCCGGGAGGCUUGGAGAUCAAGUCAGAAGACCCUCAAGGAGCCCAGGAGAUAGGGGGGCGCGGCCCCCUAUCUCGUGGCCCCCUCGAGCACCUCCUGACCGACUACUUUCGCCUAUAUAAGCCUACAUACCCUAAAACCUUCGAAUAUAAAGAUAGAUCGGGAAUUCCGCCGCCACAAGCCUCUAUAGCCACCAAAAACCUCUCGGGAGCCCGUUCCGGCACCUUGUCGGAGGGGGAACCCGUCACCGGUGGUCAUCUUCAUCAUCCCGGCACUCUCCAUGACGAGGAGGGAGUAGUUCACCCUCGGGGCUGAGGGUAUGUACCAGUAGCUAUGUGUUUGAUCUCUCUCUCUCUCGUGUUCUCUCUCGUGUUCCCUCUAUGGCACGAUCUUGAUGUAUCCCGAGCUUUGCUAUUGUAGUUGGAUCUUAUGAUGUUUCUCCCCCUCUACUCUCUUGUGAUGAAUUGAGUUUCCCCUUUGAAGUUAUCUUAUCGGGCUAAGUCUUUUAUGAGAACACUUGAUGUAUGUCUUGCCGUGCUUAUCUGUGGUGACAAUGGGAUAUCAUGUGCCACUUGAUGUAUGUUUUGGUGACCAACUUGCGGGUUCCGCCAUGAACCUAUGCAUAGGGGUUGGCACACGUUCUUGACUCUCCGGUAGAAACUUUGGGGCACGCUUUGAAGUACUUUGUGUUGGUUGGAUGAAUCUGAGAUUGUGUGAUGCAUAUCGUAUAAUCAUGCCCACGGAUACUUGAAGUGACAAUGGAGUAUCUAGGUGACAUUAGGGUUUUGGUUGAUUUGUGUCUUAAGGUGUUAUUCUAGUACGAACUCUUUUAUAGAUCGAUCCGAAAGAAUAACUUUGAGGUGGUUUCGUACCCUACCAUAAUCUCUAUGGUUUUUCUCCGCUGUUAGUGGCUUUGGAGUGACUCUUUGUUGCAUGUUGAGGGCUUGUUAUAUGAUCUAUCUAUGUUAUUAUUGUUGAGAGAACUUGCACUAGUGAAAGUAUGAACCCUAGGCCUUGUUUCCUAUCAUUGCAAUACCGUUUACGCUCACUUUUACCACUUGUUACCUUGCUGUUUUUAUUAUUUCAGAUUACAAAAACCUAUAUCUACUAUCUAUUUUGCACUUGUAUCACCAUCUCUUCGUCGAACUAGUGCACCUAUACAAUUUACCAUUGUAUUGGGUGUGUUGGCGACACAAGAGACUCUUUGUUAUUUCGUUGCAGGGUUGUUUGAGAGAGACCAUCUUCAUCCUACGCCUCCCGCGGAUUGAUAAACCUUAGGUCAUCCACUUGAGGGAAAUUUGCUACUGUCCUACAAACCUGUGCACUUGCAGGCCCAACAACGUCUACAAGAAGAAGGUUGUGUAGUAGACAUCAUCAUUCUAGUACGAACUCUUUUAUAGAUCGAUCCGAAAGAAUAACUUUGAGGUGGUUUCGUACCCUACCAUAAUCUCUACGUUUGUUCUCCGCUAUUAGUGGAUUUGGAGUGACUCUUUGUUGCAUGUUGAAGGAUUGUUAUAUGAUCUAUCUAUGUUAUUAUUGUUGAGAGAACUUGCACUAGUGAAAGUAUGAACCCUAGGCCUUGUUUCCUAUCAUUGCAAUACCGUUUACGCUCACUUUUACCACUUGUUACGUUGCUGUUUUUAUUAUUUCAGAUUACAAAAACCUAUAUCUACUAUCUAUUUUGCACUUGUAUCACCAUCUCUUCGCCGAACUUGUGCACCUAUACAAUUUACCAUUGUAUUGGGUGUGUUGGGGACACAAGAGACUCUUUGUUAUUUGGUUGCCGGGUUGUUUGAGAGAGACCAUCUUCAUCCUACGCCUCCCGCGGAUUGAUAAACCUUAGGUCAUCCACUUGAGGGAAAUUUGCUACUGUCCUACAAACUUGUGCACUUGUAGGCCCAACAACGUCUACAAGAAGAAGGUUGUGUAGUAGACAUCAGACAGCAGGCACGCAUGCUUGAGGUGCCCAGCGGGACGGACCACUUCUCCGACCGGCCCAGCGGCGGGGCGCUGCUUGAGCUCGGCGCGCCCAGGGUCAGCGGUGAAGACAAAGCUUGGGGGGAUGGCUCCCUGGCCAUCUCCGCGAAUUCGGCAGGAAGGGCCCUAAAAGUCCGCGAUCAGCUGUAGGAACAGUGAGGUAAAGGAGCAGAGAGAGAAGAGGACUUACUCAUCCAUGGCAAAGUACUUCCUGCGCUUCAACAGGCGGCAAGGGCGAUCAUCGCCACCCAAGGCCUCCUUCCUCUUGAGAAGGGCCUCGAAGUCUACACGGAACCGGCCUAAGCGCUCGGUGCAAGGGUUGGCCUGUGGCAUGGAGGAGGCGUCAAGGUGAUCAGCGCCAAGGGAACCGGCCUGGGGGACGCCGCCAGGCGCUGCCUCAUGAGGGACGACCGGGGCCUCGAAAGCCCCAGCCUCAGGAGCCGUAGGCCGCAACUCCUCGCCUGCCACUGCUCCAGGAUGGGCUUCGGGGGAUGCCGCCUUCAGGGCUCCGCGCGGCGUCAGCAUCUCGACAUCGGCCCCCUCAGCUCCCAGCGGUUCUCGUCUCCCCGCUCCAUCGCCUGAGGUAGGACCGCCGAGGGCGAUCGGAAGAGCAACCACAACAACUGGGUUCUCGCGGGGCCCCGUGAGGCCAACCGAACGCAGCCCCCACUCGUCAAAGCUGGGCAUCUGCCUCACAAAAUCGGCCCUGCCCGUGCAAAGAUACAAGAGGGCAGCAUUGUGUCGAAGGCUGCCUGGGGAAGGAUCGCCAGUUAGGACCCUGAGCACCGUCCUCAGCACUUCAGGCGCCAGAUCCUCCUCCUGAAGCCGCAUGCGGUCUUCGUGCCCCACAAAGGCCCACAUCCGAUGGGAGUGGCGCUGGAGAGGAGCAAUGCAACGUUGGAGGAACUCCUUCACCACCUUGGGCGCCGUCAAGUCGAGCGCCCUGAAACUCUAGAAGCAGCGCCAGACGAAGGCGAGCCGGGGGCUCGUGAGCGUCUCAUGAUCCCAGCCUGAAAUGGGAACAGCGGGCGAGGUCGGGUGCGAGAGCAGGGGUCUGGGCACUCCGGCAUCCACAUAUAGCCACCGCUCUCUGAACUUGGCCUCAGGAGGAGGAAGGCCGAAAUCGAUCCCCGGGGCAGCCGUCUCUAGCAUGGCGAGGAAGCUCACACACCCCGAGCAUUGAGUGGGGUCGCUCAGGCGCAAAGAGAAGAAGUGGCGCGGGAGGGCAAUGGAAGGAGGAAUUCUCACCAUUGCCUCGCCAACAAAGGCGAAAACAACCAAGAGGGUAAUGGACUUAGGCCCCAAGUGCAUCUUGUGGAUCUGAUAAUGGGAGCCGCAUUAAAGAAAGCGGAAAAAGGGGGAACCAGACCCGCCCACAGGGCAUCAGCGAAGAACCGAACCUCCAUGACGACCCUAUCAAUGGAGGCAUGGGAUGCAGGCCAGAUCGUGGUCCCGCCGCACUCGUUGAAGAUGGAGGCAAGAGCAGAACGGACCUUGCCCAAGGCUUCGGGGUUGAGUAUGAGUGACCGAUCAAUGGCGGGGGCCGCCGCUAGAGACGAGCGGGGCGAAGGCGCGGACUUCUUCCCCCUUUCCUUCUUCGUUGGCGCCAUGGCGAUGGGAAGGGGGGAGAGUUUGAGUUGGAUUGGAGGCGGGGGUUGGAGCUCGAGGAAGAAAGGAAGGGCAGGAAGCGUGCGAACGACGAAAGGGGAAUGGCUGUGUGCGACCAUGGGUCCACCUAGCCGAGCGCGUAAUGAGGCAUCGUGGGGAAGCGGAGACGCCCACGUCCAAUCAAUCACCACGCGGCGCCCAAGGCCGCAAGCUAUUGGGGCCCGCGGCGCUUCGCACUUGCCCCUUCGCUUCUCUGCUAAGCCAAGUCCGGGUGCACCUUGGGCCCGAGGGCUACUGUCGGUGUUCUGGGAACGGGGGUCCCCAGACUUGCCUGCCUGCGGCCUGCGGCGUGGCUCAAGCGGAGGCCCAGUGCAGCCCAGCUUCAUCAGCUCAAGCUCAAGACCCUCGCGAGGGGCCAAGCCUCACGGGGCCGACGACAGGAAGCUUCCUCAGGAGCAGCCUCAUCAGGCGGGCUCGUGAGGAGCCGGAGAGAUCAAGGCAGGGUACCUCGCGAGGUGCCCGUGAUGCAAGUCAUGACGAUCGAGACCAGGCGGGCACCAGCCUGCGCAAUGUACUUGUUUCCCCUUUGGUGCAAAGGGGGCAAGCACAGGCCAAGGCAUCAGGCAAAGAUUACCGUUUUGGUGCAACAAGACCAAGACCAGCGGAGCGGCAGGAUGGAGGUCACCGUGGAGCCCAGGACGGCGUCACCGUCAGAGUCUUUGGCAGUCGAAGACCAACUUUAGUCAGGAUAAGUGUACUCGAUGUUCCCCUUUAAAAUGGCCAAUUGUUGGCGCCCUUCCCACUCAUUAUUUGGGAAGAGGCCCAGGGCGUCCCUCUACAAAUAGAGCUAGCCACCACAGAGUAGGGAUCAAGGUUUUGGGUAGACUAGAGAGAGAGAGGCGACUGAACUCACCCAAGCAGUUCAUCGCACCAGCUUAAGAACACCUCUCGCGAGGCUGUUCUUCCUUUGUAUUGUUCAUCAGCCCCUGAGGCAAUCCUCCACACCACACACUGAUAAGUAGGGUAUUACACCACAAUGGUGGCCUGAACCAGUAUAAACCUCGUGUCCCUUGUGUGUUCUUCUUUCUAGCCUAGAUUCCUUGCGAGGCUUCGAGACGUGAGUUGGUAGGGGAAAGAUCUUUGUGCACACCCUAGAGUUCGAACCUCAAGGGUCUGCCGGAACCCGAAAUCCGACAGUAGGGGACGUUGCGCCAGUUGAAUAUAUGAGCAAGUUACUACGAGAUUUAAUCUGAAUAAGCACAAAAUAAAUCAUGACGGCUAUAACAGAGAUGGAACUAAUCAUGUGGACUAGCAUAGUAGUAGGAUACAGAGUAGAAACAAGAAUUCUACCACGAUUUCGAACAGGAAGGACAGAAACACAUACGGUGCAACUGGAGCAGCACCGCUGGCGUUGAGGUUGUCGCCCAUGUCGUUGAGGAAGAGGUUGCCGAGGUCGGGGAAGAAGUCGUCGUCGGUGAAGUCGUGGCUGCCAGCAGUCGCGAGAGUGCGCUCCCCAAAUUUCAACAGCGCCCGCCGAAUGGAGCGCAGGAGGGAGUGGCCGUAGGGGACGUUGCGGCUGCCAAAUGGAGCGCAGGAGUAGCACACGAAGCAGUAGAUGGUGUCCUUACUAGUACUCCCUAGUCUCUAUCUAUCUAUAUCUACUCUUAUAGAAACCCGAGUUGGUGAUGAUGGUAUGCCUGCCAUCUUGUAAUAUAGACUGUCCGAUUUAUCUGACAGAUAGAAAGCCAACUAUGACAAUUUUACAAAAGAUACCCGCACCUCUCUCCACAUUUACAGAUAAGGCCUUGCCUCAUUCAUCCUUAUCUCCCACAACCUCGUGCUCCUCCCUAAGUCUCUAUCUCUACUACUCUUCUUUUUUCAUAACAAAUCGAAUAGUACUGCACCAUCCGCUGCACGCCCGGCUGAACACGCCUCCUCGCCUCCAUCAUCACCAACUGAGUCUUUUAUAAGAGUAGGAGUAGAGAAAAAACCGAGUUGGUGAUGAUGGUGUGCCGUGCAAUGCACGGGCAUCUUGCUAUUUUUUCAUAUAAUUCCAAACACCACGUAGACACGGUCUUUGAGCACGGUUCAUAAUCGUUCUACGCUCGGGCAUUGAAGUUUGUAACUACUUUAGAUUAGAAAAUACUACUCCUCCGGUGCUGUAGUAGAGCAGAGUCCUACUCUACUACUCUACUCAAGCAAGUUAGGGCAUAGUACUGUAGGGAGUACCAGUACUAUGAUCACUCAAGCAAGUUGUCUGGCAUCGAUAUAACUCUACACUGCUGGUAUGUGUCUCAUAAGUCAAGCGGCAUGCUGUAGUCAUCAUCACCUGUCCACUUCCCACAGCACAUAUUCGCUUCUUCAUCUUUGUCCACUCUUCCAUCCCUGCUAAGGCGCCUCCCCCCUCGUCCGAAACCCAAGCACUAACAAUGGCAUAACCGAGCAGCGUCCGCCGAAAGAGUGGCUGGAAUUCGCUCCCCACAGAUGUAAUCAAGCUCAUUGUUUCACAUGUGGACAAUCUCAGUACCAUGCCGCUCGCCGUGUGCUCGUCGAGGCUGUAGCAUUUACUCAAAGCCCUUAGGCCGGAGCUUUUUAAGCCAGCUCCUUGCUUGCUGAUGCCGCCUGAUCUUCAGAAACGGCGUGUCACACAGCAUAACGAUCAUAGGGGUGGCGAGCAUCAACUCCCUUGACUGCGAUCCGAUCCCCGUCUCCCUCAACUACAUUAACGGUAUGUACUGGGUCGGCAUGAACACGUCUUGGAUGGUGCUCGUCGAUGGUCGCGGCAGCUGGAUGCUCGUGGAGGUCUACACCCAGCGAUUGAUCCCCCUUCCUUCGAUUAACACUGCACUGCUUUGGCACCGCGGCCCAGAAUACUCGAAAUCUUACAGUAGCCAAUAUGAUACCAAGUUUGAUUUGCUCAAGGUUGUAAUCUGCCAAGUGCCCACAAGAUCUGUGAAUUAUAAAGACUUCAGUCUAAUUGCGUUCUUCAACCGCGGUCUCGCCUAUCUGACAGGUCACUGCGGUAAGUGGAUAAAUCUGCACGUCCAUCGCAGGAUCAUACAUCCUCCAUGGUUCUCUGAUGCCAUUGAACACAAGGGCUUUAUUUACGCUGUCGACUCCUUCUAUGGCUGGACGUAUUGCUGGCAUACUCCAGUCAUCGCUACAACCGGCUGUUACAGCAGUAUGUUACUUUCCUAUGAUAUCAUGAUGGCUUGCUUAUAUUACUGUCAACAUUUACUAAAAAAAUAUUCAUGCUCAUAACAUGCUGUUCUUAAGAUUGACUAAAUCAAGAGCCCCUUUUUAUUUGACUCCAACUUGAUAUGAUGUUGUAGGCCGCCUGGUGUCCCUACCCUUCCUAAUCCCAGAACCUUUCAAAGAAAAGCGGCAUGGCAGUUGCAGGUGGUUCCUGGCUUGAUCAGACGAUGGCGAACGAUUGAUGAUCGUUUGCACGUACCAGACGUGUUGUUUCGCGGAAUACAAAUCACAGUCACUGCAAGGUCUUUGAGCAGGAUCCCAGCUUCUCUGGGCCUUCAGGAAUUUUUGACUGGAGGCUGGUAAGUAGCCUCGGUACACGCUCUUUGUUUGUCAGACUGAAUUAUCCAAUUAACCAGGAGAUACCCGACGGCAAGGAUCAUGAUGGCAACGUAGUUUCGUUCAUCAGGCAAAACUUUGUGUUGACAACAUACCAUGUGUCUCUGCAUGCACCAUACCCUGAUAUGUGCCUCCACGCUCUGCAGCCCAAAGUAGGAGAGGGGGUCGCAAGUAUCAGACUUCGACCUGCUGGCCGGAGUUUCCCCCGUCAGGCACCCAUCUGGUUCAAGCUGUCAGCCAAUCUCCACAGCUUAAUAAAUAGUAACGUCUAACUGAGCCAAUUAGUUAGAUGCGUACACUUGGUGUAGUAGGAUCUUUAUUUAGUUUGAUGCAUACACUUGUUCUUUUUUGGUAGCCCUUUUGUAAUGAUGGCUGAUGUUUGGUUUGGAAGAGAGAGCUGCGUCUUCACUCUUCUGGCCUGCUUACUGCUUCUGUUGCACCCCCAGCCCUGGUUGUUGCUGCUGCUAUUUUCAAUGUAUAAUCAGUAGUAUAUUUCGUCUGUUGGUUGAAUAAAUGUGUUGUGAGAACAACAAACAGAAUGUUUUGGAAGUCGUUGCACGGUUCGAUCCUCAGUGCCCCGUACCGUACGCAACACAUACUAUUUUUUGUACCGAACACAUUUUCCACUUGUUGAUAACAUGCAGCCCACUGAUGAAGGCCCAAUAGAGGAGCCCAUAAUUAACUAGAAAGGAGGCUCUCACAUGAAUCUGGCCCAGGUACAUGCUCAUGGUCCCCUAAACAUAAAUAAGUAAAUAAACAAAUAAAGCUAAAUGCUCAUGCACCAGUUCUUUAAAUUCAUGAUUUAACAGGAGGAUAUUAUUUCCUAUGAUAGUGUCGUUACAUUCAGUCGAUAUUAUUCUUAGGCAAAGAUAGUGACCAGUCUUCUUUCUCCCAGCAUUUUCUUCCUGCAACCAGCAGACCCAUGCAAAUCGUAGUCAAUGUCAUAAAUAGUUCCGGUCCAUUUUUAUUUUUCAGUAAGAAUGUCCAACCCAGCCCAGCACAUUGGUGACAACACUUUAUCCUCCACCUUGGUGCGCUCGCCGCGGCGCCGCUGUUCGGCCCUGUCAACAUAGUUUUUUUUUUCAAAACGGUCCCUGUCAACAUAGUGAAUCGGGAGAGAACUGUAGUUGUGAGUAUGACAGUACGGACCCACCAGGUCCACUCCCGAACACAAGCAAGCGCCUCUUUUACUACUCAGAUGCACCCCUCGUUUUUUACUCUAAUCCACCCUGCUGAUAUCCGGGACCCACAUCAUUUUUAACGUAUAGUCAAUUAAUGACAGAAUUGCACAAUUUUUUUUGAGUAGUAAUUCGGAGGAGCAGGCUAUAAACUGGGUUGUGCGGUCUCUGUGGCCCGUCUAACAACAAGACCAGCCUAGUAGGUUUUUCUUUGGGAAAAUAGGUAGCCUAGUAUUUCUUUUUGAAGAAUACCCAAGAUAGGCCUAUUUGUUUUCUUUGACUUACUGGGCUGCAAAUUUUCAAGACGAGGAGGGAUGCAUUCCGGCCUGGCCAAAGAGUAUGGUCUAUGUCUGUUAAAAGUAAUAUCAAAGGGGUUGAAAAUUCCAGAAAAUUAUAGCAAAUGGGAUAUUAGUUUCUUUUUUUUGUUUUUGUUCUUCACUGAUAUUUUAUAGUAUUUCAUUGGAUUUAACAUGACAUAAAACUAAUUUAUUUUUAAAUUUGUUUUAGUAUGUCUACUAAUUUUUGGAUUAAGAAUAUUUUGUUCCCCAGCCAAACUUUGCGAAUUUUCAAAAUUUCGCACAUAUUAGUUAAUUUUUUUAACCCCGGUGCUGACCAGAAAAUGGGCAGCAAUUCUAAAAAUGGAAAAUGGGCUGCAAUAAUUUCCAUAUGAAUUAGAAAAUGAGUAAAAAUUAUAAAAAUAAUAGCAAAUGGGCUAUACACGACACAGAUUUCGAGGCUGACUUGUUUACGCAAGGCUUUGUCAGUCAACACACGAUUCUAGCAGCAGUGACUGUUGGAUGUCCAUCCAACGGCCGACGUGCUUCUUCAAUCUCUGAUCUUCCUGCUCCAGCAGCCUAAACUAGCGCCGGCGGGACUGCCUGCUCCCUCCUCUUGUGGCCCGCUGUGAUGCCGCGCAGGAUUCCCUGGCCCACCCUACUCCCUCCGCUGGCCUGGCCGCACGCAAUCAACUGCCUCCUUAUUACGCGAAAAAAACGAUUCCUCUCACUGACAUCUGGGGUGCACCGGUUGGGAGGCUGACCUGCGGGCCUACUAAGUUGAUGCGUACACAGGGCUUGUCAACUUAGUCAACAAACGAUUGUAGCAGUAGUAACCGUUGGAUUUGAAUCGAACGGUCCUACUGCUUCUUCAACUGCCACUCUUCUUGCACCAGCCACCCAAACCAGCGCCGACGAGACCGCUUGCUCCUGCCUCCAGUGGCCGGCCAUGCUGCCGUUGAGGCCUCACCGCCCCCUACUACUCCCACCGCUAGCCAGGCCCACGUGACAAGUACAACAUUAGCAACAUCUUCAACGUCAAAGACUUGGCCAAGUACCAUGGUGAUGAAGGGCACGAUUCGUGGAAGGAUCUCUCCCAAGGGGGGAGGAUGAUGCGGAGCAUCCCUCGACUACUCGCACCAACACUCCAUCAACAACGCAAGCUCCAAGUGGACCAAUGACACGAGCACGUGCACACGCCAUCGAGAACGAGGUUGAUUCUCUCCUCUUCGAGUUACGCUCGGUUUCACAUGAGAGUUGGAUUCUACCGUCAUCGGAAACAUUGUGCAUGCUUAGGUACCAAGAAGAUGAUAAUGAGAAGGAGAAGACGGAGACUCAAGUGACCACGAAGCAAGGUAAAGAAGAGAAGGAAGGAGAGAACAAGAAGAAGGAAGAAGGAGGAGAAGGGGCAAAACCCCCUGGACAUCCCGGGUGCCCAACCAUGGCAGCCCUGGGUGCCCGGCCUCUACCUGGGCCAUGCCCCAGUCGGCCCCGGGUGCCCGGCCCCUUGCCUGGGCUCAGCCCAGCCGGCCCCGGGUGCCCGGGCUUGGCGCCCCGGGUGCCCGGCCCCUCGCCCACAUGCUCCUGUACUGGCCGGGUGCCCGGCCCCUUGCCCUCCGUGUGCCCGGCCCCGCCUGGGCGCAGCUCCCUAACCGGUCCGGGUGCCCGGCCGGCUCCACCCCGGGUGCCCGGACCCUUUCCCGUGGCCAUGCGUUUUUAGGGACUUUCUGGUCCUUUGUAUCCCCUCUCCCUAAUAUUUCGUCCCUAGACUAUAUAAGUGGAACUCCUAUGUCAUUUGUGGGAUAGCAAAGAUUAGACUACACAUUUUGAGCGUUUGCUCAUUGUAUCCCCUCCUCCUAGGAGCUCAAGCCCCCACCUUGGGAAGAAUCCAUAGGAUUAUCAAGGCCUCCUCUUGGAGAAGAUCAUCAAGACCUCACAUAGUGGGAAUAAUUUUACCAAGUGCUACUCUCCUUGUAUUGAUCUUGUAAUCAUGUGGAUCUUAUGUGUGCCACUCUAGUAGAUGUGAUACUUGGUUUGUUUGAGAGAUUUUGUUCUUGGUGUUCUUGGUGUUCUUGAGUUUUUCCUCCUUUCCCCCCCUCCAAGAGUGAAAUGAUCCUUCCUAGGGUUUGACCCUACAACAUCUUGGUAUCACGAGCAAGGUUUAUUCACAUCUUGGAGUCCCAUCCCCCCAUUUGCUAGCUUGAUUUUGUUGUUUUUCGUCCAAAUCCGAAAAUCCCCACAAAAAUAGCCCCAAAAAUUUUUCUUGCAAUUUGUUGGAUCUUGUGAGAUUUGGUUGUUUUGGUCCAUGGAUUUGAUGUUUGGCAAGUGGAUCUAGCCCCUCCCCAACAAUCCCCACCCUUCCCACCACGAAAUCCACCGAAUUUGGCCUUUCCCCCAAAAUUUCCGCCCAAAUCGGCCACCACCGGGUGCCUGCACCUUGAACUACCGGGCACCCGCACCGCGCCCAGCUACCCCCGGGCACCCGCACCUCACACCCCCGGGUGCCCGCACCCCCUGAAAUCAGCCCACUACCAACACCAUUUUGGCCAUAAAUACCACCUCCCAAGCCCAUUUUUCGUGUUCUUUAGCUCGUUUAGAAGCCCUUGACAUCCCCCAUCCACUCAUCCCACUACCACCACCAUUAACCCCCAUCCAAAAAAUCAUCACAAAUACACCCACCUUCUGCAUUUCAUCGAUUUUGUGUUGAAUUUUGUGUUUCCUAAGGUGUUUCGGCUACUUAGGAGUGUGUGACAUCUACGUCACCAUCAUCGACUCGGAGUCAUCUUCAUCGCUAACCGUAAGAAAGGACGGUAACCUCCACGAAACUUACUCCUUACCUUGAUUUUGCAUUGAUAGCCUGAGCCACUUUGCGUCGCUUACCCAUUGAGACUAGCAAGUUGAGAAUUGCCGGGCCACGCUAUUGUGCACCAUAGUGAUCGUGUUAUCAUCUUAGUGCCAUAAGUCUCUCCCGUACAUAUCAUACAUACUUGUCUCAUAUCUUACUCGGCUCGAGCAUCAAGCAUAGAGAAAAAAAGAGAGAGAAGAAAAGCUUUUAAGCAAAAGAGGAUCAACAAAGAGCUUGUAAGCAAUAGAGUGAGCCAUUUGCAUACCUAUAUCAUCUUGGUCAUCGCAUACAUACCAUAGUUGGGAUUGAAGACGGCACGGUUCUCUCAUAGGUAGGUGCACAAGCGUAUCUUGCCCAUUUGAGCAAUCGAGCUAGUGUCUCUCGAGCAUUCGCACAACAAGAGCAUUUUCCGUGGUUGCACAUUUUGAGCUCACCCCUUGGUUGUGCGGAUCCCAUCUAUCUUCCGUGUGUGUGUACCUAGUGAUACCGUUGGGUUUGAUCUAUUUGCUUUACUUGCAUUUUUGUGAACCUUCUCAACCAUAUCGAUAUCUUGACUAACAUUUGCUUGAAUUUUUUCCCACCAUCCUAACCGAGCUACUCCAUAAGCCUCUUACUUGUAGGUGUGAGAAACAAACCCGGUUCCAAUUCUCCUAUUGUGGCAUUACAUUGAGUGACACUUGUUACAUCUUCAAUCCUCGGAGAAGGUAACUUUGGUAUUUUUCUCUCACUUUCCUACUCACCCCACUUGGUUAUGAUGGAUAGGCCAAGAGCGUCGUCGAACCCACUUUUCGAGGAGCAAGGUGAUGAUUCCGGAUAUGUCUCCAAGAACCACUUCUUCAUCGCGCAACGAGCGCUUCAUCAAGAAAUGUCGCAUUGGGUCAAUGCUUCAAACAACUCGCCUCCGACCUUCGUCAAAACAUCGACGACAAAUUCAACACACAAAUGGAAGAGCUCCGCAACAUGAUCGUUCGACGCCCGUCUUCCUCAUCGGCUUCUUCAAGACGACGCCACUCAAGUCACCGUACAAGUCGGCAAUCUUUGGACUACUCCUCUUAUGACGCAAGUCCACCACGAGCUCGCCUUCCUCGACGUGAUCAUCAUCAAGCUCACCAAGCUCAAGAAAAUCCAUUCCAUGGCAAUGGAUUACAAGACCGAGUUCGAGCACGUCAACGGAUGCGACACCAAGUCCCUCAUGGAGCAAUGGAGCAAGAGAAAAUACCUCCACAAGUACCACUUCAAGCCCCUCAAGACGGUGAUGCACUUCGACAACUACAAGAGGUGAACCACCAAUCACAACUUGGGACGCCAAGAAGGAAGUCAUGAGAGCCCGCUUUGUGCCUACUCACUACACUCGAGAUCUUUUCAAGAAGUUGCAACUCCUCAAGCAAGGCACCAAGAUGGUGGAAGAAUACUACCAAGAAAUGGAGAUUGCCAUGAUAUGAGCCAAUGUCAAGGAAGAUGGUGAGCAAACAAUGGCACGCUUCUUGAACGGCCUCAACCACCCAAUCAAGCGGAUCGCCGACUUCCAACCAUACUCCAACCUUCUUGAGCUAGUUCAUCAAGCAACCAAGGCCGAGCGACAAGUGCAAGAUGACUUCAAAUACGCCAAGUACUCGUCCAAGACCUACGGCUCCUACUCUCAAGCUCCCGUGAUUUCGGCAUCUCCUACAUCAAAUCGAGCAUCACCAAGUACCGGGGACAAGUCAAGUUCCAAGCAAGUGGCACCUUCCUCGACUCGUCCUCUGGCAAGCACCUACAAAUCCAAGACUCCUUUAUCUUAGGCGCCUCCCGAUGAUCCCGUCAAGACAAGUUCAAUCAAGUGCUUCACAUGUGGCGUCCGAGGCCACAAGUCCUUCCAAUGCACCAACAAGCGAACGAUGAUCUUCAACGAUGACGGCACAUAUGACUCAAUGAGUGAAGAAGAAAUGGAAGCCAUUGAGCACGUGGCCAUGCAUCGGCGUGUGAAUGAAGAUGAAGAUGACCAAGUCUUUUGUGACAAUGAUUCAAGUCCCUCUCUCGUGGUCUCCAAGGUCUUGACGCUCCAACACCACCAAGAAGAAGACCAACGGUGCCACAUCUUCCACACCAAGGCCGGAAUCAAUGGAAGGUCCGUCAAGGUCAUCAUCGAUGGAGGUAGUUGCCACAAUUUGGCAAGUGAGGAACUAUGCUCCAAGCUUCAAUUGGUCAAGAGGAAGCAUCCGCACCCUUAUAAGGUUCAAUGGCUAAGUGACUCCGGCACUAUCCGAGUUGAGCAUACGGUCCAAGUCUCUUUCAAAAUUGGUGCAUAUGAGGACACUUUGGAGUGCGAUGUGGUCCCAAUGACCGUUUGCCACCUCCUUCUUGGUCGACCAUGGCAAUUCGACCAUGGUGUUAUCCACAAUGUGCGUACCAAUCACUAUAGCUUCAAGAUGAAAGGAAAGGAAUAUGUGCUACGACCUAUGUCCCCUAGUCAAGUGAUAGCCGACAAGCAAGCCACCCACCAUGGAGAGAAGAGUGAGAAAGUGAGCCACCCAAACAUGAGUGAGAGCCACAAGCCAAACUUGAGCGCCUCUUCGCCUAGAGAGAAAAACCUCAUACUCUUUGCCACAAAAAGUGAGAUGAGAGAAGUGUGUGAGAACCCAUCAAGUGUGAUGCACUUUGUCCUUGUGUGCAAGGAUGGAGAACCAAAAACUAACACCGUUCACGAGCUACCUUUGGUGUUUCAAUCUCUUUUGCAGGAAUUUCAAGAUGUUUUCCCCGAUGAGCUACCUCCGGGUCUCCCUCCUCUUCGAGGCAUUGAGCAUCGAAUCGACCUCAUCCCCGGAGCUCCUCUUCCAAACAAGGCUCCCUACCGCGUCAACCCCGAAGAGACAAAGGAGAUUCAACGGCAAGUAAAACAACUAAUCGACAACGGUCAUGUACAUGAAAGCUUAAGCCCUUGUGUCGUUCCCGUUAUACUUGUGCCCAAGCAAGAUGGUAGUUUUUGCUUGUGUUCCGAUUAUAGACCCAUAAAUGCUAUUACCGUUUGCUAUAGGCAUCCCAUUCCUCGCUUAGAUGACAUGCUUGAUGAACUUAGUGGAGCCAACUUUUUCUCAAAAAUUGAUCUUAAAAGUGGCUAUUAUCAAAUCCGCAUACAAGAGGGUGAUGAAUGGAAAACGGCUUUCAAAACCAAAUUUGGCUUAUAUGAAUGGUUAGUCAUGCCUAUGGGUUUAUCGGAAGCUCCUGAUACUUUCGUGCGUCUCAUGCAUCAUGUACUUCGCCCUUAUAUUGGAGUCUUUGUUGUGGUUUACUUCAAUGAUAUUCUUGUGUUUAGCAAAACCAUGAAAGAGCAUCUUAAUCUUGUUAGGGCUGUUUUGCAAACACUUCGCAAGGAAAGUCUUUAUGCCAACAUGAAAAAGUGCACAUUUGGUGUUGACAAAGUGGUUUUCUUGGGUUUCGUUGUCUCUUCCAAGGGUGUCCAUGUUGAUGAAACUAAAACUGAAGCAAUUAAAAAUUGGCCCCAACCCACCAAUUUGCAACAAGUGUGAAGUUUUCUUGGUCUUGCGGGUUUUUAUCGUCGCUUUGUGAAAUAUUUUAGCACUAUCGCCGCUCCUUUGCAUGCUUUGAGCAAGAAGAAUGCUCCUUUUGUUUGGGGACCUUUGCAAUCAACCUCUUUUGAUGAGCUCAAAUCUUUGCUUACACAUGCUUCGAUUCUUGCUUUACCCAACUUUGACAAAACUUUUGAGGUUCAUUGCGAUGCAAGUGGUACCGGAAUUGAUGGAGUUUUGAUGCAAGAAAAACGAGCUAUUGCUUAUUUUAGUGAAAAACUAUCCCGUGCUCAACUUAACUAUCCCAUCUAUGACAAAGAAUUGUUUGCUUUAGUGCAUGUGUUACAUGUGUGGGAGCAUUACCUUAGACCGCAUGAGUUUGUCAUACAUACCGAUCAUGAAACACUUAAAUACCUCAAAGGUCAAACCAAGUUGAAUAAACGGCAUGCUAAAUGGAGUGAAUUCAUUGAAUCUUUUCCCUAUGUGAUCAAGUACAUUAAGGGCAAAGAAAACGUGGUGGCGGAUGCCAUUUUCCGCAAAUGCAUGUUACUUACUCAACUUGAAUUGAAUGUCAUAGGAUUUGAUCAUAUCAAAGAUUUGUAUGAGGGUGAUGUGACUUUUGCUACCCCUUACGCUAAGUGUGUGACGCAUACUUCUUGGGAACGAUAUUAUAUCGAAGAUGGUUACCUUAUGAGAGCUAACAAACUAUGCAUUCCCAAGUCCUCUGUUCGUUUGCUCCUUUUGCAAGAGGCUCAUGGAGGUGGACUCAUGGGACACUUUGGACGCGACAAGACUUUUGCCACGCUCUCCAAGAACUAUUAUUGGCCCAAGAUGUUUCGUGAUGUUGCCUGCUUCACCAACCGGUGCUCUACAUGUUGCAAAGCUAAGUCACACUCUCAAUCCCAUGGUUUACAUAUGCCUUUACCUAUCCCACAUCAACCUUGGGAAGACAUUAGUAUGGAUUUUGUGCUUGGAUUACCUAGAACUCAAAAUGGCAAGGAUUCGGUUUUUGUUGUUGUGGACCGUUUCUCUAAAAUGGCUCAUUUUAUCCCAUGCAAUAAGAUAGACGAUGCUUCACAUGUUUCCAAUCUCUUUUGUAGGGAAAUCUUGAGGUUGCACGGCGUGCCAAAGACAAUUGUGUUGGAUCGAGACGUCAAGUUCUUAACCUACUUUUGGAAGACACUAUGCGCCAAGCUCGGGAUCAAGCUACUAUUCUCCACGGCAUAUCAUCCUCAAACCGAUGGCCAAACGGAAGUCACCAACCGGAUGCUUGCGACUCUCCUACGUUUGUUGAUCAAGAAGAACAUCAAGGAGUGGGAGGAGUGCCUACCAAUCACCGAGUACGCCUACAAUCGUGCAAGACACUCUACAACCGGCAAGUCCCCCUUCGAGGUCAUCUACGUUUUCAACCCUUUGUCGCCAUUGGACAUCCUUCCUCUACCGCUUCAAGAACGAGCAAACAUGGACGCAAGUACAAGAGCCGCCUACCUCAAGAAGAUGCAUGAAGAAACACGUUCCACGAUCGAGCGCCAAGUGCAACGCCUCUCCUCCAAGCUCAACAUCAACAAGUCUCCGAUGGUGUUCCAACCGGGUGAUCAAGUAUGGAUACAUCUCCGCAAGGACCGCUUCCCCAACGAACGCAAGUACAAGCUACUACGGCGAGCCGACGGCCCUUUCAAGGGGAUCGCACGCUACAACGACAACACCUACAAGGUCGACAUCCCACGCGACAAGUACAACGUUAGCGACAUCUUCAACGUCAAAGACUUGGCCAAGUACCAUGGUGAUGAAGGGCACGAUUCGUGGACGGAUCUCUCCCAAGGGGGGGGGGAAGAUGAUGCGGAGCAUCCCUCGACUACUCGCACUGACACUCCAUCAACAACGCAAGCUCCAAGUGGACCAACAACACGAGCACGUGCACGCACCAUCGAGAACGAGGUUGAUUCUCUCCUCUUCGAGUUACGCACGGUUUCACAUGAGAGUUGGAUUCUACCGUCAUCGGAAACAUUGUGCAUGCUUAGGUACCAAGAAGAUGAUAAUGAGAAGGAGAAGACGGAGACUCAAGUGACCACGAAGCAAGGGAAAGAAGAGAAGGAAGGAGAGAACAAGAAGAAGGAAGAAGGAGGAGAAGGGGCAAAACCCCCUGGACAUCCCGGGUGCCCGGCCAUGGCAGCCCCGGGUGCCCGGCCUCUACCUGGGCCAUGCCCCAGCCGGCCCCGGGUGCCCGGCCCCAAGGCCCCGGGUGCCCAUGAAGGAAAUAUGCCCUAGAGGCAAUAAUAAAGUUAUUAUUUAUUUCCUUAUAUCAUGAUAAAUGUUUAUUAUUCAAGCUAGAAUUGUAUUAACCGGAAACAUAAUACAUGUGUGAAUAUAUAGACAAACAGAGUGUCACUAGUAUGCCUCUACUUGACUAGCUUGUUAAUCAAAGAUGGUUAUGUUUCCUAACCAUGAAAAAGGAGUUGUUAUUUGAUUAAUGAGAUCACAUCAUUAGUUGAAUGAUCUGAUUGACAUGACCCAUUCCGUUAGCUUAGCACCUGAUCGUUUAGUAUGUUGCUAUUGCUUCCUUCAUGACUUAUACAUGUUCCUAUGACUAUGAGAUUAUGCAACUCCCGUUUACCGGAGGAACACUUUGUGUGCUACCAAAUGUCACAACGUAACUGGGUGAUUAUAAAGGUGCUCUACAGGUGUCUCCAAAGGUACUUGUUGAGUUGGCGUAUUUCGAGAUUAGGAUUUGUCACUCCGAUUGUCGGAGAGGUAUCUCUGGGCCCUCUCGGUAAUGCACAUCACUAUAAGCCUUUCAAGCAAUGUGACCAAUGAGUUGGUUAUGGGAUGAUGCAUUAUGUAACGAGUAAAGAGACUUGCCGGUAACGAGAUUGAACUAGGUAUUGGAUACCGACGAUCGAAUCUCGGGCAAGUAACAUACCGAUGACAAAGGGAACAACGUAUGUUGUUAUGCGGUUUGACCGAUAAAGAUCUUCAUAGAAUAUGUAGGAACCAAUAUGGGCAUCUAGGUCCCGCUAUUGGUUAUUGACCGGAGACGUGUCUCGGUCAUGUCUACAUUGUUCUCGAACUAUAGGGUCCGCACGCUUAAGGUUUUGAUGACAGUUUUAUUAUGAGUUUAUGUAUUUUGAUGUAUCGAAGGUUGAUCGGAGUCCCGGAUGUGAUCACGGACAUGACGAGGAGUCUCGAAAUGGUCGAGACAUAAAGAUUGAUAUAUUGGACGGAUAUAUUUGGACACCGGAAAGGUUCCGGGUGAGAUUGGGAAUAUACCGGAGUUCCGGGAGGUUACCGGAACCCCCCGGUAAGUAUAUGGGCCUUACUGGGCCUUAGUGGAAGGGAGGAAGAAGGAGCAAAGGAGGGGGCGCCCCCCCCAAGCCCAAUCCGAAUUGGGAGGGGGGCCGGCCCCCUUUCCUUCUUUCCUCCCCUCUCUUCCUUCCCUCUCCUGCUCCUAAUAGGAAAGGGGUGCCAAACCUACUUGGAGUAGGUUUGCCCCCCCUAGGGCGCGCCUCCCCCUUAGGCCGGCCCCCUCCUCCCUCCCUCCUUUAUAUACGGGGGCGGGGGGCACCCCAUAGACACACAAGUUGAUCUUCGUGAUCGUUCCUUAGCCGUGUGCGGUGCCCCCCUCCAUGAUAUUACACCUCGGUCAUAUUGUAGCGGUGCUUAGGCGAAUCCCUGUGAUAGUUGAACAUCAAGAUCGUCACCACGCCGUCGUGCUGACGGAACUCCUACCCGUACCUCUGCUGGAUCGGAGUUCGGGGUGCGUCAUCGAGCUGUACGUGUGUCAAGAACUCGGAGGUGCCGGAGUAACGGUGCUUGGAUCGGUUGGACCGGGAAGACGUACGACUACUUCCUCUAUGUUGCGUCAACGCUUCCGCUUCGGUCUACGAGGGUAUGUAGACAACACUCUCCCCUCUCGUUGCUAUGCAUCACCAUGAUCUUGCAUGUGCGUAGGAAUUUUUUUGAAAUUACUACGUUCCCCUACAGUGGCAUCCGAGCCUAGGUUUUAUGGUUUGAUGGUAUAUGCACGAGUAGAACACAAGUGAGUUGUGGGCGAUAUAAGUCAUACUGCUUACCAGCAUGUCAUACUUUGGUUCAGCGGUAUUGUUGGAUGAAGCGGCUCGGACCGACAUUACGCGUACGCUUACGCGAGACUGGUUUUACCGCCGUGCUUUGCACACAGGUGACUAGCGGGUGUCAGUUUCUCCAACUUUAGUUGAACCGAGUGUGGCUACGCCCGGUCCUUGCGAAGGUUAAAACAACAUCAACUUGACAAACUAUCGUUGUGGUUUUGAUGCGUAGGUGAGAUUGGUUCUUGCUUAAGCCCGUAGCAGCCACGUAAAACUUGAAACAACAAAGUAGAGGACGUCUAACUUGUUUUUGCAGGGCAUGUUGUGAUGUGAUAUGGCCAAGACGUGAUGCUAUAUUUUAUUGUAUGAGAUGAUCAUGUUUUGUAACCAAAGUUAUCGGCAACUGGCAGGAGCCAUAUGGUUGUCGCUUUAUUGUAUGAAAUGCAAACGCCCUGUAAUUGCUUUACUUUAUCACUAAGCGGUAGCGAUAGUCGUAGAAGCAAUAGACGGCGUAAACGACAAUGAUGCUAUGAUGGAGAUCAAGGUGUCGCGCCGGUGACGAUGGUGAUCAUGAUGGUGCUUCGGAGAUGGAGAUCACAAGCACAAGAUGAUGAUGGCCAUAUCAUAUCACUUAUAUUGAUUGCAUGUGAUGUUUAUCCUUUAUGCAUCUUAUCUUGCUUUGAUUGACGGUAGCAUUUUAAGAUGAUCUCUCACUAAAAAUUAUCAAGAAGUGUUCUCCCUGAGUAUGCACCGUUGCCAAAGUUCGUCGUGCCCAGACACCACGUGAUGAUCGGGUGUGAUAAGCUCUACGUUCAUUUACAACGGGUGCAAGCCAGUUUUGCACACGCAGAAUACUCAGGUUAAACUUGACGAGCCUAGCAUAUGCAGGUAUGGCCUCGGAACACGGAGACCGAAAGGUCGAGCGUGAAUCAUAUAGUAGAUAUGAUCAACAUAAGAUGUUCACCAUUGAAAACUACUCCAUCUCACGUGAUGAUCGGUUAUGGUUUAGUUGAUUUGGGUCACGUGAUCACUUAGAUGACUAGAGAGAUGUCUGUCUAAGUGGGAGUUCUUAAGUAAUAUGAUUAAUUGAACUUAAAUUUAUCAUGAACUUAGUACCUGAUAGUAUCUUGCUUGUCUAUGUUGAUUGUAGAUAGAUGGCCUGUGCUGUUGUUCCGUUGAAUUUUAAUGCGUUCCUUGAGAAAGCUAAGUUGAAAGAUGAUGGUAGCAACUACGCGGACUGGGUCCGUAACUUGAGGAUUAUCCUCAUUGCUGCACAGAAAAAUUACGUCCUAGAAGCACCGCUGGGUGCCAGGCCUGCUGCUGAUGCAACUGACGACGUUAAGAACGUCUGGCAGAGCAAAGCUGAUGACUACUCGAUAGUUCAAUGUGCCAUGCUUUAUGGCUUAGAACCGGGACUUCAACGAUGUUUUGAACGUCAUGGAGCAUAUGAGAUGUUCCAGGAGUUGAAGUUAAUAUUCCAGAAGAAUGCCCGGAUUGAGAGAUACGAAGUCUCCAAUAAGUUCUAUAGCUGCAAGAUGGAGGAGAAUAGUUCUGUCAGUGAGCACAUACUCAAGAUGUCUGGGUAUUGUAAUCACUUGAUUCAACUGGGAGUUACUCUUCCGGAUGAUAGCGUCAUUGACAGAAUUCUCCAAUCACUUCCACCAAGCUACAAGAGCUUCGUAAUGAACUAUAAUAUGCAAGGGAUGGAUAAGACAAUUCCCGAGCUCUUCGCAAUGCUAAAGGCUGCGGAGGUAGAAAUCAAGAAGGAGCAUCAAGUGUUGAUGGUCAACAAUACCACUAGUUUCAAGAAAAAGGGCAAAGGGAAGAAGAAGGGGAACUUCAAGAAGAACAGCAAACAAGUUGCUGCUCAAGAGAAGAAACCCAAGUCUGGACCUAAGCCUGAAACUGAGUGCUUCUACUGCAAGCAGACUGGUUACUGGAAGCGGAACUGCCCCAAGUAUUUGGCGGAUAAGAAGGAUGGCAAGGUGAACAAAGGUAUAUGUGAUAUACAUGUUAUUGAUGUGUACCUUACUAGAGCUCGCAGUAGCACCUGGGUAUUUGAUACUGGUUCUGUUGCUAAUAUUUGCAACCCAAAACAGGGACUACGGAUUAAGCGAACACUGGCAAAGGACGAGGUGACGAUGCGCGUGGGAAAUGGUUCCAAAGUCGAUGUGAUCGCGGUCGGCACGCUACCACUACAUCUACCUUCGGGAUUAGUAUUAGACCUAAAUAAUUGUUAUUUGGUGCCAGCGUUGAGCAUGAACAUUAUAUCUGGAUCUUUUUUGAUGCGAGACAGUUAUUCAUUUAAAUCAGAGAAUAAUGGUUGUUCUAUUUAUAUGAGUAAUAUCUUUUAUGGUCAUGCACCCUUCAAGAGUGGUCUAUUUUUGAUGAAUCUCGAUAGUAGUGAUACACAUAUUCAUAGUGUUGAAGCCAAAAGAUGCAGAGUUGAUAAUGAUAGUGCAACUUAUUUGUGGCACUGCCAUUUAGGUCAUAUCGGUGUAAAGCGCAUGAAGAAACUCCAUACUGAUGGUCUUUUGGAACCACUUGAUUACGAAUCACUUGGUACUUGCGAACCGUGCCUCAUGGGUAAGAUGACCAAAACACCGUUCUCCGGUACUAUGGACAGAGCAACAGAUUUGUUAGAAAUCAUACAUACAGAUGUAUGUGGUCCAAUGAAUGUUGAGGCUCGUGGCGAAUAUCGUUAUUUUCUCACCUUCACAGAUGAUUUAAGCAGAUAUGGGUAUAUCUACUUAAUGAAGCAUAAGUCUGAAACAUUUGAAAAGUUCAAAGAAUUUCAGAGUGAAGUUGAAAAUCAUCGUAACAAGAAAAUAAAGUUUCUACGAUCUGAUCGUGGAGGAGAAUAUUUGAGUUACGAGUUUGGUCUACACUUAAAACAAUGUGGAAUAGUUUCGCAACUCACGCCACCCGGAACACCACAGCGUAAUGGUGUGUCCGAACGUCGUAAUCAUACUUUACUUGAUAUGGUGCGAUCUAUGAUGUCUCUUAUAGAUUUACCGCUAUCGUUUUGGGGUUAUGCUUUAGAGACAGCCACAUUCACAUUAAAUAGGGCACCAUCAAAAUCCGUUGAGGCGACACCUUAUGAACUAUGGUUUGGCAAGAAACCAAAGUUGUCGUUUCUUAAAGUUUGGGGCUGCGAUGGUUAUGUGAAAAAGCUUCAACCUGAUAAGCUCGAACCCAAAUCGGAGAAAUGUGUCUUCAUAGGAUACCCAAAGGAGACAGCUGGGUACACCUUCUAUCACAGAUCCGAAGGCAAGACAUUCGUUGCUAAGAAUGGAUCCUUUCUAGAGAAGGAGUUUCUCUCGAAAGAAGUGAGUGGGAGGAAAGUAGAACUUGAUGAGGUAACUGUACCUACUCCCUUGUUGGAAAAUAAUACAUCACAGGAACCGGUUUCUGUGACAUCAAAACCAACUAGUGAGGAAGUUGAUGAUGAUGAUCAUAGAACUUCAGAUCAAGUUACUACAGAACCUCAUAGGUCAAACAGAGUAAGAUCCGCACCAGAGUGGUAUGGUAAUCCUAUUCUGGAAGUCAUGCUACUAGAUCAUGAUGAACCUACGAACUAUGAAGAAGCGAUGGUGAGCCUAGAUUCCGCAAAAUGGCUUGAGGCCAUGAAAUCUGAGAUGGGAUCCAUGUAUGAGAACAAAGUAUGGACUUUGGUUGACUUGCCCGAUGGUCGGCAAGCAAUUGAGAAUAAAUGGAUCUUCAAGAAGAAGACUGACGCUAACGGUAAUGUUACUGUCUACAAAGCUCGACUUGUUGAAAAAGGUUUUCGACAAGUUCAAGGGGUUGACUACGAUGAGACCUUCUCACCCGUAGCGAUGCUUAAGUCUGUCCGAAUCAUGUUAGCAAUUGCCGCAUUUUAUGAUUAUGAAAUUUGGCAAAUGCAUGUAAAAACUGCAUUCCUGAAUGGAUUUCUGGAGGAAGAGUUGUAUAUGUUGCAACCAGAAGGUUUUAUCGAUCCAAAGGGAGCUAACAAAGUGUGCAAGCUCCAGCGAUCCAUCUAUGGACUGGUGCAAGCCUCUCGGAGUUGGAAUAAACAUUUUGAUAGUGUGAUCAAAGCAUUUGGGUUUAUACAGACUUUUGGAGAAGCCUGUAUUUACAAGAAAGUGAGUGGGAGUUCUGUAGCAUUUCUAAUAUUAUAUGUGGAUGACAUAUUAUUGAUUGGAAAUGAUAUAGAAUUUCUGGAUAGCAUAAAGGGAUACUUGAACAAAAGUUUUUCAAUGAAAGACCUCGGUGAAGCUGCUUACAUAUUGGGCAUUAAGAUCUAUAGAAAUAGAUCAAAACGCUUAAUUGUACUUUCACAAAGCACAUACCUUGACAAAGUUUUGAAGAAGUUCAAAAUGGAUCAAGCAAAGAAAGGGUUCUUGCCUGUAUUGCAAGGUGUGAAGUUGAGUAAAACUCAAAGCCCGACCACUGCAGAAGAUAGAGAGAAAAUGAAAAAUGUUCCCUAUGCUUCAGCCAUAGGCUCUAUCAUGUAUGCAAUGCUGUGUACCAGACCUGAUGUGUGCCUUGCUAUAAGUUUAGUAGGGAGGUACCAAAGUAAUCCAGGAGUGGAUCACUGGACAGCGGUCAAGAACAUCCUAAAGUACCUGAAAAGGACUAAGGAUAUGUUUCUCGUAUAUGGAGGUGACAAAGAGCUCAUCGUAAAUGGUUACGUUGAUGCAAGCUUUGACACUGAUCCGGAUGAUUCUAAAUCACAAACCGGAUACGUGUUUACAUUAAACGGUGGAGCUGUCAGUUGGUGCAGUUCAAAGCAAAGCAUCGUGGCAGGAUCUACGUGUGAAGCGGAAUACAUAGCUGCUUCGGAAGCAGCCAAUGAAGGAGUCUGGAUGAAGGAGUUCAUAUCCGAUCUAGGUGUCAUACCUAGUGCAUCGGGUCCAAUGAAAAUCUUUUGUGACAAUACUGGAGCGAUUGCCUUGGCGAAGGAAUCCAGAUUUCACAAGAGAACCAAGCACAUCAAGAGAUGCUUCAAUUCCAUCCGGGAUCUAGUCUAGGUGGGAGACAUAGAGGUUUGCAAGAUACAUACGGAUCUGAAUGUUGCAGACCCGUUGACUAAGCCUCUUCCACGAGCAAAACAUGAUCAACACCAAGACUCCAUGGGUGUUAGAAUCAUUACUAUGUAAUCUAGAUUAUUGACUCUAGUGCAAGUGGGAGACUGAAGGAAAUAUGCCCUAGAGGCAAUAAUAAAGUUAUUAUUUAUUUCCUUAUAUCAUGAUAAAUGUUUAUUAUUCAUGCUAGAAUUGUAUUAACCGGAAACAUAAUACAUGUGUGAAUAUAUAGACAAACAGAGUGUCACUAGUAUGCCUCUACUUGACUAGCUUGUUAAUCAAAGAUGGUUAUGUUUCCUAACCAUGAACAAGGAGUUGUUAUUUGAUUAAUGAGAUCACAUCAUUAGUUGAAUGAUCUGAUUGACAUGACCCAUUCCGUCAGCUUAGCACCCGAUCGUUUAGUAUGUUGCUAUUGCUUCCUUCAUGACUUAUACAUGUUCCUAUGACUAUGAGAUUAUGCAACUCCCGUUUACCGGAGGAACACUUUUGUGCUACCAAACGUCACAACGUAACUGGGUGAUUAUAAAGGUGCUCUACAGGUGUCUCCAAAGGUACUUGUUGAGUUGGCGUAUUUCGAGAUUAGGAUUUGUCACUCCGAUUGUCGGAGAGGUAUCUCUGGGCCCUCUCGGUAAUGCACAUCACUAUAAGCCUUGCAAGCAAUGUGACCAAUGAGUUGGUUACGGGAUGAUGCAUUAUGUAACGAGUAAAGAGACUUGCCGGUAACGAGAUUGAACUAGGUAUUGGAUACCGACGAUCGAAUCUCGGGCAAGUAACAUACCGAUGACAAAGGGAACAACGUAUGUUGUUAUGCGGUUUGACCGAUAAAGAUCUUCGUAGAAUAUGUAGGAACCAAUAUGGGCAUCCAGGUCCCGCUAUUGGUUAUUGACCGGAGACGUGUCUCGGUCAUGUCUACAUUGUUCUCGAACCGUAGGGUCCGCAGGCUUAAGGUUUCAAUGACAGUUUUAUUAUGAGUUUAUGUAUUUUGAUGUACUGAAGGUUGUUCGGAGUCCCGGAUGUGAUCACGGACAUGACGAGGAGUCUCUAAAUGGUCGAGACAUAAAGAUUGAUAUAUUGGACGGAUAUAUUUGGACACCGGAAAGGUUCCGGGUGAGAUUGGGAAUAUACCGGAGUUCCGGGAGGUUACCGGAACCCCCCGGUAAGUAUAUGGGCCUUAUUGGGCCUUAGUGGAAGGGAGGAAGAAGGAGCAAAGGAGGGGACGCGCCCCCCCCCCCAAGCCCAAUCCGAAUUGGGAGGGGGGCCGGCCCCCCUUUCCUUCUUUCCUCCCCUCUCUUCCUUCCCUCUCCUACUCCUAAUAGGAAAGGGGUGCCAAACCUACUUGGAGUAGGUUUGCCCCCCCUAGGGCGCGCCUCCCCCUUAGGCCGGCCCCCUCCUCCCUCCCUACUUUAUAUACGGGGGUGGGGGCACCCCAUAGACACACAAGUUGAUCUUCGUGAUCGUUCCUUAGCCGUGUGCGGUGCCCCCCUCCACGAUAUUACACCUCGGUCAUAUUGUAGCGGUGCUUAGGCGAAGCCCUGUGGUAGUUGAACAUCAAGAUCGUCACCACGCCAUCGUGCUGACGGAACUCCUCCCCGUACCUCUGCUGGAUCGGAGUUCGGGGUGCGUCAUCGAGUUGUACGUGUGUCAAGAACUUAGAGGUGCCGGAGUAACGGUGCUUGGAUCGGUUGGACUGGGAAGACGUACGACUACUUCCUCUAUGUUGCGUCAACGCUUCCGCUUCGGUCUACGAGGUUACGUAGAUAACACUCUCCCCUCUCGUUGCUAUGCAUCACCAUGAUCUUGCGUGUGCGUAGGAAAUUUUUUGAAAUUACUAUGUUCCCCUACAGGCCGGCCCCUCGCCUGGGCUCAGCCCAGCCGGCCCUGGGUGCCCGGCCAAUCGGCCCCGGGUGCCCGGCCCUUGCCCAGCCGCCCACUGGCUGCCACCCCGGGUGCCCAGGCUUGGCGCCCCGGGUGCCCGGCCCCUCGCCCAGAUGCUCCUGUACUGGCCGGGUGCCCGGUCCCGCCUGGGCGCAGCUCCCUGACCGGUCUGGGUGCCCGGACCCUUUCCCGUGACCACGCGUUUUUAGGGACUUUUUGGUCCUUUGUAUCCCCUCUCCCUAAUAUUUCGUCCCUAGACUAUAUAAGUGGAACUCCUAGGUCAUUUGUGGGAUAGCAAAGAUUAGACUACACAUUUUGAGCCUUUGCUCAUUGUAUCCCCUCCUCCUAGGAGCUCAAGCCCCCACCUUGGGAAGAAUCCAUAGGAUUAUCAAGGCCUCCUCUUGGAGAAGAUCAUCAAGACCUCACAUAGUGGGAAGAAUUUCACCAAGUGCUACUCUCCUUGUAUUGAUCUUGUAAUCAUGUGGAUCUUAUGUGUGCCACUCUAGUAGAUGUGAUACUUGGUUUGUUUGAGAGAUUUUGUUCUUGGUGUUAUUGGUGUUCUUGAGUUUUUCCUCCUUUUCCCCCUCCAAGAGUGAACAGAUCCUUCCUAGGGUUUGACCCUACAACAAAGUGCCUCCUUAUUACGCGUAAAAUAAUUAUUCCUCCACCUGACAGCAGGGACCCACCGGAUGGGCCACCAAUAUUUUGCAAAAAAACAUUUCCCCCUGUCUGCUGGGACCCAAAGGACGGUCCACCGUAUUUCGUGAAAAAACGUAGCCCUCGCUGUCAGCUCGGACCCACCGGAAGUGCCUCCUUAUUACGCACAAAAAAAUGAAUACUCCCCAACUAGCUGUGACCCACCUUGGUGGGAGGCUGACUUGUGGGCCUACUAAGUUGACGGGGACGGAGGGCUUUGUCAACUUAGUCAAUAUGAACGAUUCUAGCUCUAGUGACCGUACGAUGUCCAUCCAACGGCCGUAGUGCUUCUUCAACCUCUGGUCUUCGUGCUCUAGCCGCCCAAAGCAGCACCGGUCGUGCCACAUGCUCCUGCCUUUCGUGGCCGGCUGUGAUGCCGCGGAGGCCUCACCGCCCCUACUACUCCCACCGCUGGCCAGGCCAUCCCUCUACUCACCCACACCCCCUGUUAUUCUGCGGCGACGGCAGCCUCACACCGUAGCCGAACCAGUGAACCCUCAUACUCCUCUUCGCAUGGGCAUCCACUGCUGCGUCUUCCCCGGCUCCGCCUCGUCCCCUUCCUAGGCCUCACCGUCGUCCACCGCUGUAGUGCUCUCGGCGCGGCGUGGUCAACGUGGUCAAGGAACGACUUCCAUCGGACAUGGACUGUACGUGGAGAGGCUGCCAGCUGGGUCCAUGGCCACAGCAAGGAAGUGCCUCCUUAUUACGCGGAAAAUAAUGAUUCCUCCACCUGACAGCUGGGACCCACCAGACGGGCCACUAUAUUUCGCGAAAAAAUGUUUCCCUCGUGACUGCUGGGACACACCAGCUAUAUCUUCGCACGCAAGGAAGUGCGUCCGGGCAAAAAAUAAAAAACAAUUCGCCCCCUGACUACUGGGACCCACGAGCUACACCUUCGCACGCAAGGAAGUGCGUCCGGGCAAAAAAAACAAUUCGUCCCCCUGACUGCUGGGACCCACCAGCUACAUCUUCGCGCGCAAGUAAGUGCCUGACAGUCGGGACCCACCUGGUCGAAGCGUACGUAGCGUUGUUAUUCUAGUCGCGAACGUGUACGUACAUACUGGUCGAUGUAGAGGCGCGCACGUGUAGUACUAGAGGCACGCAUGUGUCAUAGGAGAGGCGCGCACGUAGCAUGUACACGUACGUACAACGGCCAGGGUGCAAGAAAGAAAAUACGGCCACGUACGUACAUAUGGGCAGUAUCACGCCCAAUAUGCGACCCUAUCCAAAAGGAACUCGAAGGUCCCACCAAGGAUAGACCCGCAUAUUGAAACGCCUUUGCAAGGUGGAUAUCAUUACAUCAACAUUACAUAAUAGAUGGGGAUACAUACAAAAGGCAUACAAUGCCACACGAAUACAACAUCAUCAUACAUAAGAGCAACAUCCGACUACGGAUGAAUCACAAACAGAAACUCGAACGACAUCCACCCUGCUAGCCCAGGCUACCGACCUGGAACCUAUCCCCUGUUCGAAGAAGAAGCAGAAGAAGAACUCCAAACAAGCAAACAUCGCUCUCGCGUCAUGAACAUCGCAUAAACCCGUACCUGCAACUGUUGGUGUAGUAAUCUGUGAGCCACGAGGACUCAGCAAUCCCAUUACCAUGGGUAUCAAGACUAGCAAAGCUUAAUGGGAAAGGAAGGGGUAAAGUGGUGAGGUUGCAGCAGCGACUAAGCAUAUAUGGUGGCUAACAUACGCAAAUGAGAGCGAGAAGAGAAACAAAGGAGCGGUCGUCAACUAGUAAUGAUCAAGAAGUGAUCCUGAACUCCUACUUACGUCAAACAUAACCCAGAAACCGUGUUCACUUCCCGGACUCCGCCGAGAAGAGACCAUCACGGCUACACACGCGGUUGAUGCAUUUUAAUUCGGAUCUGGUGUCAAGUUAUCUACAACCGGACAUUAACAAAUUCCCAUCUGCCACAUAACCGCGGGCACGGCUCUCGAAAGUUUAUACCCUGCAGGGGUGUCCCAACUUAGCCCAUGACAAGCUCUCGCGAUCAACGAAGGAAUAGACCUUCUCCCAGGAAGACCCGAUCAGUCUCGGAAUCCCGGUUUACAAGACAUUUCGACAAUGGUAAAACAAGACCAGCAAAGCCGCCUGAUGCGCCGACAAUCCCGAUAGGAGCUGCACAUAUCUCGUUCUCAGGGCAACACCGGAUGAGACAGGCUACGAGCAAAACCAGACUUCGAGUUUCCCCGAGGUGGCCCCGCAGGCGGCUCGGUUCGGACCAACACUUAGACAAGCACUGGCCCGGGGGGGCUAAAAUAAAGAUGACCCUUGGGUUGGCCGACCCAAGGGAAGGGUAUAGGUGGUGGUGAGGCAAAUGGUAAAACCAAGGUUGGGCCUUGCUGGACAAGUUUUAUUCAAAGCGAACUGUCAGGGGGGUCCCAUAAAUCACCCGACCGCGUUAGGAACGCAAAAUCCGGGAACAUAACACCGGUAUGACGGAAACUAGGGCGGCAAGAGUGGAACAAAACACCAGGCAUAAGGCCGAGCCUUCCACCCUUUACCAAAUAUAUAGAUGCAUUAAUAAUAUAAGAGAUAUUGUGAUAUCCCAACAUAACCCUGUCCACCAUGAAGAAAUCUUCAACUUCACCUGCAGCUAGCAACGCUAUAAGAGGGGCUGAGCAAAAGCGGUAACAUAGCCAAGCAACGGUUUUCUAGGAAGGGUGUCAAAGCUUAGAGGUUCAUGGCAAUUUGGGAGGCUUGAAGAGCAAAAGAUAGGUAGCGCAGCAAAGCGAUAGAACGAAGCAACUAGCAUAGCAAUGAUAGUAGUGAGAUCCAGGGUAGCGGUCAUCUUGCCUGAAAUCCCGCAAGGAAGAAGAACGAGCCCAUGAAGAAGAUGAAGCCACGAAGACGAACCACACGUAGACGAACGAAUCCUCACGAUCGCAACGAAACGGGAACUAUCGAGAAGAAGCACACAACAUAGUAAACACACCACACAUGAACAAGACAUGAUGCACAACAAGCAUGAUGCAUGACAAAGCUACAUGGAGCUACUCAUGGCAAGAGAUGAAGCAAACAAGAACAACAUAUCAAGGCAAGUUUAAAUGAGGCCGGAAACAGCAUAUAACAAUUCCGGUAAGUCCUCAUAUGCAAAUUUCGAAAUUGGUCCAAAACUGAAUAAACAUUAAGUUGAAGUUGUUAAACAGCAAGUUAAACAGCACCAAGAUGAUCUACACGAGAUUCUAGUCAAGUUACAUAUAAAGUUCAUUAGAUUCGGAGCUACGGCCUAGAAGAUAUGAGCAAAACAAGUUAAGCAUGGCAUUGAUGCAAAAUGCAUACAAACAUCAAGCAAACACACCAAAACAAGGAUGCAACAUGAUAAUAUGAUGCUACAUGCAAAAAUAAGCAAGUUUCAUAUAGAGCACACUCAAAAUGGAGCAACGGUUCAACACAUACACUCUAUACAAGUCAUAGCAACAAUCUGUCCAUAACAGCAACUAGGCAUAUUGCAAGCAACAAAACAAUAUGUUACAGCACCCCAACAUAAUAACAAAAGGCAUGGGCAUGAAGUACAGGUAAAGCACAACAAAACAUGAACACUGAUCUAUCUCCCGAAAUCACUAGAACAUGCUCAAACACACAUGGUAAGAUUGCAAAUAAUAACAGUUUCAGACUUUAGCAGAAAUAACAUCAGGUUGCAAUGUUUAGAGCUAUCAAACAACAUGUUACAGGAACAUAUCAUGGCAAACAAAGGCAUGGCAUGAAUCUACUAAAAGCAUAGAUCAAAAGACCCUUACUGACCAUGAGCCAAAAAGGCAUAGAAAAUAUGAUGGCACCCAUGUAAACAUGGCAAGUUAUAUUACUGAUUCAAACAUGGCAGGAACAACAAUAAGUAGGCAUGUUAGUGAGCUUGAACCACUCACCACAGAGCAAUACAUGGCAUGACAAGGCAACCAACAGUAAGAAGACAUGUUUGUGAAGCUAAGCAUGGCAAGAGCAAGUUCAUAGGGUGCAUGGAUCACUAGCAAACAAUCAUGGAAACAUGGAACUUAAUGUUAAGAGGCUGAUAGCAACAUCAUUUAGCAACUUUGAGGGCAAGAUAACAACAAGCUACAGCAAGCUAUAAUUGCAACCAAGGACAUGAACGGAUAGAUCAAGACAUGUAGAUCAAAACAUGUCUAUAGAACAUCUCCACAUUAUGCAUAGAAUGAUUAGUAGCAACAUGUUUAUAUAGCAUCACGCAAUAACAGAUUUAGCCUAGCAAAACAGUAACAGCAAGUACACUACUUAGCAAGCUCGAUGCACUCAGCACACAACUCACAAAAAUACAUGGUUGGCACCCCUGGAAAGAUGGCAUGGCAUAGAUCAAAACACAUGUAGACAUCAACCUCAUAGGAUGCACACAUCAAUCAUGGCAAAAAUGACAAAUGAGCAAGUUAUAACAGUUUCAGCAGAUUAACAUCAACAUGCACUUUUCCAACAGCAUUUAGGGCAUCAAGAUGAUCUCAAUUGAAAAUGAUGCAAUGGAAUAAAACGAAGUACUCAUUGAGACGAACAAUUUGACAUAUUAUACGCAUGAAACAGAGCUACGGAUGCAGAGAUACGAUGCAACAAACAUGGCAUGAUAAUGACAGAAAUCUGGGACUUAGACGAAAAUAACCUCACGGGAAAACUGGACGAGGUGAUCCCGGGGACGAAUCGGUGCGGAUCGGCAGGGCGUUUGGAUGGCUGUGGUGGUGGAUCUCAUCCACCCGUCGGUUCCGGGCCGGAUCUCGCCGGAUCCGGCCGGAGACGACUCCGGCGAGGCACGGGCGACCUCUGGCGACGAGGCCGACGAAGUGGCGGGGACGGGACGCGGGGCCGGAGUGGAGAGCCGGCGCGCUGGGCGCCGCCGGUGAGGCUGGAGGGCGGCAAACGGGGCGGCCGGAGGCGCGCACGGGNNNNNNNNNNNNNNNNNNNNNNNNNNNNNNNNNNNNNNNNNNNNNNNNNNNNNNNNNNNNNNNNNNNNNNNNNNNNNNNNNNNNNNNNNNNNNNNNNNNNNNNNNNNNNNNNNNNNNNNNNNNNNNNNNNNNNNNNNNNNNNNNNNNNNNNNNNNNNNNNNNNNNNNNNNNNNNNNNNNNNNNNNNNNNNNNNNNNNNNNNNNNNNNNNNNNNNNNNNNNNNNNNNNNNNNNNNNNNNNNNNNNNNNNNNNNNNNNNNNNNNNNNNNNNNNNNNNNNNNNNNNNNNNNNNNNNNNNNNNNNNNNNNNNNNNNNNNNNNNNNNNNNNNNNNNNNNNNNNNNNNNNNNNNNNNNNNNNNNNNNNNNNNNNNNNNNNNNNNNNNNNNNNNNNNNNNNNNNNNNNNNNNNNNNNNNNNNNNNNNNNNNNNNNNNNNNNNNNNNNNNNNNNNNNNNNNNNNNNNNNNNNNNNNNNNNNNNNNNNNNNNNNNNNNNNNNNNNNNNNNNNNNNNNNNNNNNNNNNNNNNNNNNNNNNNNNNNNNNNNNNNNNNNNNNNNNNNNNNNNNNNNNNNNNNNNNNNNNNNNNNNNNNNNNNNNNNNNNNNNNNNNNNNNNNNNNNNNNNNNNNNNNNNNNNNNNNNNNNNNNNNNNNNNNNNNNNNNNNNNNNNNNNNNNNNNNNNNNNNNNNNNNNNNNNNNNNNNNNNNNNNNNNNNNNNNNNNNNNNNNNNNNNNNNNNNNNNNNNNNNNNNNNNNNNNNNNNNNNNNNNNNNNNNNNNNNNNNNNNNNNNNNNNNNNNNNNNNNNNNNNNNNNNNNNNNNNNNNNNNNNNNNNNNNNNNNNNNNNNNNNNNNNNNNNNNNNNNNNNNNNNNNNNNNNNNNNNNNNNNNNNNNNNNNNNNNNNNNNNNNNNNNNNNNNNNNNNNNNNNNNNNNGGGCGGGCCUGACGCGGGCCUGGCGGCGGCGCGCAGUGGGAACGGCGGUGGCGGGGACACGUGGCGGGCUGGGAUUCGUCGGGCGGCGGCAGCGGACGCGUCCGGCGACUGGACGGACAUGUCCGGCGUCGCGGGAUGGAGGGGGCUAGGGUUUCAUCCGCGAAAAUGGAAGGGGAGGGCCUAUUUAUAGGUAGAGGAAGCUAGGAGAGUCCAAAUGAGGAGCGGUUUUCGGCCACGCGAUCGUGAUCGAACGAUCGAGAGCAUGGAGGGGAGUUUGCUGGGCUUUGGGCCACUUUGGAAGGGGUGUUGGGCUGCAACUCAAAGAGGGCCUUGCGGUUACCCGGUUAACCGUUGGAGUAUCAAACGACCUCCAAAUGGCACGAAACUUGACAGGCGGUCUACCGGUGCUAUACCAAGGCCGCUUGGCAAACCUCGGGCCAUUCUGAGAAUGUUUAACACCCGCACAAGAGAAGAGGUCAAAAGGGACCGCCGGAUGACAUAGGAGUGCCGGAUUGCAAAACGGACAACGGGGAAAAUGCUCGGAUGCAUGAGACGAACACGUAUGCAAAAUGAGAUGCACAUGAUGACAUGAUAUGAAAUGCAGAUGAUGACAUGGCAAAGUGCAACACGCAAGCAAAUGACAUGGCAACAACGGCGAAUAACUGACGGACACCUGGUGCAUCGGAUUCGGGGCGUUACAGGCAGGGUCUCGAAUGCCUACUCGCGCAUAUGUAUGGCCAGGGCUCAUCUACAUGGCUGGGUCGGAAUGGAGAAACGGUGUCGUCGUUGUGUUCAUGGGGAGCCAACCGGCUAGGUCGGAACGGAAUGCAUCGUCGUGUUCAUCGGGACGGCUUGGACGGAAUAGGCGAUGGAAACGAGGCCUGGCGUACCGCAGAAUGGAGGAAACGGCCUUGUGUUUGACCCGCCACGUUCGAAACGGGAUCCUAUUCAUCGGGAGGGGUGUGGCGUACCACAAAACAAAGGAAACAGACCUCCUAUGGUCGAAACAGGGGUCCUGUUGAUCGGGAGGGGUGUGGCGUACCACAAAACGGACGAAACAAACUUGUGUUGGAGCGCUACGAUCGAAACGGGGGUCCUGUUCAUCGGGAGGGGUGUGGCGUACCACAAAACAGGACUCCACGGGAUACUGUUCAUCUCCACCGUCGACCUCCUCUAGCCUCCACGGGCUACCGUCGACCUCCUCCAGCCUCCACGGGCUCCUGUUCAUCUAGCCCCCACCGCGCGCUACUCCACCAGCUACUGUUCAACCACCCCUCCACGGGAACCCCUCCAUCAUCUACUGUUCAUCCAGCCCUCCACGGGGUCGUCCUAUUCAUCCAGUCCUCCACGGGGUCNNNNNNNNNNNNNNNNNNNNNNNNNNNNNNNNNNNNNNNNNNNNNNNNNNNNNNNNNNNNNNNNNNNNNNNNNNNNNNNNNNNNNNNNNNNNNNNNNNNNNNNNNNNNNNNNNNNNNNNNNNNNNNNNNNNNNNNNNNNNNNNNNNNNNNNNNNNNNNNNNNNNNNNNNNNNNNNNNNNNNNNNNNNNNNNNNNNNNNNNNNNNNNNNNNNNNNNNNNNNNNNNNNNNNNNNNNNNNNNNNNNNNNNNNNNNNNNNNNNNNNNNNNNNNNNNNNNNNNNNNNNNNNNNNNNNNNNNNNNNNNNNNNNNNNNNNNNNNNCAGUUAGCAGUAGUAGCGAAGGAAUCGCUCAAUCGGGUUCAGUUAACAGCCAUCGAUCGAUCGCUUGGGUUUAGUAAUGCAUAGCCUACAGUGCAAUCGCUUGGGUUCAGUUAGAGCCCAACACCUCGCUCGGGUUCAGUUAGAGCAACCGCCUUGCACACACACGCGUACAUGUACAAGAGAAACACGCAUCGCUCGGCCCCUGACCUCCCACCGUAACCGGGAACUCCCCGUAAUUUUCCUCUCCCUCGCUUCUACCACGAUUUUUUCCGUCAUGGGUGGCCCAAAGAAUGUCAUGCAGCUGCGUCUCCGGCCCGCCCAGGACGAAAAGCCCAUUUUUGUCAUGAUUUUUUGUCAUAGAAGUAGGAGCCCACCACAUCUAUGAUGAUACUGGGUUUUGUCACAAUUAUCGUCAUAGAAGUGUCAUAUGUAUGACAGAAAAAAUUCGUUCGGCCCAAAAUGUCACGGAUGUGUCUUUUUUUUGUAGUGAAUACUUAAGAAUAUUCUUUGGCUCCCCUUGUGUCGAAUCAAUAAAUUUGGGUUGAAUACUCUACCCUCGAAAGCUGUUGCGAUCCCCUACACUUAUGGGCUAUCAAGACUAAUUUCUGGCGCCAUUGCCGGGGAGCAUAACUCUAUUCUUUGAGUCACUUGGGAUUUAUAUCUGUUGAUCACUAUAAGGAACUUGAAAGACGAAAGAACCAAGAUUUUUCACUCAACUACGCGGGGAGGUAAGGAACUGCCAUCCAGCUCUGCACUAGAUUCUCCUUCUGUUUUGAGUAAGCUUGCGACACCUAAACCUGCUACUCCUAUGAAUUCUGAUAUGUCGCAUGUUAUUGAUGAUGCCACUUCUGCUAUGUGAUACGUCUCCAACGUAUCUAUAAUUUUUGAUUGCUCCAUGCUACUUUAUCUACUGUUUUGGACUAUAUUGGGUUUUAUUUUCCACUUUUAUAUUACUUUUGGGACUAACCUAUUAAUCGGAGGCCCAGCCCAGAAUUGCUGUUUUUGCCUUUUUCAGUAUUUCGAAGAAACAGAAUAUCAAACGGAGUCCAAACGGAAUGAAACCUUCGGGAUCGUGAUUUUCCAACCGAACGUGAUCCAGUAGACUUGGACCCUACUCCAAGAAGCUUCCGAGGAGGUCACGAGGGUGGAGGGCGUGCCCCCCUACCUCGUGGGCCCCUUGGAGCUCCACCGACGUACUCCUUCCUCCUAUAUAUACCUACGUAUCCUCGAACGAUCAGAACAUGAGCCAAAAACCUAAUUCCACCGCCGCAACCUUCUGUAUCCAUGAGAUCCCAUCUUGGGGCCUGUUCCGGAGCUCCGCCGGAGGGGGCAUCCACCAUGGAGGGCUUCUACAUCAUCACCAUAGCCCCUCCGAUGAAGUGUGAGUAGUUUACUUCAGACCUUCGGGUCCAUAGCUAGUAGCUAGAUGGCUUCUUCUCUCUUUUUGGAUCUCAAUGCAAUGAUCACCCCCUCUCUCGUGGAGAUCUAUUUGAUGUAAUCUUCUUUUUGCGAUGUGUUUGUUGAGACCGAUAAAUUGUGGGUUUAUGAUCCAGUAUUAUCUAUGGAAAAUAUUUGAUUCUUCUCUGAAUUCUUUUAUGUAUGAUUGAGUUAUCUUUGCAAGUCUCUUCGAAUUAUCUUUUUGGUUUGGCCAACUAGAUUGGUAGUUCUUGCAAUGGGAGAAGUGCUUAGCUUUGGGUUCAAUCUUGCAGUGUCCUUACUCAGUGACAAAAAGAGUUGCAAGGCACGUAUUGUAUUGUUGCCAUCGAGGAUAACAAGAUGGGGUUUUUAUCAUAUUGCAUGAAUUUACCCUCUACAUCAUGUCAUCUUGCUUAUGGCGUUACUCUGUUUUUAACUUAAUACUCUAGAUGCAUGCUGGAUAGCGGUCGAUGAGUGGAGUAAUAGUAGUAGAUGCAGAAUCGUUUCGAUCUACUUGUUUUGGACGUGAUGCCUAUAUACAUGAUCAUUGCCUAGAUAUACUCAUAACGAUGCUCAAUUCUGUCAAUUGCUCAACAGUAAUUUGUUCACCCACCGUAGAAUACUUAUGCUCUUGAGAGAAGCCACUAGUGAAACCUAUGGCCCCCGGGUCUAUUCUCAUCAUAUCAAUCUAUAUCACUUUAUUUACUUGCUUUGUUUUUAUUUUGCCUUUACUUUUUACUUUGCAUCUAUCUAUCCAAAAUACCAAAAAUAUUAUAUCUAUCAAAUCUCACUCUCGUAAGUGACCGUGAAGGGAUUGACAACCCCUAAGCGUUGGUUGCGAGUUGCUAUCGUUUUGUGUAGGUACGAGGGACUUGUGCGUGGUCUCCUACUGGAUUGAUACCUUGGUUCUCAAAAACUAAGGGAAAUACUUAUGCUACUUUACUGCAUCAUCCUCUUCUCUUUGGGGAAAUCCAACGCAGUGCUCAAGAGGUAGCAAGAAGAAUUUCUGGCGCCGUUGCCAGGGAGGCUCACGCAAGCAAGUCAACCAUACCAAGUACCCAUCGCAAUCCCUAUCUCUCGCAUUACAUUAUUUGCCAUUUGCCUCUCAUUUUCCUCUCCCCCACUUUACCCUUGCCGUUUUAUUCGCCCUCUCUUUCCCAAUCUCCUUCUCUCUUUCCCGUUUGCCUUUUUCCCGUCGCCUUUCUGUUUGCUUGUGCGUUGGAUUACUUGUUGCCAUGGCACAGGAUAAUACCAAAUUGUGUGAUUUCUCGAAUACCAAUAAUAAUGAUUUCCUUAGUACUCCGAUUGCUCCUCUUAAUAAUGAUGAGUCUUGUGAAAUCAAUAUCGCUUUGUUGCAUCUUGUUAUGAAAGAUCAAUUUGCCGGCCUUCCUAGUGAAGAUGCCGCUACUCAUCUAAACAAUUUUGUUGAUUUGUGUGAUAUGCAAAAGAAGAAAGAUAUGGAUAGCAAUAUUGUCAAAUUGAAGUUAUUUCCGUUUUCACUUAGAGAUCGUGCUAAAGUUUGGUUUUCGUCUUUGCCUAAAAAUAGUAUUGAUUCUUGGAAUAAGUGAAAAGAUGCUUUUAUCUCUAAGUAUUUUCCUCCCGCUAAGAUUAUCACUCUUAGGAACGAUAUCAUGAAUUUUAAACAACUUGAUCAUGAGCAUGUUGCCCAAUCUUGGGAAAGAAUGAAAUUAAUGCUUCGCAAUUGCCCUACUCAUGGUUUGAAUUUAUGGACGAUCAUACAAAAUUUUUAUGCCGGAUUGAAUUUUGCUUCUAUAAAUCUUUUAGAUUUGGCCGCGAGAGGCACUUUUAUGGAAAUUACGUUAGGGGAUGCUACCAAAUUGCUUGAUAAUAUUAUGGCUAAUUAUUCUCAAUGGCACACCGAAAGAUCUUCUAGUAAAAAAGUGCAUGCUAUAGAAGAAAUCAAUGUUUUGAGUGAAAAGAUGGAUGAACUUAUGAAGAUUUUUGCUCCUAAAAAUACUCCUCUUGAUCCCAAUGAUAUGCCUUUAUCUACUUUGCUUGAGAAUAAUAAUGAAUCUAUGGAUGUGAAUUUUGUUGGUAGGAAUAGUUUUGGAAACAACGCUUAUAGAGGGAAUUUUAAUCCUAGGCCUUAUCCUAGAAAUCCUUCUAAUAAUUAUGGAAAUUCCUACAAUAACUCUUAUGGAAAUUUUAAUAAGAUGCCCUCUGAAUUUGAGAGUAGUGUUAAAGAGUUUAUGAAUUCACAAAAGAAUUUUAAUGCUUUGCUUGAAGAGAAAUUGCUUAAAGUUGACGAUUUGGCUAGGAACGUUGAUAGAAUUUCUCUUGAAAUUGAUUCUUUAAAGCUUAGAUCUAUUCCUCCUAAGCAUGAUAUCAAUGAGUCUCUCAAAGCCAUGAGAAUUGCCAUUGAUUAGUGCAAGGAAAGAACCGCUAGGAUGCGUGUUUCCAAAGAUGCCUUUAUUAAAGCAUGUUCUUCCAAUCCCUAUGAAAAUCAAGAUGAAUAUCUAAAAGUUAUUGAUGUGUCCCCCAUUAAAUCUUUGUUUUGCAAUAUGAAUCUGAAGAUUAUCUUCCUUUACCUAGAAGGCGUUCUAAGAAUUUGGAGUUUCUAGAUCUUGAUGAUGAAAUUGAUAAAAGUGGGAUUGAAAUAAAUAAAAACCAUGAUGUUGCUAAACCCACUAUUUUGGAUCUCAAGGAAUUUAAUUAUGAAAAUUGCUCUUUGAUUGGUUGUAUUUCCUUGUUGCAAUCCGUGCUAGAUUAUCCUCAUGCUUAUAGUCAAAAUAAGGCCUUUACCGAACACAUUGUUGAUGCCUUGAUGCAAUCUUAUGAAGAAAAUCUUGAGUUGAAAGUUUCUAUCCCUAGAAAACUCUAUGAUGAGUGGGAACCUACUAUUAAAAUUAAAAUUAAAGAUUUUUAGUUUCAUGCUUUGUGUGAUUUGGGUGCUAGUCUCUACUAUCCCCAAAACUUUAUGUGAUUUACUAGAUUUCCGUGAUUUUGAUGAUUGCUCUCUAAACUUGCAUCUUGCGGAUUCCACUAUUAAAAAACAUAUGGGAAGAAUUCAUGAUGUUAUUAUUGUUGCAAAUAGGAAUUAUGUGCCCGUAGAUUUUAUCGUUCUUGAUAUAGAUUGCAAUCCUUCAUGUCCUAUUAUUCUUGGUAGACCUUUCCUUAGAACGAUUGGUGCAAUUGUUGAUAUGAAGGAAGGGAAUAUUAGAUUCCAAUUUCCCUUAAAGAAGGGUAUGUAACACUUCCCUAGAAAGAAAAUAAAAUUACCAUAUGAAUCUAUCAUGAGAGCCACUUAUGUAUUGCCUACCAAAGAUGGCAAUACUUAGAUCUAUCCUUGCGUUUAUGCCUAGCUAAGGGCGUUAAACGAUAGCGCUUGUUGGGAGGCAACCCAAUUUUAUUUUGUGUUUUUUGUUUUUGCUUCUGUUUAGGAAUAAAUAAUCCAUAUACCUUCUGUUUGGAUGUGGUUUUAUGUUUUAAUUAGUGUUUGUGCCAAGUAGGACCUAUAAGAUAACCUAUGAUGAUAGUUGAUUUGAUUCUGCUGAAAAACAGAAACUUUGCGCGCACAAAUUUAGUUAUGAUAAAUCACAGGAGCGUGAUUUUGCGUUGAUUCUUUUUGCUGAUGAUCAAUAAGAAAAUUUUCCAGGACUUCCUAUUUUGGUAGAAUUUUUAGAGUUCCAGAAGUUUGCGUUAGUUACAGAUUGCUACAGACUGUUCUGUUUUUCACAGAUUCUGUUUUUCGUGUGUUGUUUGCUUAUUUCAAUGCAUCUAUGGCUAGUAAUUCAGUCUAUGAACCAUAAGGAAGUGUGAAUACAGUAGGUUUAACACCAAUAUAAAUAAAUAAUGAGUUCAUUACAGUACCUUGAAGUAGUCUUUUGUUUUCUUUCUCUAACGGAGCGCACGAGAUUUCUGUUGAGUUUUGUGCUGUGAAGUUUUCAAGUUUUGGGUGAAUUCUUUUGAUGGAUUAUGGAACAAGGAGUGGAAAGAGCCUAAGCUUGGGUAAGACCAUGGCACCCCCAAGAUAAUCCAAGGAAACCAAAAAGUCAAAGCUUGGGGAUGCCCCGGAAGGCAUCCCCUCUUUCGUCCACUUGCAUCGGUAAUUUACUUGGAGCUAUAUUUUUAUUCACCAACAUGAUAUGUGUUUUGCUUGGAGCAUCUUGUAUUAUUUGUGUCUUUGCAUGUUGGUCUACCACAAUCAUCCUUUCUGUACACAUCUUUUGAGAGAGCCAUACAUGAAUUGGAAUUUUUUAGAAUACUCUAUGUGCUUCACUUAUAUCUUUUGAGCUUGAUAGUUUUGCUCAUAGUGCUUCACUUAUAUCUUUUGAGCGCGAUAAUUUUUGCUCUAGUAUUUCACUUAGAUAUUUUAGAGCACGGUGGUGGAUUUGUUUUAAAGAAACUAUUUGAUCUCUCAUGCUUCACUUAGAUUAUUUUGAGAGUCUUUAUUAGCAUGGUAAUUCGCUUAAUGUUAAUAUAAUUGGUGUUCCAGAUAUGUGAACCUUUCUUUUGAGUGCGUUGAAUACUAAGAUAAGUUUGAUGCUUGAUAAUUGUUUUGAGAUAUGAAGAUGGUGAUAUUAGAGUCAUGAUAGUUAAAGUAGUUGUGAAUUCAAAGAAUACUUGUGUUGAAGUUUGUGAUUCCCGUAGCAUGCACGUAUGGUGAACCGUUAUGUGAUGAACUCGGAGCACGAUUUAUUUAUUGAUUGUCUUCCUUAUGAGUGGCGGUCGGGGACGAGCCAUGGUCUUUUCCUACCAAUCUAUCCCCCUAGGAGCAUGCGCAUAAUACUUUGCUUUGAUAACUUCUAGAUUUUUGCAAUAAGUAUAUGAGUUCUUUAUGACUAAUGUUGAGUCCAUGGAUUAUACACACUUUUUCCCAUCCUUCCACCUUUGCUAGCCUCUCUAAUACCGCGCACUUUUUGCCAGUAUCAUACACCCACCAUAUACCUUCCUCAAAACAGCCACCAUACCUACCUAUCAUGGCAUUUCCAUAGCCAUUUCGGGAUAUAUUGCCAUGCAACUUUCCACCAUUCCGUUUAUUAUGACACGCUCCAUCAUUGUCAUAUUGCUAGCAUGAUCAUGUAGUUGACAUUGUAUUUGUGGCAAAGCCACUGUUCAUAAUUCUUUCAUACAUGUCACUCAUGAUUCAUUGCAUAUCCCGGUACACCGCCGGAGGCAUUCAUAUAGAGUCAUACUUUGUUCUAAGUAUCGAGUUGUAAUUGUUGAGUUGUAAGAAAAAUAAAAGUGUGAUGAUCAUCAUUAUUAGAGCACUGCCCCAAGUGAGGAAAGGAUGAUGGAGACUAUGAUUCCCCCAUAAGUCGGGAUGAGACUACGGACUUUACAAAAAAAUAAGAGGCCAUAAAAAAAGAGAAAGGCCCAAAUAAAAAAAUGAGAGAAAAAGACAGAAGGGACAAUGCUACUAUCCUUUUACCACACUUGUGCUUCAAAGUAGCACCAAGAUCUUCAUGAUAGAGAGUCUCUCAUUUUGUCACUUUCAUAUACUUGUGGGAUUUUUUCAUUAUAGAACUUGGCUUGUAUAUUCCAAUGAUGGGCUUCCUCAAAAUGCCCUAGGUCUUCGUGAGCAAGCAAGUUGAUGCACACCCACUUAGUUUCUUUUGUAGAGCUUUCAUAUACUUAUAGCUCUAGUGCAUCCGUUGCAUGGCAAUCCCUACUCACUCACAUUGAUAUCUAUUGAUGGGCAUCUCCAUAGCCCGUUGAUACGCCUAGUUGAUGUGAGACUAUCUUCCCUCUUUUUGUCUUCUCCACAACCACCCUUCUAUUCCACCUAUAGUGCUAUAUCCAUGGCUCACGCUCAUGUAUUCCGUGAAGAUUGAAAAAGUUUUGAGAAUGUCGUAAGUAUGAAACAAUUGCUUGGCUUGUCAUCGGGGUUGUGCAUGAUUUAAAUAUUUUGUGUGGGGAAGAUGGAGCAUAGCCAGACUAUAUGAAUUUGUAGGGAUAACUUUCUUUUGUCAUGUUAUUUUGAGAAGACAUGAUUGCUUUGAUUAGUAUGCUUGAAGUAUUAUUAUUUUUUGUGUCAAUAUGAACUUUUGUCUUGAAUCUUUCGGAUCUGAAUAUUCAUAUCACAAUUAAGAAGAUUUACAUUGAAAUUAUGCCAAAGUAUCACUCCGCAUCAAAAACUCUUUUUUAUCAUUUACCUACUCGAGGACGAGCAGGAAUUAAGCUUGGGGAUGCCUGAUACGUCUCCAAUGUAUCUAUAAUUUUUGAUUGCUCCAUGCUACUUUAUCUACUGUUUUGGACUAUAUUGGGCUUUAUUUUCUACUUUUAUAUUACUUUUGGGACUAACCUAUUAAUUGGAGGCCCAGCCCAGAAUUGCUGUUUUUUGCCUUUUUCAGUAUUUCGAAGAAACAGAAUAUCAAACGAAGUCCAAACGGAAUGAAACCUUCGGGAUCAUGAUUUUCCAACCGAACGUGAUCCAGGAGACUUGGACCCUACUCCAAGAAGCUUUCAAGGAGGUCACGAGGGUGGAGGGCGCGCCCCCCCUGGGCGCGCCCCCUACCUCGUGGGCCCCGCGGAGCUCCACCGACGUACUCCUUCCUCCUAUAUAUACCUACGUAUCCCCGAACGAUCAGAACAGGAGCCAAAAACCUAAUUCCACCGUCGCAACCUUCUGUAUCCACGAGAUCCCAUCUUGGGGCCUGUUCCGGAGCUCUGUCGGAGGGGCAUCCACCACGGAGGGCUUGUACAUCAUCACCAUAGCCCCUCCGAUGAAGUGUGAGUAGUUUACUUCAGACCUUCGGGUCCAUAGCUAGUAGCUAGAUGGCUUCUUCUCUCUUUUUGGAUCUCAAUACAAUGAUCUCCCCCUCUCUCGUGGAGAUCUAUUCGAUGUAAUCUUCUUUUUGUGGUGUGUUUGUUGAGACCGAUAAAUUGUGGGUUUAUGAUCCAGUAUUAUCUAUGGAAAAUAUUUGAUUCUUCUCUGAAUUCUUUUAUGUAUGAUUGAGUUAUCUUUGCAAGUCUCUUCGAAUUAUCUUUUUGGUUUGGCCAACUAGAUUGGUAGUUCUUGCAAUGGGAGAAGUGCUUAGCUUUGGGUUCAAUCUUGCGGUGUCCUUACUCAGUGACAGAAAGAAUUGCAAGGCACAUAUUGUAUUAUUGCCAUCGAGGAUAACAAGAUGGGGUUUUUAUCAUAUUGCAUGAAUUUAUCCCUCUACAUCAUGUCAUCUUGCUUACGGUGUUACUCUGUUUUUAACUUAAUACUCUAGAUGCAUGCUGGAUAGCGGUCGAUGAGUGGAGUAAUAGUAGUAGAUGCAGAAUCGUUUCGAUCUACUUGUUUUGGAUGUGAUGCCUAUAUACAUGAUCAUUGCCUAGAUAUACUCAUAACUAUGCUCAAUUCUGUCAAUUGCUCAACAGUAAUUUGUUCACCCACCGUAGAAUACUUAUGCUCUUGAGAGAAGCCACUAGUGAAACCUAUGGCCCCCGGGUCUAUUCUCAUCAUAUCAAUCUAUAUCACUUUAUUUACUUGCUUUGUUUUUAUUUUGCCUUUACCUUUUACUUUGCAUCUAUCUAUCAAAAAUACCAAAAAUAUUAUCUCUAUCAGAUCUCACUCUCGUAAGUGACCGUGAAGGGAUUGACAACCCCUAAACGUUGGUUGCGAGUUGCUAUCAUUUUGUGUAGGUACGAGGGACUUGUGUGUGGUCUCCUACUGGAUUGAUUCCUUGGUUCUCAAGAACUGAGGGAAAUACUUACGCUACUUUACUGCAUCAUCCUCUCCUCUUCGGGGAAAUCCAACGCAGUGCUCAAGAGGUAGCACUAUGCACGAUACUUAUGAUGAAACUACUUCUGUGCGUGAUACUACUUUACCAUUAGGUGAAUUUCUUGAUGAACUUGCUAGGGUUAGAGAGAAUGAAAUCAUUGAAGAUGGUAUUAUUGAUGAUAGUGAUGAUGAAAGUUCUCCCCCUGAUUAUGAAUUACCUGUUGUUCCUGAGGGUUAUGUUAUGGAUGAGGAAGCUGCUAGAGCUAUCUUUGCUUGCAAAGAUAGAUAUGAUCUUAAGAAGUUAUUAGCUAAAUGGAAGCAGAAAUCUCUUAAUGCUAGAAUGAAACCUGACCCCGCUUUUGCUACUUCACCUAUCUGUGUUAUUGAUAAGGAUACGAAUUCUCUGUUGAUCCUGAAAUAAUUACUUUGGUUGAAUCUGAUCCUUUUUAUGGCCUUGAAUCUGAAACUGUUGUGGCACAUCUUACCAAGUUAAAUGAUAUAGCCACCCUGUUUACUAACGAUGAGAAGUCUUGCUAUUAUUAUAUCCUUAAGAUAUUUCCGUUCUCAUUAAAGGGUGAUGCUAAGACUUGGUUCAAUUCUCUUGAUCCUGGUUGUGUGCGUAGUCCCCAGGAUAUGAUUUAUUACUUCUCUGCUAAAUAUUUCCCUGCUCAUAAGAAACAAGCUGCCUUGCGGGAAAUAUAUAAUUUUGUGCAAAUCAAAGAAGAGAGUCUCCCACAAGCUUGGGGGAGGCUUCUCCGAUUACUUAAUGCUUUGCCUGAUCAUCCUCUUAAGAAAAAUGAAAUACUUGAUAUCUUUUAUAAUGGACUAACCGAUGCUUCCAAGGACCACUUGGAUAGUUGUGCUGGUUGUGUUUUUAGGGAAAGAACAGUCAACCAAGCUAAAUUGUUAUUGAAUAAUAUGUUAACUAAUGAAAAUAAUUGGACUCUUCCUGAGCCAAUUCCUGAGGCAAUUCCUGAACCAAUUGAGCCAACUCCUGAGCCUAUUCCUAAACCAACUCCGAAGAAGAGAGGUGUUCUAUUUCUCAGUCAUGAAGAUAUGCAAGAGGCAAAAAAAUCUAUGAAAGAAAAAGGUAUUAAAGCUGAAGAUGUUAAGAAUUUACCACCUAUUGAAGAAAUACAUGGUCUUAAUAUACCGCCUGUUGAAGAAACACAUUGUCUUGAUAACCCGACACAAGUAGUAAAGGUAAAUUCUCUCUAUAGAUAUGAUAAAGUUGAAAUUCCUUCCACUAAAUUUCAUAGCCCAUGCUUAGAUGAAUUUGAUGACUUUAUGGCUAGACAAGAAAGUUUUAAUGCUUAUGUUGGUAGAGAAUUAAAGAAUAAUGCUUUCGAGAUAGGACGCUUGAGUGAUUAUAUGGCUAGAGUUAAAGGUGAACUUAAACUCAUUAGCAAAUAUGCUUCUAUGGUUACCACUCAAGCUGAGCAAGUACUUAAAGCUCAAAGUGAUUUGCUCGAUGAAUUAAAUAAUAAACAUGAUUUUGCUGUUAGAGUGGCUGCUAGAACUGGUAGAAUGACCCAGGAACCUUUGUAUCCUGAAGGCCACCCUAAGAGAAUCGAGAAAGAUUCUCAGAGAAAUAAUUUAGAGGCACCUAGUUCUUCCAAAAAGAAGAAAAAGAAAAAUGAUAGGACUUUGCAUGCUUCUAGUGAACCUAUUAUAGACAUACAUGAGAAUCCUAAUGAUAUUUCUAUUUCUGAUGCUCCUAGGUGAUGAACAUAAACCUAGUGAUAAUGUUAAUGAUAAUGUUCAUGUUGAUGGCAAUGUAGAAAAAAUAAUGAUGUAGAGAUUGAACCUGCUGUUGAUCUUGAUAACCCACAAUCAAAGAAUCAAUGUUAUGAUAAAAGAGAUUUUGUUUCUAGGAAGCACGAUAGAGAGAGAGAACCAUGGGUUCAGAAACCCAUGCCCUUUCCUCCUAAACCAUCCAAGACAAAGGAUGAUGAUGAUUUUGAGCGCUUUGCUGAAAUUAUAGACCUAUCUUCUUAUGUAUGCGCUUAACUGAUAUGCUUAAAUUAAAUCCUUAUGCUAAAUAUAUGAAGGAUAUCAUUACAAAUAAAAGAAAGAUACCGGAAGCUGAAAUUUCCACCAUGCUUGCUAAUUACACUUUUAAAGGUGGAAUACCAAAGAAACUUGGAGAUCUAGGGGUACCAACUAUACCAUGCUCCAUUAAAAGAAAUUAUGUUAGAACUGCUUUAUGUGAUCUUGUAGCCGGUGUUAGUGUUAUGCCUCUCUCUUUAUAUUGUAGACUUGAAUUGAAUAAGUUGACACCUACUGAAAUAUCUUUGCAAAUGGCCGAUAAAUGAACUGCUAUACCUAUCGGUAUUUAUGAGGAUAUGCCUGUUGUGGUUGCAAAUGUCACUAUCUUAACGGACUUUGUUAUUCUUGAUAUCCCCGAGGACGAUAGUAUGUCGAUUAUCCUUGGUAGACCCUUUUUGAAUAGUGCAGGGGCUGUUAUUGAUUGCAAUAAAGGCAAUGUCACUUUUCAUGUUAAUGGUAAUGAGCAUACGUACACUUUCCGAGGAAACAACCUCAAGUUCAUAGUAUCAAUUCUAUUGGAAAAAUUCCAACUAUCAUUAUUGGAGGUUUUAAAUUUCCUCUUCCUACUGUCAAGAAAAAGUAUGAUAUUCUUAUUGUUGGGGAUGUUCAUAUCCCCGUUGAGGUAACUUAGUGUUAUUCGAAAUUUCUCCGGUUCCGUGUUAUUCGUAAUGAGUUUGUUAACAAGACUUGAUCAACCUUGUUAGUGGAAUCAUUUUGAUGAUCAUGAGAUGGAUGAAACUAGAAGGCACAACCUUCUGUACCCUCUUUUUACUUCCUGUUAUUUAGAAUAAAUAAAGCAAAAAUAGUAUUAUUUGUCUGUUUUCUGAUUUAUCCGUGCAAUAAAAAAAUAUCCCAAAAAUAAAAGUGCUCCAAAUGCCCUGCAAAUUUAGUAUGAUUUUUUAUGGAUUAUUUGAGGAUUUUAGGCACUGAAAACACUGCAUGGGGGGGCAAGCACCUGGCCACGAGGGUGGAGGGCGCGCCCACACCCCCUAGGCGCCCCCUAUCUUGUGGGCCCACGGUGGGCCCCCUCCACUUAUUCCUGCACCCACGCACUCCUUCUUCUUCCCAAAAAAUCCCCAUCCAGCUCAAGCACGGGUUCUAGCUCAUUUUGCUGCGAUUUUCGAUAUCCUUGCUCAAAGCUCCAUUCACAAAACUGCUUUGGGAGAUUGUUGCUUGGUAUGUUACUCCACCAUUGGUCCAAUUAGUUUUUGUUCUAGUGCUUUAUUCAUUGCAAAUUUUUGCUGCAUAGGUGACCCUGUUCUUGAGCUUGCAUGUCAAAUUUAUGAGGUCCCAAGGAAUUCUAAUGCAUGAUGUGGGCUCUAGGCACUUGUAGGAGUAGUUGCUACCAAUCUUGUUUAGUUUGAUUCACUUUUAUUUUGAAGUUACUAAAAUUUCAGAAAUUUUUCAGAAAAAGAAAUAUGUCUAGGAGAAUGUACCAAGGUGGUUCCUCAACAAAGAAAGGACCCAGAUGUGCUAUGCGUGAGCAAGACAAUGAACCACCAAGGGACGCAGAAGUGCGAGCUUGUGAGUGGCCAUCAGACGAGUUUAUGGUCAAAGCGGGCAUUAAGGAUGAAUUUGAUGCAUAUGUGCGUAAUGCCGGUCUGGAGGACUUCGUAUAAGAUAAGUGUCCUUAGUACUAUCUAUUGACUGAUUCAUUCGUAAGAAGGUUUAAAUAUAAAUCUUCGCAUAAUUCUCAGAGUGUCCUGUUUGAUAUUUAUGAUAAAUCUUAUACCAUGGACUUAGAAGAUUUUACAACUGCUUGCAAACUCCCGCAGUGGGGCGAUGUUAAUGACCCCCACAGAUCUGAAUAUAAAGACUUUCUUGCUAGUAUUACUGUGGGAGAAUCUAGGAAUAUAGCACAAGCUACCAUAGGGAGCAAUCAUUUUACUGCUAUACAUUAUUUUGCUCUCUUCAUUGGUAGAUGCAUUAACGGUAAAGAUGAAGCAUGUCACAUGUGUGUCCCUGAUCUUUGUGUCCUCAAGAGUGCUGUGUUAGGUAAUAAAGAUUACAACUUGGGGGCAAUAGUUGCACGUAAGUUGCAUAAUAAUGGUAUAUCCGAAGAUUUAUUUGGAGGGAUUUAUGCGACCCGUGUUGCUAAUUAUCUUGGUAUAGCCCCAUGAGAGGGGGAUAUGGAGUUGCUUCCUGCUUAUUUAGAUUAUGACGCGAUGGUCAAACAUCGUUUUCUUUUGAGGAAUGAACAAUUCCUACAGUAUCGACUAAUCUCUGACAGACGUAGCGUUGUCCAUGUUACUCUCCCCGCUCCUUCCAUUUUUGAUUACCAGGCAAAACGAAGUGUUACCAGGGAGGAGGCAGCUAAACACGAAGGGAGAGCCGAGGCGGCUCGCCAGCAUGCCGUAGCUCAGGAUGCAUUUGCUGCUGCAUCUUAGUACGACCCCAGUUAUAACUACAGAUAUCAGCCAGGCUAUCCUUGGCAUUAGACCAACUUAGGCCAAAAGCCUAAGCUUGGGGGAGUACGUAUCUCUCACCAACUUUACAUUCAUGUUCACACACUAUUCUAGUUGUCGGUGCUCAUACUCUUUCAUUGUAUUAUCCAUGCUAGCUUAAGUUAUUUUUCUAGCUUUCUUCUUGUGUGUUUGAUAAACCUUAAGAAAAACAAAAAACAAUUAGUUAGUUUAAUUUCCAUGCUUGUAGUAGAAAUUAAAAUGAAAACCCAAAAAGAUUUCUCGUUCUUCUUCUUGCUUGUUGGGAGCUUUCCCGUGUAAAUAGUUUUAUUUCUUUUCUUUCCUUUGGGGGUCGAGAGUAGAAGACCAUACUGAAAAUGUUUAGUGGCUCUCAUAUGCAUGAUUGUUUAUUUAACUUAGAGCCCAUAUUACUUUGUCUUCUCUCUUGAGUUGAAUGCUUGCAGAUUCCAGCUUAGUCCAAUGCACGUGCACUAUUAUUAUUAUACACACCGUUCGGUCGUGCAAGUGAAAGACAAUAAUGACGAUAUAUGAUGGACUGAUUGAGAUGAGAAAAGCUGGUAUAAACUCGACCUCUCUUGUUUUUGUAAAUAUGGUGAGUCCAUCGUUCCUAAUUCAAUUUAUUAUGAAGUAAACAUAUUUGCAAUGACAUUUAGAGAUUAUAGUUUCUUGUGCCAUGCUUAAUUAGCUAUGAGUUAUAAUGGUUUACCUUGCAUGCCAACAUGCUAUUAAAAUGAUUGUGAUGUGGUAUGAUGGGAUGGUAUCCUCCUUUGAAUAAAUUGAGUGACUCGACUUGGCACAUGUUCACGCAUGUAGUUGAAACAAAUCAACAUAGCCUUCACGAUAUUUAUGUUCAUGGUGAAUUAUAUCCUACUCAUGCUUGUACUCGGUGUAAAUUAAUUUUAAUGCAUGUUCAUGACUGUUGUCGCUCUCUCAGUUGGUCGCUUCCCAGUCUUUCGCUAGCCUUCACCUGUACUAAGCGGGAAUACUGCUUGUGCAUCCAAACUCCAUAAACCCCAAAGUUGUUCCAUAUGAGUCCACUAUACCUUCCUAUAUGCGGUAUCUACCUGCCGUUCCAAGUAAAUUUGUAUGUGCCAAACUCCAAACCUUCAAAUGAAAUUCUGUUUUGUAUGCUCGAGCAGCUCAUGUUUCAACUAGGGUUGUCUGUAUCUUCCAUGCUAGGUGGGUUAUUCUCAAGAGGAGUGGACUCCGCUCCUCAUUCACGAGAAAAUGGCGGUAACCGGGAUGCCGAGUCCCAUGAUCAAAAAGAUCAAAGCAAAUCAAUAUAAUUAAACAAAACUCCCCCAGGGUUGUUGUUAGUUGGAGGCACUCGUUGUUUUGAGCAAGCCAUGGAUUGAUUCUUGUUGGUGGUGGGGGAGUAUAACUUUUACCAUUCUGUUUGGGAACCGCCUAUAAUGCAUGUAGUAUGGAAGAUAUCGCCAUCUCAUAGUUGUUGCGUUGACAGUGAAAGUAUGCCACUCAAAAUGUUAUUCAUCUCUAUUUUAAAAUCGAUCUCUGGCACCUCUACAAAUCCCUGCUUCCCUCUGUGAAGGGCCUAUCUAUUUACUUUUAUGUUGAGUCAUCACCUUCUUAUUAAAAAGCACCCGCUGGAGAGCACACUGUCAUUUCUAUUCAUUACUAUUAGUUUAUAUUGAGUAUGACUUGACUGGAUCUCUUUUACCAUGAAUUACAAUGUCUAGUCAGUCCUUGAUCUUUAAAGGUGCUCUGCAUUUAUGUUUUGUGGUCUAAGAAAGGGAUAGCAAGAUACCAUCUUGUUAUAUCAUAUUAUGAUUGUUUUGAGAAAGUGUUGUCAUCCGAGUUUUAUUAUUAUUGCUCGCUAGCUGAUUAUGCCAUUGAUAUGAGUAAUUGUGAGACCUAAAUGUUAUUUGAGUAUGGUUAGUUUAUAAUCUUUGCUGAAAACUUGAAUGCUGGCUUUACAUAUUUACAACAACAAGAGCAAAUAGAGUUUGUAAAAGUUUUUCUUUAUCACUUUCAGUUUAUCAACUGAAUUGCUUGAGGGCAAGCAAAGGUUUAAGAUUGGGGGAGUUGAUAUGUCUCCAACAUAUCUACUUUUCCAAACACUUUUGCCCUUGUUUUGGACUCUAACUUGCAUGAUUUGAAUGAAACUAACCCGGACUGACGCUGUUUUCAGCAGAACUGUCAUGGUGUUGUUUAUUGUGCAGAAAACAAAAGUUCUCGGAAUGCCCUGAAAAUCCACGGAGAUAACUUUCAGAAAAUAUAAAAAAUACUGGCAAAAGAAUCAAGGCCAGGGGGCCCACACCCUGUCCACGAGGGUGGGGGCGUGCCCUCCCCCCUAGGCGCGCCCCCCUGUCUCGUGGGUUCCCUGAUGCUCCACCGACCUCAACUCCAACUCCAUAUAUUCUGUUUCACGGAGAAAAAAAUCAGAGAGAAAGUUUCAUCGCGUUUGACGAUUCGGAGCCGCCGCCAAGCCCUAAUCUCUCUCGGGAGGGCUGAUCUGGAGUCCGUUCGGGGCUUCGGAGAGGGGGAUUCAUCGCCGUCGUCAUCAUCAACCAUCCUCCAUCACCAAUUUCAUGAUGCUCACCAUCGUGCGUGAGUAAUUCCAUCGUAGGCUUGCUGGACGGUGAUGGGUUGGAUGAGAUUUACCAUGUAAUCAAGUUAGUUUUGUUAGGGUUUGAUCCCUAGUAUCCACUAUGUUCUGAGAUUGAUGUUGCUAUGACUUUGCUAUGCUUAAUGCUUGUCACUAGGGCCCGAGUGCUAUGAUUUCAUAUCUGAACCUAUUAUGUUUUCAUGAAUAUAUGCGAGUUCUUGAUCCUAUCUUGCAAGUCUAUAGUCACCUAUUAUGUGUUAUGAUCCAACAACCCUGAAGUGACAAUAAUCGGGAUACUUCUCAGUGAUGACCGUAGUUUGAGGAGUUCAUGUAUUCACUAUGUGCUAAUGCUUUGUUCCAGUUAUCUAUUAAAAGGAGGCCUUAAUAUCCCUUAGUUUCCACUAGGACCCCGCUGCCACGGGAUGGUAGGACAAAAGAUGUCAUGCAAGUUCUUUUCCAUAAGCAUGUAUGACUAUAUUCGGAAUACAUGCCUACAUUACAUUGAUGAACUAGAGCUAGUUCCAUGUCACCCUAUGUUAUAGCUAUUACAUGAGGAAUCGCAUCCGACAUAAUUAUCCAUCACGGAUCCAAUGCCUAGGAGCUUUUCACAUAUUGUGCUUCGCUUAUUUGCUUUUCCGUUGCUACUGUUACAACUACUACAAAACUGCUAUCUUUACUUUUGCCACUGUUACCGUUACUUCCAUACUACUUUGCUACUAAAUACUUUGCUGCAGAUACUAAGUUAUCCAGGUGUGGUUGAAUUGACAACUCAACUGCUAAUACUUAAGAAUAUUCUUGGCUCCCCUUGUGUCGAAUCAAUAAAUUUGGGUUGAAUACUCUACCCUCGAAAGCUGUUGCGAUCCCCUACACUUGUGGGUUAUCAACGGCUCGGGACUCUUCUGGCCCAACUCUUUUACUCCAAGGGCUUCUUUUGGUCCAUAAAAAAUCGUCAACAAUUGGCACGUCAAUUGGACUCCGUUUGGUAUUCCUUUUCUGUAAAACUCAAAAACAAGGAAAAAACAGAAACUGGCACUGGGCUCUAGGUUAAUAGGUUAGUCCCAAAAAUCAUAUAAAAUAGCAUAUAAAUACAUAUAAAACAACCUAGAUGGAUAAUAUAAUAGCAUGGAACAAUCAAAAAUUAUAGAUACGUUGGAUACGUAUCAAGCAUCCCCAAGCUUAAUUCCUGCUCGUCCUCGAGUAGGUAAAUGAUAAAAACAGAUUUUUUGAUGUGGAAUGCUACCUAGCAUAUUUCUCAAUGUAAUUUUCUUUAUUGUGGCAUGAAUGUUCAGAUCCAAAUGAUUCAAGAUAAAAGUUCAUAUUAACAUAAAAAUAGUAAUAAUUCAAGCAUACUAACGAGUAAUCAUGUCUUAUCAAAAUAACAUAGCCAAAGAAAGUUUAUCCCUACAAAAUCAUAUAGUUAGGCUAUGCUUCAUUUUCAUCACACAAAAUACUCCCAUCAUGCACAACCCCGGUUUCAGCCAAGCAAUUGGUUCAUACUUUUUAACGCGCUUCAGCUUUUUUAACUCUCACAUAAUACAUGAGUGCAAGGCAUGGAUAUAGCACUAUAUGUGGAAUAGGAUGGUGGUUGUGGAGAAGACAAAAAGGGAGAAGAUAGUCUCACAUCAACUAGGCAUAUCAACGGGCUAUGGAGAUGUCCAUUAAUAGAUAUCAAUGUGAGUGAGUAGGGAUUGCCAUGUGACGGAUGCACUAGAGCUAUAAAUGUAUGAAAGCUCAACAAAAGAAACUAAGUGGGUGUGCAUCCAACUUGCUUGCUCACGAAGACCUAGGGCAUUUUGAGGAAGCCCAUCAUUGGAAUAUACAAGCCAAGUUCUAUAAUGAAAAAUUCCCACUAGUAUAUGAAAGUGACAACAUAGGAGACUCUCUAUCAUGAAGAUCAUGGUGCUACUUUGAAAAACAAGUGUGGAAAGAGGAUAGUAACAUUGUCCCUUCUCUCUUUUUGUCUCUUUUCUUGGUGGGCAUCUUUGGCAUUUUUUUUGUUUGGGCUUCUUUGGCCUCUUUUACUUUUCAUAAAGUCUGAAGUCUCAUCCCGACUUGUGGGGGAAUCAUAGUCUCCAUCAUCCUUUCCUCACUUGGGACAAUGCUCUAAUAAUGAAGAUCAUCACACUUUUAUUGAUUUACAACUCAAGAUUGCAACUCAAUACUUAGAACAAAAUAUGACUCUAUGUGAAUGCCUCCGACGGUGUACCGGGAUAUGCAAUGAAUCAAGAGCGACAUGUAUGAAAGAAUUAUAAAGGUGGCCUAGCCACAAAUACGAUGUCAACUACAUGAUCAUGCAAAAGCAAUAUGACAAUGAUGGAGCAUGUCAUAAUAAACGGAACAGUAGAAAGUUGCAUGGCAAUAUAUCUCGGAAUGGCUAUGAAAAUGCUAUAAUAGGUAGGUAUGAUGGCUGUUUUGAGAAAGGUAAAUGGUGGGUUUAUGGUACCAGCGAAAGUUGCGCGGCACAAGAGAGGCUAGCAAUGGUGGAAGGGUGAGAGUGCGUAUAAUCCAUGGACUCACAUCUAUUUAUAUAUAAAAAGUACUUGUUGGGGUCAUCAGAAUAAAGAUAAUUAGCUUAGUAAAUCCCACAAUAAUUAGAAAGAUCCGACCUUUAGUUCUGUGAGAAAACAAAGUCCAACCAUUAGACCUUUGUAAACCAGGUGGGUCCAUGCCAUGCCAUGAGACAACAAAGUCCAACCAUUAGAUCUUUGUAAACCAGGUGGACCAAAAUAAAGAUAAGUCCAACCAUUGGAUCUUUGUAAAUGAGGUGGGUCCAUAUCGUUUGAUGAUACAACAAAGUCCAACCAUUAGAUCUUUGUAAACCAGCUGGACCAGAAUAAAGAUAAGUCCAACCAUUGGAUCUUUGUAAAUGAGGUGGGUCCAUAUCGUUUGAUGACUUCACGUUGAUUUUCAUGAUCCAACCACAACCCCAAUAGGGUGGACCAUCCUUAGGGAUCAGAAACACGCAUGCAUCAUGCAUCAUUAAAUAAUAAAAAACAUACAGGUUGGGCCAUCACACGCAUACAGGAUGGACCAUGCCAUCAGCUUUUCUCAAAGAAACUACAACGAUGAGGCCAUCCCAGAAAAAAAAGUUCUAAUGUGCCGAAACAAACCAAAACUAUCAUAUCUCUCUCCAAAUAGAAUAUGUGUCCAGACGGGAUCCAAAAAAACGUUCUUUCCAUCCCGCAAACAUGAGAAACUUAACCAUCCAUAUAAACCUUCCCCAUGACCUCAUAGGUUCAUUGUCCAAAGAUUUUAGGUUACAACUUCUACAUCAUCUUCCUCCCACAUCAUCUUCCUCCAGCGACUCAAACUUCGAGAUCAACUUCAGAAUUAGCACUUCGGAGUUGUCUUCCUCCAGCGGCCACAAGACAGCUCCAUCGAGCAAUUAGGCAAC